AAAUCAUUGCUAUUUCUAGCCCCAUCGACGAGAUUGCACCUCUUAAGAUAUGUCAGUUCCCUUGUAUGACCGAGGUUAACUUGCACUUGUUCUUGCACCAAUUCGUCGACGGGCCAAGCAACCCAAAUCGCAAUGAGGAAACCUUACUCCAAGCAAGUUUUCCUUUUGGGUUUGGGACGACGAUAGUCCAUGACUGGACUCUUACCGAGACAACAAAUUCCAGAGACACGGUUGUUGCACGUGUACAAGGUGUGCAUGUCCAGGCUGGUUUAACCAAGCCUAACAGAUGGUACACGACUCAUAACAUAGAGUUUCAGCAAGGAAGGUAAUAUGUUUCGCUACUUUUCAAUAUCUAAGUAUAUUUCAUGAGUUCUUUGCAUGCAACAUUAAAUUUAUGUCCUUACCUGUACUAUAUUUGUAGCCAAGGGUUUCACACACCUUACUAGUGUAUAGACACAUAUUAAUAAGUGUGCAUUUGUCAAACUCUACAUGCACUUCUGACCCUAUGACGGAACUUUCUAUUUUGAACAUGAAACAGGUUUGCGGGGUCCACCCUUCAAGUGAUGGGUAUAACCGCAGGUUUGGAAAGUGGGCAGUGGUCUAUUGUCGGUGGAACUGGUCAAUUCAUUAUGGCACAGGGUAUAAUAAGUUUCACAAAUCAUCCGGCCUCUACUUUUGAAGAUGGUAUUAAAGAACUCAAUAUUCGUGUACGCUUCACAAGGGAUAUUACACAAGCCGUAAGUAUAAUAUUAUGAGUUUAUAUUCAAAUUCUUGUGCUCUAUUUGUUGAAGAGAAAUGGAUUAUCAUACAUAUUAUCCUACUGAAACUGCAUUACAUUAAGACAUUUGUGGACAUUCAAGUGCAAAUGCAUUAAAGGAGGUUCUGUUUUAACAACAUUAGCCAUAUUUAACUAAAUCAAAUGCUUGUUGAAUGUUUUGUGCAUUUAGUAGGGUGUUGCAUAUCAAGUAAUGAAGCUUUAUGUACGAAUGCUUGACAUGACACUAGCCAUUGUUUCACUUUUCGCUGCAGGCUUGAGGUGCAUCUCGUCCCUUGAAAGACUAGCGCCAAUGUCAGUAAUUUGAUGGGGAAAUGUGUUUGCAUUUUGCUUGUAGUGUGAUGGGUCGUUGUUAUGGUCUGCAUGUGUCAUUAGAGUAUGCGUUAGCUAGCAUACCCUCUUUCUAUCUUUCAUUCAAAAUAUCAUGUGGGUUUCUCGCACGGUGGAUAUCCAGUCCAUAAUCUGUGUCAACCCAUCUGUUUGUUGGUGUCUAUGUAAUGUCUUGGAUAUGAUGUGGAAUAAUGGAGCUUGUUUGUUUGAGAAAGUGUUAUACCCACAUAAUUAUAUUAUUUGUGUUAAUCAUGAGACAAGCAUAUAUGAAAACUUAAAGCAAAACAAAUUAAUGAACACAAGAGCACCGUUAUUCAUACACUUAACAGUGUCUAUCCCGAAAGCAGUUUACCUCAAGGACCAUAAGAGCCCCAUUAUUUUCCACAACGUCUAGAAUAAUUGCAAACAAAGAUAUCACCCAGGCGGCCAUGACAUAAUGCAAUUAUAUAAAAAUGAUAGCCAUGUUAUUUGGUAGCAUCGAGAGAUGCAUAUACAUGUCUUGUACUCUUUUAAUAAAUACAUAAAAGAUUUGUGCAUUGAUGUAUUGCAAGGGAAAAAAUUGAUGCAUGGUAUAGAAUUGAGGCUCUUAACCACAAGGACCUAGGCUCGACCUUGACUCGAACAACGCAGGGCUACAACGGCUGUACUUCCUCCAUAAAAAAAUAUAAGAGUGUUUAGGGAGAGCGCCAUUACUAAGAUGGGCGGCAUCUGAACAUGUUAUAUUGGUCGUACGUCCAGCUCCAGGGAUUUGCGCUAGUGGGUCCAUGGCAGGAAAUACGGGUGGAAAAAAUUGACGUCGACUGGCGGUAUACGGGGAUGAACAGUGAUGUAUGCCAGCGCCCGUGCUCGUCUUUUUGAAAUGCACGUUACGCUGACGAGCCGAGCCGUCGAUCGGGUCAGUCACGAGAACCUGACCCAAGGAUUAGAAACGUAAUCGCACCGUCUGCUGCUUAGACACGCGCCGUCUACUGCAGGGCUAACCAGCGGCCCGACACGUGUCCUGACAGACCCCCACCACUCAAACAACCACAAUUCCUUUUUCCGAAUUUACAGAAUAUCUUUUUGCCUUGCCUUAUCCAGCGGACUGCUGCUGUUCCACACUCCAUAGCCUCUCCUUGUACAGCUUCGUGAAAGAUGAUUCCGAUGAGGUGAGGUCCGCCGCUCGGCGCUGUAGCUGGCGGCCAGACGGGAGCUAUUGCGGCUAGCGCUGCCCGCCUCCGGCCUGCUGCGCCGCGUGGGGCAGUGGCCUUGACUGAAGGCAAGAUGGGGUCCGUGCAAGCUAGCUCCGCUUGCUUCAGACGCGCUGCACCGCACGGGGCUGUAUCCUUGGCCGGUGUGAAGUCGGGGGGCGUCGCGGGUAGCACCGCCCACGUCCAGUGCGUCCAAGGCUGCGGUCGACCAGCUCCCUCGUAGAAGGUGGAACCACAGCACAUGCACCCAGUCGGCGGGCGCGGCCGUGGCCAGUGGCGAGAUGCCGCGGGAGGUCGUUCGGUUACACUUGAAGAAGCGUGAGCUCGAUGCAUCUCAACAGGCAAAGGUGAUUCUAGUUGCUUGCUUCUAUCCAACAUUUUGGCUACCAAAUCCCAAGAAAAUACCGAGGGUGGGCGAGAAACGUGAAUACUGCGGUUACCAUAAAAUUCCAAGCAAAAUCCGCUCGAAUUUUUCAAAAGUAAUUUGAAUUCAAAUUUUUCUGAGCUAGGAAUAUAUAAGUAUUGAGCUCAAGUGGUUCACAAACAAGGUGUUCGCGCAGUGGCAUGUUCUCGUCGUAUGUCCUCAGCGUAUGCAAGGUCGUGGGUUCGAUUCUCUAACCUUGAGUUUUAGAAUAUUUAUUUUAGAAUUGGUUAAACAAAAAAGAAAACAGUGUCUAUCCCUAAAGCAGUUUACCUCAAGGGCCAUGCCCUAUUAUUUUCCACAACGUCUAGAAUAAUUGCCAACAAAGAUAUCACCCAGGCGGCUAUGACAUAAUGCAAUCAUAUAAAAAUGAUAGCCAUGUUAUUUGGUAGCAUCGACAGAUGCAUAUACAUGUCUUGUAUUCUUUUUACAAAUACACAAAAGAUUUGUGCAUUGAUGUAUUGCAAGCGGAAAAACUGAUGCAUGUUAUAGAACUAGCGAAGUGUCCCGCGCAUUUGCGCGGCUAGAUUGUCAUUUUAUGUUAUUAUAUUUUUUGAUUUGUUAUCCUUCGUACAUUUAAGAUAUAUGGCCCUACAUGAUUUGACAUUAGUAAAAACAUUAAGCAUGUUAAUUAUUUUGAGGGUGACAACGAAUGAUAGAGAGGCACUUGUCCCACCACAUAAGGUUGUAGAGUUCUAGUAUGAAAAAUAAUAAUUAGCUUUCUAUAUUACAUUCUUAUCAUCCUCUAUGAUUUAUCUUUUUGUGAAUAUCUCUAACCUUGAGUUUUAGAAUAUUUAUUUUAGAAUUGGUUAAACAAAAAAGAAAACAGUGUCUAUCCCUAAAGCAGUUUACCUCAAGGGCCAUGCCCUAUUAUUUUCCACAACGUCUAGAAUAAUUGCCAACAAAGAUAUCACCCAGGCGGCUAUGACAUAAUGCAAUCAUAUAAAAAUGAUAGCCAUGUUAUUUGGUAGCAUCGACAGAUGCAUAUACAUGUCUUGUAUUCUUUUUACAAAUACACAAAAGAUUUGUGCAUUGAUGUAUUGCAAGCGGAAAAACUGAUGCAUGUUAUAGAACUAGCGAAGUGUCCCGCGCAUUUGCGCGGCUAGAUUGUCAUUUUAUGUUAUUAUAUUUUUUGAUUUGUUAUCCUUAGUACAUUUAAGAUAUAUGGCCCUACAUGAUUUGACAUUAGUAAAAACAUUAAGCAUGUUAAUUAUUUUGAGGGUGACAACGAAUGAUAGAGAGACACUUGUCCCACCACAUAAGGUUGUAGAGUCCUAGUAUGAAAAAUAAUAAUUAGCUUUCUAUAUUACAUUCUUAUCAUCCUCUAUGAUUUAUCUUUUUGUGAAUAACUCUUUUGGACAGUUUCACCUAAAAAUAAUAAAAUACUAAUGGCUUGUACUUAAUUCCUCUUUUAGCUUAGUCGUUGUAAAUUUGUUGUGUACAAUUUUCUCGUGUGCUUGGUGCAUUCGAGUUGUUUGUGGCAUUCUUCUUAACUGCUUGCAUACAUGGAUAAAAGAUAUGUAUGUUCUUCGGCAGUGAACUACUUGACUCACAGAGUCCAUGCCCGCUUCUCCUUCAAAUUAAAUCAUGACAAAUCUAUAAUGUUUCAUUAAGUGUAAAUUCUAAGGACUUUAUGCCACAUCGACUAAUAGUGUGGUCAGUCCAUAUUGAGAAUGGUUAUAUCCCAAUUAGUCUAAAUAUAUUUCUACCACAUGGAACCAAAUUGCCAAUUUAUUUUUUAUUCGUAUUGUCAUGUAUAAAAUAGCAUCAUAUUCAUUACUCACCUAAUCAGAUUGUUUCAUAUAAAAUACAUCACAAAUUUAGCGAUAUUUCAUUGUUACCAUGUGGAAAAUCAAGUUGUUGAUUUAUUUUCUUAUAGUGAAUUCCCUAUACAAAUAUCUCCAUUCGUGCUCAUUUUAUAGGGAAUGGUAUUACUAUGGUUUUUUUAAAUAGACAACGUCAUAAUCUGGAUACACGGUGAUCAACAAAUACGCGCAAUUUUGCUUAUAUAAAUGAAUACUCCUAAAAUAUAAAUGCAUAAUGGUUUUUGAUAGAUAUUUCAUGUUUAUAUUUUAUAUGAAUUAGAUACUAAUUCGUUCCGUUCCUAUCUUUUUCAUGGAAACUUUCCGGCCGAAUGUUGUAGAAAGGCGAUCGUAUACUUCUCAUCGUACAUGUAUGUGUGUCUUGAUGAAUUUUUUUUUGCGGUUAGUGUCUUGAUAAAUCCUUAUUGUGUACAGUAUGGUGAAUCUGAACAUGCACCUAUUUUUUUCUUUUUCCGUAGUCUUCUUAGAGCCUUUAUUUCAUUUUCUAUUUUUCUUGAAUGUUAGUCCGGACGUGAUUAGCUCUUUUUCCUCUACUAUUUUUGUUUUCACGGCCGUGUGCCUUGAUGAAUUAGUUUUUACCCAUAUGCAUGGAUUUCAUGAUAAAUCAUAAUUAUGUGAGUUGCGGUGGACAUGGACACGCCUCUAAUUUUCCUCUUUUUUUCCAACAGUAGUCCGGUCAUCUUAAUAGUAGUCCACAUUUUAUGUCCUUUGCUGAAAUUCACACAUGUAUCGGUUGGACACGUCUUCCUUUUUUGCAUCGAACUCUUCCUUAUAUAGUUCUUUGAGUUCCGUGGACUGCACGGAGACCAGGACCUGUAUGCUAAUAGGAAUCCUAAUCGCAUAUGGCCGGCCUUUUUCUUUUUUUAAUGCAAAUGCCUCGUAUAUACUACAUUACAAAGGCAUUACUAAGUCACGUGAUCUUUCUUUAUUUUUGUCUCACCUUUUUCACACAUGUUAUACGUGUCAGUUCAAUAAAUGUAAUCCAAUAACUUUUUUUCAUGUAACGUAAUAUCUUUAAAUCUCAACCGUAAGUAUUACUGACGGACGGUGUAUAUUGUGGAAGAACGUGGUGUCUUAUUUGACUUCUGUUUUAAGUAUAUAAUAGAUAGAUUGAGGCUCUUAACCACAAGGACCUAGCCUCGACCUUGACUCGAACAAGGAAGGGCUACAACGGUUGUACUUCCUCCAUAAAGAAAUAUAAGAGUGUUUAGGGAAAGCGGCGUUACUGAGAUGGGCGGCAUCUAUGGGCGGCAUCUGAACUUGUUAUCUUGGUCGUACGUCCAGCUCCAGGGAUUUGCGCUAGUGGGUCCAUGGCAGGAAAUACGGGUGGAAGAAAUUGACGUCGACUGGCGCCUGGGCUCGUCUUUUUGAAAUGCACGUUACGCUGACGAGCCGAGCCGUUGAUCGGGUCCGUCACCAGAACAUGACCCAAGGAUCAGAAACGUAAUCACGCUGUCUGCUGCUUAGACACGCGUCGUCUGUUGCAUGGCCAAUCAGCGGCGAACACGUGUCCUGACAGACCCCCACCACUCAAACAACCACAAUUUCUUUUUCCUAAUUUACAGAAUAUAUUUUUGCCUUGCCUUAUCCAGCGGACUGCUGCUGUUCCACACUCCAUAGCCUCUCCUUGUACAGCUCCGUGAAAGAUGAUUCCGACGAGGUGAGGUCCACCGCUCGACGCCGUAGCUGGCGGCCAGACGGGAGCUUUCGCGGCUAGCGCCGCCCGCCUCCGGCCUGCUGCGCCGCGUGGGGCAGUGGCCUUGACUGAAGGCAAGAUGGGGUCCGUGCAAGCUAGCUCCGCUCUCUUUAGCCGCGCUACGCCGCACGGGGCCCUAUCCUUCGCCGGUGGGAAGACGGGGGCCAUCGCGGCUAGCACCGUCCGCGUCCGGCGCAUCCAAGGCUAUGGCCAACCCGCUCCCUCGUAGAAGGUGGAACCACAACGCGUGGACCCAGUCGGCGGGCGCGGCCGUGGCCGGUGGCGAGAUGCCGCGGGAGGUCGUUGGGUCACACUUGAAGAAGCGUGAGCUCGAUGCAUCUCAGCAGGAAAAGGUGAUUCUAGUUGCUUGCUUCUAUCCAACGUUUUGGCUACCAAAUCCCAAGAAAAUACCGAGGGUGGGCGAGAAACGCGGAUACCAUAAAAUUCCGAGCAAAAACUGCUCGAAUUUUUCAAACGUAAUUUGAAUUCAAAUUUUUCUGAGCUAAGAAUAUAUAAGUAUUGAGCUCAAGUGGUUCACAACCAAGGUGUUUGCGCAGUGGCAUGUUCUCGUCGUCCGUCCUCAAACGUAUGCAAGGUCGUGGAUUCAAUUCUCUAACCUUGAGUUUUUAAAUUUUUAUUUAAGAAUUGGUUAAACAAAAAAGAAAACAGUGUCUUUUUGAAAUGCACGUUAUGUUGACGAGCCUAGUCGUCGAUCGGGUCCAUCAUGAGAACCUGACCCAAGGAUCAGACACGUAAUCGCGUCGUCUGCUUCUUAGACACGCGCCGUCAGCUGCAGGGCCAACCAGCGGCCUACACGUGUCCUGACAGACCCCCACCACUCAAACAACCACAAUUCCUUUUUUCUAAUUAACAGAAUAUCUUUUUGCCUUGCCUUAUCCAGCGGACUGCUGCUGUUCCACACUCCAUAGCCUCUACUUGUACAACUCCGUGAAAGAUGAUUCCGGCGAGGUGAGGUCCGCCGCUCAGCGCCGUAGCUGGCGGCCAGACGGGGGCUAUCGCGGCUAGCGCCGCCCGCGUCCGGCCUGCUGCGCCGCGUGGGGCAGUGGCCUUGACUGAAGGCAAGAUGGGGUCCGUGCAAGCUAGCUCCGCUCGCUUCAGCCGCGAUGCGCCGCACGGGGUUGUAUCCUUGGCCGGUGGGAAGACGGGGGCCGUUGCGGCUAGCACCGCCCGUGUCCGGCCCGUCCAAGGCUGUGGCCGACCCUCUCCCUCGUAAAAGGUGGAACCACAGCGAGAUGCCGCGGGAGGUCGUUGGGUCACACUUGAAGAAGCGUGAUCUCGAUGCAUCUCAACAGGCAAAGGUUAUUCUAGUUGCUUGCUUCUAUCCAACGUUUAGGCUACCGAAUCCCAAGAAAAUACCGAGGGUGAGCGAGAAACGCGGAUACCGCGGUUACCAUAAACUUCUGAUCAAAAACCGCUUGAUUUUUUCAGACGUAAUUUGAAUUCAAAUUUUUCUGUGCUAGGAAUAUAUAAGUAUUGAGCUCAAGUGUCCGGCCCGUCCAAGGCUAUGGCCGAGCCGCUCCUCGUAAAAGGUGGAACCAUAGCGAGAUGCCGCGGGAGGUCGUUGGGUCACACUUGAAGAAGCGUGAGCUUGAUGCAUCUCAACAGGCAAAGGUUAUUCUAGUUGCUUGCUUCUAUCCAACGUUUUGGCUACCGAAUCCCAAGAAAAUACCGAGGGGGGGGGGGCGAGAAACGCUGAUACCGCGGUUACCAUAAACUUCUGAGUAAAUACCGCUCGAUUUUUUCAAACGUAAUUUGAAUUCAAAUUUUUCUGUGCUAGGAAUAUAUAAGUAUUGAGCUCAAGUGGUUCACUAACAAGGUAUUGGCGAAGUGGCAUGUUCUGGUCGUCCGUCCUCUACGUAAUGGGUAACAAGUAAUGAAAGUAAAUAAGAUGCAGCAAUAUAGCCCAAUCCUUUUUAUAGCAAAGGACAAGUCUGGACAAACUCUUAUAUAAAGGAAAACACUCCCGAGGACACAUGGGAAUUAUCGUCAAGCUAGUUUUCAUCACGUUCAUAUGAUUUGCGUUCGUUACUUUGAUAAUUUAGUAUGUGGGUGGACCGGUGCUUGGGUACUGCCCUUUCUUGGACAAGCAUCCCACUUAUGAUUAACCCCUAUUGCAAGCAUCCGCGACUACAAAAGAAGUAUUAAUGUAAACCUAACCAUAGCAUGAAACACAUGGAUCCAAAUCAGCCCUUAUGAAGCAACUCAUAAACUAGGGUUUAAGCUUCUGUCACUCUAGCAACCCAUCAUCUACUUAUUAUUUCCCAAUGCCUUCCUCUAGGCCCAAACAAUGGUGAAGUGUCAUGUAGUCGAUGUUCACAUAACACCACUAGAGGAGAGACAACAUACAUCUCAUCAAAAUAUCGAACGAAUACCAAAUUCACAUGACUAAUUAUAGCAAGACUUCUCCCAUGUCCUCAGGAACAAACGUAACUACUCACAAAUCAUAUUCAUGUUCAUAAUCAGAGGAGUAUUAAUAUGCAUAAAGGAUCUGAACAUAUGAUCUUCCACCAAAUAAACCAACUAGCAUCAACUACAAGGAGUUAUCAACACUACUAGCAACCCACAGGUACCAAUCUAAGGUUUUGAGACAAAGAUUGGAUACAAGAGAUGAAGUAGGGUUUGAGAGGAGAUGGUGCUGGUGAAAAUGUUGAUGGAGAUUGACCCCCUCCCACUGUCCGUUCAUGCCUCCGGCGACGCCAACCGUCGCUAGAUCAAACCACUGCUGCCAUUGACAACACGCACGGGAUCGAGAUUUUGUUUUUGUUUUUGAAAGUAGCGCGUGGUAUAAGACACGCUACAGAUAAUUAGCAGUAGUGCUGUCUGCAACGCAUGCUACAUCUAACCAUGUAUAGCAGUAGCGUGUGUCAAAACGCGCUACUGCUACAAGUUAGCUGUGGCGUGCCCGCUCUACUGAUACACCCAAAACCCGCCCUGCUGCUAGGCUUUUCCCUAGUAGUGGGACUUACCCACUAACUAUUAGCAACGGGGUAGAUUAUACCUGCCUCCAGAAGCUUUAGUAUUUCUUUUCUUACCACUUCUUUCAUCUUAGGAUUUAACCUGCGUUGGUGAUCAACAACCGGUUUAGCGUCUUUCUCCAAUUUUAUUUUGUGUUGGCAUAAAGUGGGACUAAUGCCCUUAAGAUCAUCAAGAGUAUAUCCAAUAGCAGCACGGUGCUUCUUCAGAGUUUUCAUUAAUUUCUCUUCUUCUUGCUCUGAAAGAUUAGCACUAAUAAUAACAGGAUAUAUCUUCUUUUCAUCAAGAUAAGCAUAUUUAAGAGUAUCAGGUAAUGGUUUAAGCUCAAACACGGGAUCACCCUUGGGUGGAGGAGGAUCCCCUAGGAUUUCAAUAGGCAAGUUGUGUUUCAAAAUAGGUCCCUAUUUAAAGAAUACUUCAUCUAUUUUCCUUCUUUCAUUCAUAAACAUAUCAUUUUCAUGGUCUAGCAAAUAUUGUUCUAAAGGGUCAUUAGGAGGCACAACAAUAGAGGCAAGACCAAUAAUUUCAUCUUUACUAGGUAGUUCUUUAUCAUGGGGUUGUCUAUGGAAUUUAGCAAAAUUAAACUCAUGAGACAUAUCCCCCAAUCCAAUAGUAAAAAUAUCCUUUUUGCACUCUAUCCUAGCAUUAACAGUAUUCAAGAAGGGUCUACCAAAUAUAAUGGGACAAAAGUUAUCUUGUGGGGAACCAAGAACAAGAAAAUCAGCAGGAUAUUUGACUUUCCCACACAAGACUUCAACAUCCCUAACAAUCCCAACUGGUGAAAUAGUAUCUCUAUUGGCAAGCUUAAUUGUAACAUCAAUUUCUUCUAUCUCAGCAGGUGCAAUAUCAUGCAUAAUUUAUUUGUAUAAGGAAUGGGGUAUUGCACUUGAACUAGCACCCAUAUCACAUAAGCCAUGAUAGCAAUGAUCUCCUAUUUUAACAGAAAUAACAGGCAUGCUUACAACAGGUCUAUGUUUAUUUAGUAUUAGGUCUAGCAAUUCUAGCAGCUUCAUCACAGAAGUAAAUAACACGCCCAUCAAUAUUAUCGGCCAAGAGAUCUUUAACCACAACAAUACUAGAUUCAACUUUAAUUUGCUCAGGGGGUGUAGGUGUUCUAGUAUUACUCUUACGAACCAUAGUUGAAGCUUUAGCAUGAUCCUUUAUUCUAACAGGAAAGGUGGUUUCUCAAUAUAAGCAGUAGGAACAACAGGAUCAACAUUAUAAGUGAUAGUCUUUUCUUCAACUUUAAUAGGUGAAACUACUUUUACUUCAAUGGGAGGAUUAUAUUUAAACCACUUCUCCUUAGGGAGAUCAACAUGAGUAGCAAAGGAUUCACAGAAAGAAGCUACUAUCUCAGAGUCAAGUCCAUAUUUAGUGCUAAAUUCAUGGAAAACAUCGGUAUCCAUAAAAUAUUUAACACAAUCAAACUUAGGUGUUAUACCUGGCUCGUUACCUUCGUCGAGAUCCCAAUCUUCAAAGUUGUGUUUAGUUCUUUCUAAUAAAUCCCAUUUGAGUUCAAUAGUUUUCAUCAUAAAAGAGCCAGUACAAAAGUAUCGAGCAUGGAGCGAUUAUUGAGAGAAAGCCGAGCAUAAAUUUUUUGAAUAAUAAUUUCUCUUGAGGGGUCAUGAUUGGGGCAUGAAUAUAACAUUGACUUAAGCCUCCCCAAGCUUGAGCGAUGCUUUCUCCUUCGCGAGGCCAAAAAUUAUAUAUAUAUAUUUGCGAUCAUGAUGAACAAGAUGCAUAGGAUAAAACUUCUGAUGAAAUUCCAAUUUCAAUCGGUUGUAGUUCCAUGAUCCCAUAUCAUUACAUAGCCUAAACCAUGUCAAUUCCUUUCCCUUCAAAGAUAAAGGGAAGACCUUCUUCUUGAUAACAUCCCGGGGCAUACCUGCAAGCUUAAAUAACCCACAAACUCUAUCCACAUAGAUUAGGUGUAAAUCGGGAUGCAAUGUUCCAUCUCCUGUAAAAGGAUUAGCUAGCAGUUUCUCUAUCAUACCCAAAGGAAUUUCAGAGUAAACAUUUUUAGUAGGUUCAGUAGGUUGAGGAGAAACUCUUUGCUCUACUGGUCGGGGUGAAUAUACCCCGAACAAGCCCCUCAAAGGAUUACUUUCCAUAGCAACAAGUGACAGUAAAUUUUAGCACACUAUAUAAAUUUUUCCUUACCAAAUUCCACCUACCAAAGGCGCUUCACUCCCCGGCAACGGCGCCAGAAAAGAGUCUUGAUGACCCACAAGUGUAGCGGAUCUAUCGUAGUCCUUUCGAUAAGUAAGAGUGUCGAACCCAACGAGGAGCAGAAGGAAAUGACAAGCGGAUUUCAGUAAGGUAUUCUCUGCAAGCACUGAAAUUAUCGGUAACAGAUAGUUUUGUGAUAAGGCAAUUAGUAACAGGUAAAAAGCAAUUAAUGAAAGUAAAUAAGGUGCAGCAAGAUGGCCCAAUCCUUUUUAUAGCAAAGGACAAGCCUGGACAAACUCUUAUAUGAAGGAAAACGCUCCGGAGGACACAUGGGAUUUAUCGUCAAGCUAGUUUUCAUCACGUUCAUAUGAUUCGCGUUCGUUACUUUGAUAAUUUGGUAUGUGGGUGGACCGGUGCUUGGGUACUGCCCUUUCUUGGACAAGCAUCCCACUUAUGAUUAACACCUAUUGCAAGCAUCCGCGACUACAAAAUAAGUAUUAAGGUAAACCUAACCAUAGCAUGAAACAUAUGGAUCCAAAUCAGCCCCUUACGAAGCAACUCAUAAACUAGGGUUUAAGCUUCUAUCACUCUAGCAACCCAUCAUCUACUUAUUACUUCCCAAUGCCUUCCUCUAGGCCCAAACAAUGGUGAAGUGUCAUGUAGUCGAUGUUCACAUAACACCACUAGAGGAGAGACAACAUACAUCUCAUCAAAAUAUCAAACGAAUACCAAGUUCACAUGACUACUUAUAGCAAGACUUCUCCCAUGUCCUCAGGAACAAACGUAACUACUCACAAAUCAUAUUCAUGUUCAUAAUCAGAGGAGUAUUAAUAUGCAUAAAGGAUCUGAACAUAUGAUCUUCCACCAAAUAAACCAAUUACUAUCAACUACAAGGAGUAAUCAACACUACUAGCAACCUACAGGUACCAAUCUAAGGUUUUGAGACAAAGAUUGGAUACAAGAGAUGAACUAGGGUUUGAGAGGAGAUGGUGCUGGUGAAGAUGUUGAUGUGACCCCCUCCUGCUGAGAGGAUCGAUGGUGAUGACGAUGGUGAUGAUUUCCCCCUCCCAGAGGGUUGUUUCCCCGGCAGAACAGCUCCGCCGCAGCCCUAGAUUGGUUCCGCCAAGGUUCCGCCUCGUGGCGGCGGUGUUUCGUCCCGAAAGCUUUCUUCUGAUUUUUUCCAGGGUGAAAGACUGCAUAUAGCAGAAGAUGGGCACCGGAGGCCUGCCAGGGGGCCCACGAGGCAGGGGGCGCGCCCAUGGGGUAGGGCACGCCCCCACCCUCGUGGAUGGUGGGUGGCCCCCUCUGGUUGAUCCUUUCGCCAGUAUUUUUUAUUAAUUCCAAAAACUGCCUCCGUGAAGUUUCACGACUUUUGGAGCUGUGCAUAAUAGGUCUCUAAUAUUUGCUCCUUUUCCAGCCUAGAAUUCCAGUUGCCGGCAUUCUCCCUCUUCAUGUAAACCUUGUAAAAUCAGAGAGAAUAAGCAUAAGUAUUGUGACAUAAUGUGUAAUAACUGCCCAUAAUGCAAUAAAUAUCGAUAUAAAAGCAUGAUGUAAAAUGGACGUAUCAGUGCUCUGUCGCCACUCUGUCCACGUCUUCAAUGCGGCCCUUCUUGCUUCACCCUAGCGUUUCAUUAAUCUGGCGAGUGUUCCUCCUGCCAUUCGCUCUUUGUGAGGAUGCGUAUGUCACCUUUCUCUAUUGGUUGUUGUCAUGUCCCGCAAGUGUGUUUCUCUGCUUGCCAACUACAUGAGGCAAGCGAAGACACAACAGAGUUGCAGAUUAGGUACUUGGGUCACCGACCAACAAAAUCAACUCACCGGAGCUCCUGAUUCAUCUUUGCCACUUAUCAUUCAAUUUUUGAAUGCGGAUUCUGCUAUUCUAUUUCAUAUAGGCUACAUCUACAUGGAUGCAUCAACUCUGCUCCAUAAAUAUGGAUACAAAGUGUUUGGUGUAAUUUUCUUUGAUAAUUUUGUGUUGCCAUUUCUCCCAUUCAGCAUAUUUUAGAAUUUAUAAUGGCCAAUACCUAUCCAUCAAAGUACAAGUUCAUUCUCAAGUGUUGCAAUUUGUAUGCUCAAACAAAAUGACGUCUGCGUGGAUGUCCGGAUCAAGCACCACGCCUAAUCGUUCAUAAGUUCAGGUGAUAUGGCAACUAUCCCUUUGAAUUAUAUAAAGAUCAAUGUCGAUGCAAGUUUUGUGGAGAGCAUUAGUGCAGCGAGUGUGGGAGUGGCGGCAAGGGACUCUUCUAGGAGGGUCAUAGUCUCCUCCUAGGAUUUCAUUGGACUUUGUAAGAGCGUGGAGGAGGCAGAGCUCCGUGCUUGCAUUGCCGGUCUUUAUAUAGGUAUUACUCUACAAAAUCCUAUUAUCUUAGAGACUGACUAUGCGUUUGUGGUGGCGACCCUAGAAAAUGAAAAUUUUGACAGAUCAUCAUUGGUGGAUUUGAAGAAGGAAGCGAUGAGUACCUCCAAGCUUAAGAUUUCGGCCAGUCUUAAGAUCUCCAAGAUCAAUCGCUCGGACAAUGUGGUGGCCCAUAUGAUUGCUAAAUUUAGCUUUGAUAAUAGAUCAGAUGGUAUCUUAGUUAGUGGUGUUCCGUCCUGCGUGGUGAAUUUUGUAAUAAGUGAUUGUAAUAACUACGUUGGUUAAUUAAUAUAUGAGGUGGUUUUUUAAAAAAUGACGUCUGCAGGAAAUUUGGAUCUCGUAAUCUUAAAUGGUUUGGAUUCUAGUAGUAAGUUCUUUAUGUAGGACCCCCUACUGGAAUUAGCACUUUUUGUUGUAUAAAUUUAGCUCUAUAGGGGCACAUGAAUUGUACCAAUGAAGAACUUAGUACAGAGGAAAUUAGAAUUUACUAAAGUUUGAAGGAACUGCCUUGUUCUGAAAUUGUUGCUCUUGUUGGAUUGUUCUGUGUCAUACCUAAAUAAAAAUUCUAAUAUUAGCAUAUAAUUGGGUGGACCAUAUUCUUGAUUGGGGGUCGUAUCUAGAGGACGAGUAAUACUUCACUUAUACUUGUGGUCUGGUAUACUUGAGCCGGUGCAUCACAAGUGCUUCUUUGUUUUUAUCCUUUAUUAAUAUAUUUAUUGUUUGGAAGGAGGAGGUUGCAUAUUAUUCUACAUGACCCCUUUGUUGAAUACAAUCAACAUGCUACAUCGAUUGUUGUUUACUGCUAUACUUACACGCACUUUAUGCAUGCUUCUUAGAGCUACUAUGAUUUUCCGGUGCAAAUAUGCAUGCAUUCUGGUGUACUUAAUUAUGAUGUCUUAGAAUCCUCACUUUUAUAAUACUUAUUCUUGCUAAAGUUUACAGCCAUAGCUGGAUUAUCCUAAUCAUUUGUACUACACAAGUUACACCAAUAACCAUGUUUUUCUAUGCACAUAUCUCCUUAGGAUUACUAAUCUGAAUAAUGUAAGCUCAGUUAAGGUAGGCUAUAAAGUUGUUUUGUGUACUCAAAUAAAGAAUCAUUCGCAAAACAGUGGGUCAUUCACUUGUGAUGAUGAAUACUUUUUCCAUCAGAUUGUUGUCCAUAAAGAAUUAUGUAUUGGAACAUUAGCAACUCACUUUCUACACUUUCAGAAAGGAAGUUAAAUUUUGGUGUUCUUGUUUUGAAAAAUUUGGACCCCUCAUCAAAUACUAUUAAGCCAAAAGGGACAGCGAGGUUGGACAUUCGAACAUACAACUACAAUGGGAUGGAACAUGGCUAUGAAUAUAUCAAUUGCUUUUGGGAUAACAUAAUAAUCGAAGCACAACACAUUUAAAGUUACUUCCCAGCUUCCUUAAGCGUCAAACUGAUAUUUGCGCAACAAGUAGUAAGGCUAGGAUUGGGUAGUAGGAUUCGAACAACUGGAUAAGCUAGAUCUACCCUAUGCAAGGAUUUUAGCAAUCAUCACAUGCACAAUUUCAUCAGGGAGAGACCAUACAAACCUCUAUUUUGCAUGCAGUUUGUUGGUUGAGGUAAGCAUAACCCGAUGCAUACAUUUCAGAUUUAGGUCUAGGUUUAAUUAUUCUUCGGCCUACUUCAUGCUUUUCCUGUUUAGUAUUUGUAACAUGGUGCCAGAAGGGUGUGUGUACUCUGAAUUACUUGUUCUUUACGCAAAAGAAAAUGUAUUUAGAUUGUUUCUGGCCUUGAGAUUAUUUAUAUCUUCAACAUCCAAGUGACUGGCUUGCAGGCUGCUCUUUUUAGCAAUGAAGGAACCGUUUCUGUGGUGCAUGCUAAUAGUUAUUUAUUUCUGACAUAAGGAACGGAAAAUCAAUUCGGCUCCCGGGUGCAUUUGCACCCGGGGCCAUUUUUGAUUUUUUUCAAAUGUCGAAAAAAUUGAAACAAAUUUUUUUGUCAUCUUUGUCACAUAUAAAUGCGGCCCUCAAAACUUGAGACAAAAAUUCUAAUCAUUUUGGCUUGCGCAAAAAAAAUCAAAGACCAAAUGUCACCUCAAAAUGUCACCCAAAAUUUGUUUUUUUCACCGACGAAACACCGCUGCUCCGUUCCGCGUGAAUUUCGUCAAGCAUGUUUGCGACACCAACAUGAUCAUCUACAAUUUUUUCAGAUAUUUUUGAAAACAUUUAAUUUGUUUUUUCGGGGUACUGUUCAUCCGGGUGCAAAUGCACCCGGGAGCCAAAACGCCUCCCCCCAUAAGGAAUCCAUGUAAACUUUCUAACUCUUAUAUUGAAACUAAAGUUACCUUCUUCGCCUUAGUGUAGCACCAUGCAUAUGUCGCUGCUGGAAGAUAUGCUUCCGUGCUCAUCUUUUCUACAAUGUAGUGCAGACACACUACCUUCUCUAAAACUUUGAUAACUGUUCUUUGAAGAUUUAGCAUCAAUUGUUCUUUCACUGUCCCUGCAAUGCAAAAGAUGAUGUCAGGCAGAAAUGUUUUACCUACAAUCGAAGAUUUUUUUACCAUUAGUAGAUCUGUUUUGUACUCAUCUCUUCUACAAUGUGAAUUGAAUGUACAGGUUCUGGAAAAGUUAGCACUUUUUGUUUAACGAUUUACCAUAUGUUGUUCUUUCCAGGCUCCUAUAGUUUAAAUGGUGUUGCGAGGCGAUGAUGCAUGGCUGAAACUAAAGAUUUCCCCCAAAAUUGUUUGGGAUGACCUUUGCCAAUUCUUCUUUCAUAAUAGUUUAGUUCUUGCAUAUUGUUUUCUGUUAUACAUUAUCUAAUUUGAGAUGAUCACUAACUUCACUUAUUUGUGUUGCACCUACAAAAAUUUGCCCUAGAAAGAUUUGCAUGCUAUUUGAUUGCCUCUGAAAGUGCUUUGUCUCAAAGUUGUUUCUUAGCGACUCUGCUCUCUCGACUCGAGUCAUUCUACUUCAGUUUGAAAGUUGACUGGUAGAAUUGCAUUUUUAAUUUAAGUUUCCUGAAACGCAAAACUCCGAGGCUCGCCAAAAUGUAUUGUUUGGUCGAGAAAUAGGAACAUGAAGACUUUGUUGAUGAGUACUUUGUUUUUUAUCGGUUAUAAUGGAGCAAGUGCAGCAAAGCGCGCCUUUCCCUUCUAGUCGGUUACGAUUACUAUAUUUGCACGUAAAAUUGGAUCAGUGAUAGAACACCCAUGAUAUGACCAAGUAACAUGGAAGUAUAUUGUAUGUGCAAGUAGAUGGUUGUUCCCAUCACCAUCGCUAAUCGUUGAGGUGCAUCAUCCAUGUCAGAUGUUUCUAAUUGAAGAAAUCCCCUAUAUCACUAAGCUCCCUAAGGAAAAAUCGUCCAGGAGAGAUCCAAGCGAUUGAUUGCCUUGUGCGAUCAAUUUUGACCGGGUCGUCGUGUGUACAACCUGCAUCUGGUGAGGUGGCAGGUCUGUGGGCCUUUUUUGUUAGGGGCGGUUGGCAAGAGCAUGGGUUGUCGGUGGCUGGCAAAGGCGGUAUCUUCUGGUUAAAUGAGGUUUUCUAUGGUCAAAGCGUCAUGGCAGUUGCGAGGGGUUGCGAAGCACGUGGCAGUCAGAGGUAGUGUGGCCAUGCGGGCGUUGCAGUCAUCUAUAGGGGAUGGGAGGCUUUUGGGAGGCAUUUGGGUCACCCCCGUUGGGUGCGCCGCUGUUGGAUCUUGCUUGCGGGCAGCCGCCAGGGAGGUCGUCGCCGUGUUGACGCUCAAAAGUGGCAUGAUCAUAAAGAGUAGCUUGAAGGUAUGUAAAGAUUAAUUCAAACUUAUUAUUGAAAGUCAUCAUGGGAUGGCUCUCUUCGAGAAGAUCAAGAUUGAAAGUGCAACUAUCCCUAGGUGGUUUUGGUAAUUCAUAACAAUAUAUAGCUCACUGAGCUAAUGCUAUUCCAAGACUAUUAUUUCAGGAAAGCUCAAUGAAUGGCAUGGCAUGGAUGAUGAAAGUGGACCCCUCAAAAUAUCAAGGACAAAGGAUUGGCCCAAGCUCAAAAGCUCAAGACUCUUCCUUUUACAUUUUAGUGAUCCAAGAUCACAUUGAGUCUAUAGGAAAAGCCAAUACUAUCAAGGAGGAAUGAGGUGUUGCUUAAUGAGCCUCUUGCUUCAAGUGCUUAGUGAUAUGCUCCAAAUACCCUCAACUACUUUCUCACAUCCUCAUAUGACCUAAACCUAAAGCCAAAAUCGGUCACACCGAUUCUUUCUAUCCGGCGCCACCGAGUUCAGAUGUCAUAGCCACUGCCACAAACCCUAGGCAAAUCGGUGUCACCGAUAGGGAUCCCGGUCUCACCGAGAUGGGAUUGUAAUCUCUUUGUUUCCCUUCGUAACGUUUCGGUCUAACCGAAGUGAGCGAUUGGUCCCACCGAGAUUGCAAUGUAAACUCUCUGUUUCCCUUUUGUAACAUUUCGGUCUCACCGAAAAGAGCAAAUCGGUCUCACCGAGUUUACCUGACCAACUCUCUUGUUAGCUAAUUACCAAAAUCGGUCUCACCGAGUUUGUGUAAUCGGUCUCACCGAGAUUAUGUUAUGCCAUAACCCUAACCAUAUCGGUCCUACCAAGUUGCAUGUCGGUCCCACCGAAAAUCCUAACGGUCACUAGGUUUACUAAAUCGGUCUGACCGAGUUUGUUGAUUCGGUCCCACCGAGAUUGGUAAAUUGUGUGUAACGGUUAGAUUUUUUGUGGAGGCUAUAUAUACCCCUCCACCUCCUCUUCAUUCAUGGAGAGAGCCAUCAGAACAAACCUACACUUCCAACUUACCAGUUCUGAGUGAGAACUACCUACUCAUGUGUUGAGGCCAAGAUAUUCCAUUCCUACCAUAUGAAUCUUGAUCUCUAGCCUUCCCCAAGUUGCUUUCCACUCAAAUAUUAUUUCCACCAGAUCCAAAUCCUAUGUGAGAGAGUUGAGUGUUGGGGAGACUAUCAUUUGAAGCACAAGAGCAAGGAGUUCAUCAUCAAUGCACCAUUUGUUACUUCUUGGAGAGUGGUGUCUCCUAGAUUGGCUAGGUGUCACUUGGGAGCCUCCCACAAGAUUGUGGAGUUGAACCAAGGAGUUUGUAAGGGCAAGGAGAUUGCCUACUUCAUGAAGAUUUACCGCUAGUGAGGCAAGUCCUUCGUGGGCGACGGCCAUGGUGGGAUAGACAAGGUUGCUUCUUCGUGGACCCUUCUUGGGUGGAGCCCUCCGUGGACUCGCGCAGCCGUUACCCUUCGUGGGUUGAAGUCUCCAUCAACGUGGAUGUACGAUAGCACCACCUAUCGGAACGACGCCAAAAACAUCCGUGUCUCCAACUGCGUUUGAAUCCUCCAAACCCUUCCCUUUACUUUCUUGCAAGUUGCAUGCUUUAAUUUCCGCUGCCUAUAUACUCUUUGCAUGCUUGCUUGAUUUGAGUGAUGAUUGCUUGACUUGUCCAAAGGUUGCUAAAAUCUGCAAAACUCUAAAAUUGGGAAAAGGUUAAGUUUUUAAUUGGUCAAGUAGUCUAAUCACCCCCCCUCUAGACAUACUUCAAGGUCCUACAAGUGGUAUCAGAGCCUUGGUCUCCAUUUGCUUCGAUUACCAUAGCUUUUGGUGGUCAUAGCCUUGGUUUAACAACCUAGGAGAGUAUGGCACCUAGCGAGGGAAAUUAUCACCGUAGAGGUCCUUACUUUGAUGGCACUAAUUUUGCUAGUUGGAAACAUAAGAUGAAAAUGCAUAUUCUCGGACAUAACCCCGCCGUUUGGGCUAUUAUUUGUAUUGACUUGCUAGGUGAUGAUGAUUUACUUGUUGACAACUCUAGUGAUGAAUACUAUGAUGGAACAUCAAUUAAUCAUGGUAAACAAGAUAAAACGAAUGACAAUGAUAAGGAGAAGAUUGAGCUUCUAACUAAAGAACUAAACACUCUUAAGUUAGCUCAUGAAACUAUCUUCGAGAAUCAUCGAGAACUUUUAAGGGCUCAUGAGAAGUUAUGCUUUGAAAAGCUCAAUCUUGAGCAAGAGCAUGAGUUCUUAAAGGCAAUCAAUGAUGAUCUUCGCAAGAAAAGUUCUUAUAUUGCCAAGUGUUUACUCUUAUCCACUUACAUGCCUCAAGUCAAGUCUAGUAACAAGAACAAGAAAGAUUCUUCCUCUAGUAGUAACAAUGAUUAUGCUAAAUUAAAUAUUGUUGCUUCUAGUAGUUCACUUGAUUCCACUAAUGAUUCUCUUAGCCAAGUUACACUUGAGCAAGAAAAUAGCUUAUUGAAGGGAAUUAUAGAGAAAGGUGUAUACAAGAGUCUUGCCGCGAGUAAGCAAUUCGAGGAAAUUGUACGCAAGCAAGGAAGGCACCGGAAGAAUCAAGGUGUUGGUUUUGAACGAAAGUUCAAUGCCAAUGGAGUUGAGCGGGAAGAAGAUCAAUACCCCAAGACGAAGUUUGUUCCUCAACAAGAGAAGUAUGAUCCUACUUCCUUCAAGGGAACACAAACACAAGAUGAUCUUCCACCACAAGACCACAAGAACAAAGGCAAGGACAAGCUUCAAGAGGAGAUUGAUGCAUUUGAAGAAGCACCCAAGGCCUUGGUCAAGUGGGUUCCCAAGACUACGCCAAGUUCUACUUCAUCAAGUACAACUACAACUCCAAGGAUUCCCAUCAAGAUGAUGUGGAUCCCGAAGAAGAAGAACUAGAGAGUUCUUGAGGGUGACUCCGCCAACAUUCUUCACUCAUAUCAUUAUGGCAAGAACAAGUGCAAUCAACUUCCACAUCUUGCACUAGUUCAAGGAGUCACAAACCCUCAUGUUGGUAAGGCAAGGGACUAGGUAACCUAAUGAUUUCAUGGACACCAUCUUGUGUGUGCAUCACUCUAUGUCUAUGGAUAUUCUUGUUUGUUCCUUGUGGGACUAACCCAUGUAGGUAUGUUGAAAGUGCAACUCACUCCAAAGGAUUGCUCCAAAUGAUCUACACCAACAUUGAGCAUUCACAUCUUCAACACCUACAUGAAGUCAUCAUCGACAAAACCCGAGGUUAGUUCAUUCCUCUAAAAGGGGAUGUCACAUAUAGGGGGAGCUUAACUCUAAGAAUUGAGUCAAAGCAACUCUAAUGGUGUGAACACAUCAAUGCAUUAUGUAAAAGUGGUAACCCCACUUGAGCUUAAACGAUGAGUGUGACCUAUGAUCAAAUGUUCUCAUUUGACUCCUAAGUCAAUAUACUCAUAUAUAGAUGACCUAGUCAUCGCCAAUUGUUUGAUAGAUGCUAGAUUUGGUUGUGCAUGCUUUGCCACAUAUUUCAUUUGUCAUUUUAUUGUGUGAGCAUGUUGGUUUCAUAUUUUAAUCAUUCGAGGACAUCCACUUGUUGUUUUGAUUGAUUGGUUUCUAUUUCUUUGGCCAAGUGGAUGGACAAGAAUGCCUAAGAACCUUCUCUAGCUAUCUAUGCUUUUCUUGUCUCAAACUCUAUUCAUGCUACAUCACAAAAUUUGAUCAAGUCAGAUUCGAACCACUCUGUGUGAGGAGCACUCGGAGUCCCCGAUUCGUCAGAGACUUAAACUUCCAAAACUUCUUUGUGAUUCUCGGUCUGACCUAUUCCUCCAUUUCGGUCCCACCGAGAUCACUAAGUCGAUCUAGGUUUUCAAUCUCGGUGCAACCGAUUUGAACUUUUCGGCCCCACCAAGUUGCAGUAACUGUAUAUAGUUAUGCAUCUCGGUGUCACCGAGUUGUUCCACUCGGUCACACCGACAGGGUCGGGCUAUAUAUAGUCACGGGCAAAAAUUUGGAAAUUCCUCCAAUCCCCUUCGCCCGCGCAUUGCUCACUCUGCCUCCAGGGUCUCUGGAUCGUCUCCUUGUCGCCAGCCGCCUCCUAUCGCUGGUCUCCACCGCCGUCAACGGAUUUCACCCCCGCCGUUGCCACCGUAGCGAGUUCAUUGCCGAGCUAGGGUAUGGACUCAAUCACAGUGCUAUCUUCGUCUGAUUCCUAGCAUAUUGUAUUCAUCAUGUAUCUUGCCACGAUUGGAACACUCCUAUCCAGUCAAUAUGAUCCUUAGAAUAGAUGUGAUUUAAGAAUUUAGGGUUAGGUUUCCGCCGAAACCAUCUCGGACCCACCGAGUUGAAAAACUCGGUCCCACCGAUUUGGCUAACGCCAUUGCACUAGUAACUCUCGGUCUGACCGAGAAUUACAAAUCGGUGUGACCGAUUUUAGAACUUUGUGAAACCCUAGCAGUCUUGGUGCCACCAAACUAUGACUCGGUCUGACCGAGUUCACUAGUUUAGGUUCCAAAACUGCUUCGGUAUCACCGAGUUUGAAAGUCGGUAGAUCCGAAAUGCUUUCUGUGGAAACUAAAACUAAGUUUUUGAAUCAUUCUUUUGCAAAAAUCUCUGCAUUUUGUGAUGCUCAUCCAUUCUAUCUCAUCUAUAACUAUUCACAGGGUCAGCAGUCAGUGAUUUGCAGCAUGUCAGACCAAAGUGAUAGUCAGAACAAGUCAGCAAAGCAGAUUCACAUGAGUGAGGGCACUAGUCCCUCUAGCAGCUCAGAUGAAGGGAGCAGAAGCACUCCAAGCAACCUGCCCAAAGCAGCCACAAGAGCAAGAAGGAAGAGAACCUCAGACUCUAAGGAUGAGGAUUAUGUGGCUGUUGAAGAUGAGGCUACUUCCAAGAAGGUAGAGCUCAAAAAGGUGCACAGCUCAACUGCAGUAAAGCCAGGCAUGAAGAUCAAAAGGCCAGCAGGAAGACAGCCAAUGUCCAAAGCCAGGGCAUCAACUCAAGUACCUGAAAAGCCUGAUCCCAAAGAGCCAGCUGCAGAAGGAAAGAAAAGGAAGGAAAGGGUCAAGAAGACCAUGGCCAGAGUUGUUGGUUAACCUUCCAUGAUGGAAGAGGAAAAAGAGGUUGCUGCACCAGCACCCAAGACAUAGAAGCUUAUGGGUGAUGCUAUAAGAUCAGGGGCUGCAACAUCAAAGCCCAAAGAAGCACCCAAAGCUGCCCCAAGCCCAAGAAUGCACCAAAGAGGAAUAGCAGGAGUAUUCUAGCUGCUGAGAAGAACAAGGCCCCAGUGCCUGAAGUUGCUGAUGAUGAAGAGGAUGAAGGACAAGUCCUGAGGAAGCUAAAGCCCAACAUUCCAGACCACAAUGAUGCUCAUCCUGUAGCUGAGGACAUGAAAAUCAGGAGAGACUCAGGGUUGAGGCUAUGGAGGAUGACAGAUCCAUAUGCCACCAGGAGAAGGACUGUUGUUGAUUACAGGUUCCAUACAAAGGAACAGUAGGACUUCUAUGAGACAAUCUUGUUGGACAAGAAGCCCAUAGUGUGUGAUAUGAGGUGGGUCGACUGGACCUACAUGAAGGAGAAUGAGGAACACUAUCCUGGAGUGUAUGAUAGUUUUGAAGCUUGUGGAGUUGCAGAUUUUGUUGGGCAGAAUCUCACCAACUGGAAUGAUGAACUCAUUAUGCAAUUCUACUCCACAGCACACUUCUAUCCAGAUGGCAGGAUAGUGUGGAUGUCAGAAGGUACGAGGUACCAGUCAACCAUAGAAGAAUGGGCUAGCCUGAUCAAUGCCCCCAAGGAGAGUGAAGAUGACUUGGAUGUCUAUGCCAAGAAGAAAAUGGGACACAAUACUAUGGCACAUAUGUACAAGGAGAUCCCAGACAAAGCUCUUGAGACUUUCUCGUUUGGAUCAGUCCACUUUCUUCUUUCAAGGCUGCCUACGAUCAACUGGAUCCUAAGGCACACUCUUUUGCCCAAGUCAGGUGACCACAACAUGAUUAGAGGGCAUGCUAUCAACUUGCUGCAUAUAUUUGAUGUGCCACAGAAAUUCAAAGUCAUGAGCCUUAUGGUUGAGACCAUUAAGAGGACUGCAGCAGACCAGAAGAGAAGUUGUGGAUAUGCCCCACAGAUUCAGGAGUUGAUAAACUCAAAGAUGAGCACAAGCAAAUAUCUGUUGGAUAAGGAACAUUUUGCUCUUUAUCCAGACUUUGAGGACAAUCAAGUUGUCAUGACUGAGAAUGAACCAUCAUCAGUGCAAGCUCAAGAGAAGAAGGAGAAGGCAAGGAAAGAGAAGGCUGCCAAGAUGCCAACUCAAGAGGAGGCAUCUGAGUAUUUCUUGAAGAACAAACAUGAGCAGCUUGGUUACUUGAUAGCAUCAACACUGAGGAUUGAGAAGGGGUUGGCCACCCUAACUCAAAACCAGGAGAGCCUGGAAAGAAUCAUGGAACAAAAAUUCUAUGAUCUUGAUGUCAAAGUAACUGAGAUUCAGUCAGUUGUGGAGCAGCUUCAGGAAGACAUGCAUGAGAGGAAGGGCAAGACAACCACUGAUGCAUUUGCCAGAGUGCCUAGAGCUCAGAGGUCAGCUGUCGUGCCUGUGACAGACACUAGAGCCACAUCAUCUGCACCAGCAACAGCUUCUACAGCUCCAGGACAACUAGCUCCAGCACCAACUCCUCCAGCUCCCUCUACAUCAACUGAAGCCUUCAUCCAAGGAGUUAUCCGAACACCACCACCACCUGAAGACCAAGCCUGAGAGUCGAUCUAGCACUAUGCAUUUUUUAUGAACUUUUUGGUAACUUGUUGCCAAAUGGGGAGAAAAAUGUAUAGAUCAUAGGCUUCGAGAGAGAGAGUGUUGGUUCUUUUGUUCUCUCUUGUCUUCUUGGUUAAACUUUGUUUGCUUUUGAUUGUUUGAGAUACUAUGCAAUUACCUGUGAGACACUGAUGAUCAUGUGUGUGAUCAUAAGCUACACUUAUACCUGUUUGAUGAUAUUAUCUUACCUAUCCUUAUAUGAUCAUUCACUUUGCUUGGUGAUGAGUGCAUGUAUUCAAUCUUUAUUAUUUUGAGUGCUCCACCAAGAUGUAUGUGACAUGGAAGAGUAACCCAUGAGCCUAAUUCCUUGUGCAUUUGCAGUCCAAAGCAAAUCUUAAACUAUGCACAAAUUUAGGGGGAGCUCUUGCUUAUCACAUACUUCUCAAAGCGACGAUGUUUUACAAUCUUAUUAUCUUUUGUCGAAGCUUUGAUCUAUAUGUUGUCAUCAAUUACCAAAAAGAGGGAGAUUGAAAGUGCAACUAUCCCUAGGUGGUUUUGGUAAUUCAUAACAUCAUAUAGCUCAUUGAGCUAAUGCUAUUCAAAGACUAUUAUUUCAGGAAAGCUCAAUGAAUGGCAUGGCAUGGAUGAUGAAAGUGGACCCCUCAAAAUAUCAAGGACAAAUGAUUGGCUCAAGCUCAAAAGCUCAAGACUCUUCAUUUUACAUUUUAGUGAUCCAAGAUCACAUUGAGUCUAUAGGAAAAGCCAAUACUAUCAAGGAGGGAUGAGGUGUUGCUUAAUGAGCCUCUUACUUCAAGUGAUUAGUGAUAUGCUCCAAAUACCCUCAACUACUUUCUCACAUCCUCAUAUGACCUAAACCUAAAGCCAAAAUCGAUCACACCGAUUCUUUCUAUCCGGCGCCAAUGAGUUCAGAUGUCAUAGCCACUGCCACAAACCCUAGGCAAAUCGGUCUCACCGAUAGGGAUCUCGGUCUCACCGAGAUGGGAUUGUAAUCUCUCUGUUUCCCUUCGUAAUGUUUCGGUCUAACCGAAGUGAGCGAUCGGUCCCACCGAGAUUGCAAUGUAAACUCUCUAUUUCCCUUUUGUAACAUUUCGGUCUCACCGAAAAGAGCAAAUCGGUCCCACCGAGUUUACCUGACCAACUCUCUGGUUAGCUAAUUACCAAAAUCGGUCUCACCGAGUUUGUGUAAUCGGUCUCACCGAGAUUACGUUAUGCCCUAACCCUAACCAUAUCGGUCCUACCGAGUUGCAUGUCGGUCCCACCGAAAAUCCUAACGGUCACUAGGUUUACUAAAUCAGUCUGAACGAGUUUGUUGAUUCGGUCCCACCGAGAUUGGUAAAUUGUGCGUAACGGUUAGAUUUUGUGUGGAGGCUAUAUAUACCCCUCCACCUCCUCUUCAUUCGUGGAGAGAGCCAUCAGAACAAACCUACACUUACAACUUACCAGUUCCGAGAGAGAACUACCUACUCAUGUGUUGAGGCCAAGAUAUUCCAUUCCUACCAUAUGAAUCUUGAUCUCUAGCCUUCCCCAAGUUGCUUUCCACUCAAAUAUUCUUUCCACCAGAUCCAAAUCCUAUGAGAGAGAGUUGAGUGUUGGGGAGACUAUCAUUUGAAGCACAAGAGCAAGGAGUUCAUCAUCAAUGCACCAUUUGUUACUUCUUGGAGAGUGGUGUCUCCUAGAUUGGCUAGGUGUCACUUGGGAGCCUCUGACAAGAUUGUGGAGUUGAACCAAGGAGUUUGUAAGGGCAAGGAGAUCGCCUACUUCGUGAAGAUCUACCGCUAGUGAGGCAAGUCCUUCAUGGGCGACGACCAUGGUGGGAUAGACAAGGUUGCUUCUUCGUGGACCCUUCUUGGGUGGACCCCUCCGUGGACUCGCGCAGCCGUUACCCUUCGUGGGUUGAAGUCUCCAUCAACGUGGAUGUACGAUAGCACCACCUAUCGGAACGACGCCAAAAACAUCCGUGUCUCCAACUGCGUUUGAAUCCUCCAAACCCUUCCCUUUACUUUCUUGCAAGUUGCAUGCUUUAAUUUCCGCUGCCUAUAUACUCUUUGCAUGCUUGCUUGAUUUGAGUGAUGAUUGCUUGACUUGUCCAAAGGUUGCUAAAAUCUGCCAAACUCUAAAAUUGGGAAAAAGGGUAAUUUUUAAUUGGUCAAGUAGUCUAAUCACACUCCCUCUAGACAUACUUCAAGGUCCUACAAAGAUGGAUAUGAAGAUGGUCUAAAAUAGAGCUCAGAUGCAAAAGUUAUGACAAGAUCAGAGAUGCUCAUGUUGACACAAGAUUAAAGAAUGGCUGGAAACCCAAUUAAGAUGGCCUCGUAUGGAAAAAGUUUCAACACAAAGUUGUGCAUCUUGUCAAAACAAUUGAUUUUGAUAUAAAAACAUCUCAAUCAGAGUUCGUAUGCAAAAGUUAAAGCCAAAACAGUGUGUUGCAGAAGUCUACCCUGGAAGUUCCGGGCAACUUCUGGGCUAAACCGAAAGUUUGCACGAGGUGCGCCUUGUAAAUUGAAAUAUCAACAUUAUUUGCAGAUUUGCAGGCUCGAAUUCAACCUCAAGAUGACCUCAGAUGAAAAAGUGAUCAACUAAUGAGUUUUUCUCCAUUGGAAGAUCUACAACAUUGCUUUUGGGACCACUGCGAUGUGAAGCCAUAUGCGAGAUGCAGGAGUGGUGCAAGAGGGCUACUUGAUGUAAUGUUAGCCCGGAAGUUCCGGGACUACCAGAAGUUCCGCCCCCCUAGUCCGAGUUAGGUUAACUUUUGAUGUUUUGGAUGAGAUUUGAGUCCUUUUCUUGUACGGAAAGUCCAGCCACCUCAUAUAUAUGUAAGAGGUGACGGCCGAUUGAAUAACAACACACAAUCGAUCUAUCAAUAUAUCACUUUUUACCUUUACUUUAUCUUCUCCCUUGUUCUUCUCCUCCCCUGUUCUUCAUUCGUUCCUCGUGAAGGAGGGCAGUGAUCCAUGAGGCCCUAGGGGCGAUUAGGUCGACCUAGGGCAGCCCAUAGUUGCCGCGCGCCCUGACGGGGUCCCUCCCGGACGUGUGGGGUUUUGGGUCUACAAAAGCACCCGCCGGACUGCUUGCGUACCGCGCUUCCGGCCAGGUCUCCUUCAACAUGAGCUGCGGUGCAUCACCCUUGGCGUCGAAGGCACAAGGUGUCGUGUUCGUGUGCGAACAGACUUUUUGGCGACUCCGCUGGGGACAAAGCUUCGAACGGUCUCCAGCCCGUUCGUACUACGAAGAGAUCUCAUCUAGGGUUUGCAGUCUACAAAGGUAAUAUGAAUACCCAAUCCCCUUGUGUAGAUGCAAAUAUUUCAUAUAGUGUGUUACUAGAUUGUUCAAUAUGUAUACUCUAUCGGCCAACCCUAGUUUUUUCAAUCAUGCAUCUAACUACGUGCAAGGAUCGACUCAAAGUAAUUUACAAGCUUCAACUUCUUAUGAUACUAGUAUAUACUACCAUAUAUGGCACAUACAUGCAUGUGGGGACAUGUCAUGUUGGACUCUUAUCUUGGUCGCAUUAUCCAACUACCCACUACCAUGAUUCUUAUAAAUUACACCCUUGUACUGAACCGUCGAUCUUCAUCUCUAGUUUGUACCUUAAGGAUAAGGAUAAGAGCAUCUAUAGCCGGGUGCCUCAAACCCGCCUCAAAUGGCCGGACGGGCUGCUCGGUAACUAACGAUCAUGAAAAUUCGACCCAGACGGGCUCCUUAAACGAGCCUCAAAUGCCCGGGCUGACUGGCACCCCUCAUAUCCGGCCCAAACAUGGAGCGGAUUGGGGCCUCGGGCGAAUCCACCACGUCAGACCCGCCAACCCCAUCCACAUUAAAUUGCACCAAAUCCACCAAACGCUUCCUCCUCCUCCCGCCUCCCUCCUACCUUUCCCGCGCACGAGCCUUCACCGGCCGCCACCCUUGGUCCCCAUCCACACCACCGGUCUUGAUCCGCCACCCUAGAUGUCAUCCAGCCUGUUCCUGACCACCGCGACGGAGACUGCGUCCGCCUCAUCCGUCGGCAUCCCAUCCUCGUCUCCGUCGUGCAAGGCAGAGAACGUCGCCCGGAGGAUGCGAUAACGCCGCAGCGAGAGAGGGAAGCUGCAGCACAAGGACAUACCGACAUGGACGAGCAGCUACCCCCUCCCCCCCUCCAUGCCCCGAACCCCGCACCUCUUGGGGAACGUAGCAGAAAUUCAAAAUUUUCCUACGUGUCACCAAGAUCUGUCUAUGGAGAAACCAGCAACGAGGGGAAGGAGAGUGCAUCUACAUACCCUUGUAGAUUGCUAAGCGGAAGCGUUCAAGAGAACGGGGUUGAAGGAGUUGUACUCAUCGUGAUCCAAAUCACCGGAGAUCCUAGUGCCGAACGGACGGCACCUCCGCAUUCAACACACGUACAGCCCGGUGACGUCUCCCAUGCCUUGAUCCAGCAAGGAGAGAGGGAGAGGUUGAGGAAGACUCCGUCCAGCAGCAGCACAACGAUGUGGUGGUGAUGGAGGAGCAUGGCAAUCCUGCAGGGCUUCGCCAAGCACCGCGGGAGAGAAGAAGGGAGAGAGGUAGGGUUGCGCCAGGGAGAGGUCAAACUCAUGUGUUGGUAGCCCUCAAGACCUCAACUAUAUAUAAGGAUGAGGGAGGGGGGUGCGCCCCCUCUAGGGUUUCCACCCCAAGGGGUGCGGCAGCCCCAAUCCCAUCUAGGGUGGCGGCCAAGGGGGGGAGAGGGGAAACUUGCCCCCCAAGUUAGGUGGGUGCGCCCCCUCUCCCAACCCUAGGCGCCUCGGGCCCUUGUGGGGGGCGCACCAGCCCACCUGGGGCUGGUCCCCUCCCACAAUUGGCCCAUGCAGCCCUCCGGGGAUGGUGGCCCCACUUGGUGGACCCCCGGGACCCUCCCGGUGGUCCCGAUACGUUACCGAUAAAACCCGAAACUUUUCCGGUGACCAAAACAGGACUUCCCAUAUAUAAAUCUUCACCUCCGGACCAUUCCGGAACUCCUCAUGACGUCCGAGAUCUCAUCCGGGACUCCAAACAACAUUCGGUAACCACAUACAAACUUCCUUUAUAACCCUAGCGUCAUCGAACCUUAAGUGUGUAGACCCUACGGGUUCGGGAACCAUGCAGACAUGACCGAGACAUUCUCCGGUCAAUAACCAAGAGCGGGAUCUGGAUACCCAUGUUGGCUCCCACAUGUUCCACGAUGAUCUCAUCGGAUGAACCACGAUGUCAAGGACUCAAUCAAUCCCGUAUACAAUUCCCUUUGUCUAGCGGUAUUAUACUUGCCCGAGAUUCGAUCGUCGGUAUCCCGAUAUCUUUGUUCAGUCUCGUUACCGGCAAGUCUCUUUACUCGUUCCGUAACACAUCAUCCCGUGAUCAACCCCUUGGUCACAUGGUGCACAUUAUGAUGAUGUCCUACCGAGUGGGCCCAGAGAUACCUCUCCGUCAACCGGAGUGACAAAUCCCAGUCUCGAUUCAUGCCAACCCAACAGACACUUUCGGAGAUACCUGUAGUGCACCUUUAUAGCGACCCAGUUACGUUGUGACGUUUGGUACAACCAAAGCAUCCCUACGGUAUCCGGGAGUUGCACAAUCUCCACCAUCCUCCCACUCAAUUCUUUCGAGAGAAACUUUUCCUCGAGAAAGGACCCGUUUCUAGAAACAAUUACUCUUGCUUCCGGAUCUGAGAUAGGAGGUAUACCCAACCAUUUUGGGUAUCCUAUGAAGAUGUAUUUAUCCGUUUUGGGUUCGAGCUUAUCACGAUGAAACUUUUUCACAUAAGCGUCGCAGCCCCAAACUUUCAAGAAACGACAACUUAGGUUUCUCCAAACCAUAGUUCAAACGGUGUCGUCUCAACGGAAUUAUGUGGUGCCCUAUUAAAGUGAGUGCGGUUGUCUCUAAUGCCUAACCCAUGAACGAUAGUGUUAAUUCGAUAAGAGACAUCAUGGUACGCACCAUAUCCAAUAGGGUGCAACUAUGAUGUUCGGACACACCAUCACACUAUGGUGUUCCAGGCGGUAUUAAUUGUGAAACAAUUUCCACAAUGUCUUAAUUGCGUGCCAAAGCUCGUAACUCAGAUACUCAUCUCUAUGAUCAUAUCAUAGACAUUUUAUCCUCUUGUCACGAUGAUCUUCAACUUCACUCUGAAAUUACUUGAACCAUUCAAUAAUUCAGACUUGUGUUUCAUCAAGUAAAUAUACUUAACAUCUACUCGAAUCAUCUGUGAAGUAAGAACAUAACAAUAUUCACUGCAUGCCUCAGCACUCAUUGGACUGCACACAUCAAAUGUGUUACUUCCAACAAGUUGCUAUCUUGUUCCAUCUUACAGAAAACGAGGCUUUUUCAGUCAUCUUGCCCAUGUGGUUUGAUUUGCAUAUCUCAAGUGAUUCAAAAUCAAGUGAGUCCAAACGAUCCAUCUGCAUGGAGUUUCUUCAUGCGUAUACACCAAUAGACAUGGUUCGCAUGUCUCAAACCUUUUUAAAACGAGUGAGUCCAAAGAUCCAUCAACAUGGAGCUUCUUCAUGCAUUUUACACCAAUAUGACUUACAUGGCAGUGCCACAAGUAAGUAGUACUAUCAUUACUAUCUUAUAUCUUUUGGCAUGAAAAUGAGUAUCACUACGAUCGAGAUUCAACAAACCAUUCCUUUUAGGUGCAAGAUCAUUGAAGGUAUUAUUCAAAUAAACAGAGUAAUCAUUAUUCUCCUUAAAUGAAUAACCGUAUUGUGAUAGACAUAAUCCAAUCAUGUCUAUGCUCAACGCAAACACCAAGUAACAAUUAUUUAGGUUUAAUACCAAUCUCGAUGGCAGAGGGAGCGUGCGAUGCUUGAUCACAUCAACCUUGGAAACACUUCCAACACAUAUCGUCAGCUCACCUUUAGCUAGUCUCCGUUUAUUCCAUAGCUUUUAUUUCGAGUUACUAACACUUAGCAACCGAACCGGUAUCUAAUACCCUGGUGCUACUAGGAGAACUAGUAAAGUACACAUUAACAUAAUGUAUAUCAAAUAUACUUCUAUCGACCUUUGCCAGCCUUCUUAUCUACCAAGUAUCUAGGGUGGCUCUGCUCCAGUGUCUGUUCCCUCAUUACAGAAGCACUUAGUCUCGGGUUUGGGUUCAACCUUGGGUUUUCACUAGAGCAGCAACUGUUUUGCCGUUUCAUGAAGUAUCCCUUCUUGCCCUUGCCCUUCUUGAAACUAGUGGUUUCACCAACCAUCAACAAUUCAUGCUCCUUCUUGAUUUCUACUUUCGUGGUGUUAAAUGUUGCGAAUACCUCAAGGAUCAUCAUAUCUAUCCCUGAUAUGUUAUAGUUCAUCACGAAGCUCUAGCAGCUUGGUGGCAAUGACUUUGGAGAAACAUCACUAUCUCAUCUGGAAGAUCAACUCCCACUCGAUUCAAGUGAUUGUUGCACUUAGACAAUCUGAGCACAAGCUCAACGAUUGAGCUUUUCUCCCUUAGUUUGCAGGCUAAGAAAAUCGUCGGAGGUCUUAUACCUCUUGACGUGGGCACGAGCCUGAAAUCCCAAUUUCAGCCCUCGAAACAUCUCUUAUGUUCCGCGACGUUUCGAAAACGUCUUUGGUGCCUCAACUCUAAACCAUUUAACUAAACUAUCACGUAGUUAUCAAAACGUGUAUGUCCGAUGUUUGCAACAUCCACAGACGAUGUUUGGGGUUCAGCACACUGAGCAGUGCAUUAAGGACAUAAGCUUUCUACUGUCCGUAUAAUCGCUACUGUCAACUUUCAACUAUAUUUUCUCUAGGAACAUAUCUAAAACAGUAGAACUAAAGCGCGAGCUAUGACAUAAUUUGCAAAGGGCUUUUGACUAUGUUCAAGAUAAUUAAGUUCAUCUAAUGAACUCCCACUCAGAUAGACAUCCCUCUAGUCAUCUAAGUGAUUACAUGACCCGAGUCAACUAGGCCGUGUCCCAUCAUCACGUGAUACAGACUAGUCCUCAUCGGUGAACAUCUUCAUGUUGAUCGUAUCCACCAUACGACUCAUGCUUGACCUUUCGGUCUCUUGUGUUCCGAGGCCAUGUCUGUACAUGCUAGGCUCGUCAAGUCAACCUAAGUGUUUCGCGUGUGUAAAUCUGGCUUACACCCGUUGUAUGUGAACGUAAGAAUCUAUCACACCCGAUCAUCACGUGGUGCUUCGAAACGAUGAACUUUCGCAACGGUGCACAGUUAGGGGGAACACUUUCUUGAAAUUUUAAUGAGCGAUCAUCUUAUUUACUACCGUAGUUCUAUGCAAAUAAGAUGCAUAAACAUGAUAAACAUCACAUGCAAUCAAAUAGUGACAUGAUAUGGCCAAUAUCAUUUUGCUCCUUUUGAUCUCCAUCUUUGGGGAUCCAUGAUCAUCAUCGUCACCGGCAUGACACCAUGAUCUCCAUCAUCAUGAUCUCCAUCAUCGUGUCUUCAUGAAGUUGUCUCGCCAACUAUUACUUCUACUACUAUGGCUACCGCUUAGCAAUAAAGUAAAGUAAUUACAUAGCGUUGUUUAAUGACACGCAGGUCAUACAAUAAAUUAAGACAACUCCUAUGGCUCCUGCCGGUUGUCAUACUCAUCGACAUGCAAGUUGUGAUUCCUAUUACAAGAACAUGAUCAAUCUCAUACAUCACAUAUCAUUCAUCACAUUCUUCUUGGCCAUAUCACAUCACAUAGCAUACCCUGCAAAAACAAGUUAGACGUCCUCUAAUUGUUGUUUGCAUGUUUUACGUGGCUGCUAUGGGUUUCUAGCAAGAACGUUUCUUACCUACGCAAAACCAUAAUGUGAUAUGUCAAUUGCUAUUUACCCUUCAUAAGGACCAUUUUCAUCGAAUCCGUUCCGACUAAAGUGGGAGAGACUGGCACCUGCUAGCCACCUUAUGCACCAAGUGCAUGUCAGUCGGUGGAACCUGUCUCACAUAAGAGUACGUGAAAGGUCGGUCCGGGCCGCUUCAUCCCACAAUACUGUCGAAACAAGAUUGGACUAGGAACGGUAAGCAUAUUGAACAAAAUCAACGCCCACAACUACUUUGUGUUCUACUCGUGCAUAGAGUCUACGCAAUAGACCUAGCUCAUGAUGCCACUGUUGGGGAACGUAGCAGAAAUUCAAAAUUUUCCUACGUGUCACCAUGAUCUGUCUAUGGAGAAACCAGCAACGAGGGGAAGGAGAGUGCAUCUACAUACCCUUGUAGAUCGUUAAGAGGAAGCGUUCAAGAGAAUGGGGUUGAAGGAGUCGUACUCGUCGUGAUCCAAAUCACCGGAGAUCCUAGUGCCGAAUGGACGGCACCUCCGUGUUCAACACACGUACAGCCCGGUGACGUCUCCCAUGCCUUGAUCUAGCAAGGAGAGAGGGAGAGGUUGAGGAAGACUCUGUCCAGCAGCAGCACAAUGACGUGGUGGUGAUGGAGGAUCGUGGCAAUCCUGUACGGCUUCGCCAAGCACCGCGGGAGAGGAGAAGGGAGAGAGGUAGGGCUGCGCCAGGGAGAGGUCAAACUCAUGUGUUGGCAGCCCUCAAGACCUCAACUAUAUAUAGGGGAGAGGGAGGGGGUGCGCCCCCUCUAGGGUUUCCACCCCAAGGGGUGCGGCAGCCCCAAUCCCAUCUAGGGUGGCGGCCAAGGUGGGGAGAGGGGAAACUUGCCCCCCAAGUUAGGUGGGUGCGCCCCCUCUCCCAACCCUAGGCACCUUGGGCCCUUGUGGGGGGCGCACCAGCCCACCUGGGGCUGGUCCCCUCCCACACUUGGCCCAUGCAGCCCUCCGGGGAUGGUGGCCCCACUUGGUGGACCCCCGGGACCCUCCCGGUGGUCCCGAUACGUUACCGAUAAAACCCGAAACUUUUCCGGUGACCAAAACAGGACUUCCCAUAUAUAAAUCUUUACCUCCGGACCAUUUCGGAACUCCUCAUGACGUCCGGGAUCUCAUCCGGGACUCUGAAAAACAUUCGGUAACCACAUACAAACUUCCUUUAUAACCAUAGCGUCAUCGAACCUUAAGUGUGUAGACCCUACGGGUUCGGGAACCAUGCAGACAUCACCGAGACGUUCUCCGGUCAAUAACCAACAGCGGGAUCUGGAUACCCAUGUUGGCUCCCACAUGUUCCACGAUGAUCUCAUCGGAUGAACCACGAUGUCAAGGACUCAAUCAAUCUCGUAUACAAUUCCCUUUGUCUAGCGGUAUUAUACUUGCCCGAGAUUCGAUCGUCGGUAUCCCGAUACCUUUGUUCAAUCUCGUUACCGGCAAGUCUCUUUACUCGUUCCGUAACACAUCAUCCCGUGAUCAACCCCUUGGUCACAUGGUGCACAUUAUGAUGAUGUCCUACCGAGUGGGCCUAGAGAUACCUCUCCGUCAACCGGAGUGACAAAUCCCAGUCUCGAUUCAUGCCAACCCAACAGACACUUUCGGAGAUACCUGUAGUGCACCUUUAUAGCCACCCCGUUACGUUGUGAUGUUUGGUACAACCAAAGCAUCCCUACGGUAUCCGGGAGUUGCACAAUCUCAUGGACAAAGGAAAUGAUACUUGACAUUAGAAAAGCUUUAGCAUACGAACUACACGAUCUUUGUGCUAGGCUUAGGAUUGGGUCUUGUCUAUCACAUCUUUCUCCUAAUGAUGUGAUCCCGUUAUCAACGACAUCCAAUGUCCAUGGUCAGGAAACCGUAACCAUCUAUUGAUCAACGAGCCAGUCAACUAGAGGCUUACUAGGGACAUGGUGUUGUCUAUGUACCCACACAUGUAUCUGAGUUUCCUAUCAAUACAAUUAUAGCAUGGAUAAUAAACGAUUAUCAUGAACAAGGAAAUAUAAUAAUAAUAACUAAUUUAUUAUUGCCUCUAGGGCAUAUUUCCAACAGCACCCUAUCCAUCCAAUCAACAAGCGAGACAUCCGUCACAAUCGGACAUUUAUUUCGUUUUGGCAUGUCUGGAUUGUUGAACUAUGAUUUUCUUUGCUUUGUCUCGAACUGUUGAAUUUGGACAAUUUGUAUCGUAUGAUCGACGUGCAUGGGUUGCAUGUAUUUGAUUCUCUAUAUUUGAGGUAUGUGGAUGUGCGACAACCCAUAUGAAGGGCCGGCGGGCGCUGUCCACGGACGCGCUCGUGGGCGUAUAGGGGCCGGACUUGCCAAGUUCGGUUGUAGAUGCUCUAAGUAACAAGUGGAUCGCAAUCUAAGUUUGAGAUUAUCUCCAAUGUCUAACUAAACGGGCGUCAUACGUCCCAUCCUUCAGGAUGAAUAAGAUCACAUCUGGCAAAUAAUUAUUUUUUGAUAUCUGUUUUGGUCCUUACAUUAUAUAUNNNNNNNNNNNNNNNNNNNNNNNNNNNNNNNNNNNNNNNNNNNNNNNNNNNNNNNNNNNNNNNNNNNNNNNNNNNNNNNNNNNNNNNNNNNNNNNNNNNNNNNNNNNNNNNNNNNNNNNNNNNNNNNNNNNNNNNNNNNNNNNNNNNNNNNNNNNNNNNNNNNNNNNNNNNNNNNNNNNNNNNNNNNNNNNNNNNNNNNNNNNNNNNNNNNNNNNNNNNNNNNNNNNNNNNNNNNNNNNNNNNNNNNNNNNNNNNNNNNNNNNNNNNNNNNNNNNNNNNNNNNNNNNNNNNNNNNNNNNNNNNNNNNNNNNNNNNNNNNNNNNNNNNNNNNNNNNNNNNNNNNNNNNNNNNNNNNNNNNNNNNNNNNNNNNNNNAAUAAUACAUAUUCACAAAAAAUAUUAUGAAUGACGAAUCUACUAACAAUAUUUUCAGUGAGCCAAUUUUAAAUAGUAUUGCCACAUACCAGGAGAUAGCAGCAGAGAAUGUAAUUUACAAACACUUUAAUGAUAUGCAGGCCAUUAGAAGCAAUAGAAAAUGACAAAACUUCAAAUUAAACAAGUAGGUGCAUACAUUUCGAGGACAUGCAUGAGAGAUCCUUUUUUUAUGAGAUGUUAUUGCAAGUAGAAGCUAUUAUACCUUUUUGGAACUUUUACCAUGUCUCAAACCAUGUACUUAUAUUUAGUUUGUUAGAUUUGUAUUUUUUUUCUUUCAGAAAACGAUAUAUAAAAGAAGAAGACUUAAGGACGCCAUUUUUGACUCACAUGAGCAUGUGGUCCCUAGAGCCAAAACAAUGAAAAUUAUUAGAGAUUCCUAUGUAUAAGCUAUUCUUGGUAAGCUAAAGACAUUUCAUCCUCUAAACUCUUGCUGAAGUCCAAAAUUAACCCAGAACUGCAAAUAACACUAGAACAGAUUAGACUGUCACGCUGGUCAUAGCACCACACUGGAGUAAUCUUCUACAAGUGAUGUUAAAUGACAAAACUGACCGUCACUACUAGAAUCAGCUACUUUGCCAACUUCCUCGGCAAAGAUCCAAAAGAACUCGGCAAAAAUGUGUUUGCCACGUGCGGUACUUUGCAAAAAAAAUACUCCAUAGAACAUAUUGGCAAUAGUUAACUUUGCCGAAUUUUUAUACCAAGAACUCCAGAAUACUCAUAGAGUCUUUCUCGAGUUUCCAAAAAGAAGAACUCUAGAAACCACUAGCGCUAGACGAAAUGACCUAUUAAUGGUGGUGCCACGUGGCCAGAGCAUUGCCGAGUUCUUGCAUGCCGAACUCGGCAGACGCCUGAUGAAUAGAAACGUGGUGCGUGGCAUAGGUGGUUGCCGAGUUCUUGCCUUUGCCAAGCGUGGAACCCAACAAACGUUCAGCAAAUAUGAUGCGUGGCAGAACUAGCUGCCAAGUUCUUAUCUUUGCAGAGUAUGUUGCAGGAGACCUAGGCAAAUUCUUUGAAGAAUAGUAAUGCGACACGUGGCAUAGACGAGUGUCAGGUUCUUGUAUUUGCUGAGUAUGGCGCCACGGGGACUCGUCAACACCUUUGGGGAGCUUUGUGCAGGGUGAACUCGGCAAAGAAAACCCGUGGAAGACGUUCGGGAGCUGCUUCCGCAUUUUCUGAGUGUGGAACUCGGCAAAGAUUCCUGGAGCUACCAGCUUCUGCCACGUGUCACAUUUUGCCGACUAGUGCGCUCAGCAAAAUGCUCCAGGAAUAGUUUUGUCGAGCGACAAAACUUGGCAAAUGUUCAAUCAUGUUUAUUUAUUAUUUAUUGUUGGGAAAUCUUGCAUACAAAUAAGUACGUAUGCAUAUAUAUCAUCGCAAAGAUACAUAACAUCAUUCAAAUAUCACUUCACAAAAACAACAAGCAAUAUGGCGAUCAUUCGAACACAUUUUACACAAGUGACAUCGUCACAAAUUUAUCCAAGUUAGUCUCAUUGAAGCCAUGUUACUCUAAUGAUAGAUUAAGGUCCAGCUGCAGCACGGGCCGGGCCGGUCCUGCGAUUCCGGUGGUCCUGGGUGAAACUAACACUCGGAUCCUCUCAAUAUAAACAUUAUAACAAUAUCUGCAAAUGUUUAGAUUAUUAAAUGUUACCGGUAGACUAGUAGAAAGAGAUCGUGAAUGAACCAGAAAAACAGAAAAAUGAAGGUGCGUCCGUUCUAAAACUUUGGCCAAGAAUAACAGGAUAAUUGACACAUGGCUCGCCACGUACCUUAUUGAGGCAAAAAAAAAGUUCGCGCUUCAUUAAGCUUUCGCGUUUGCUAGUACGUAAAAUGGAAAAAAGAUGUACACAACGUAUAUGAAAAAAUUUAUACAAUUUUAUUUAAUAUCUAUCAAAAUUAUUUAAUAUCAUUAUAUAAUGUCGAGCUAUCGAGCUAAAUCGAGCGAGCGAGUGUUGGCUCAUGAUCAGCUCGUUUAUUGAUCGAGCUACAUAAAGUGCUCAUUCUCAGCUCAUUUCUUUUCAAGUCAAACUCAAGUCGAAACAAAAUACGAGUCGAUCUUGAGUGGCUUACGAGCCUCGAGCUUUACUUGCAGCCCUAGCCACCACUACUCCAAUCCAACCAUAGUUUUUAUUUUCUUUAGAGGGUCGACGAUGGACUGUGUUUGUUUACUGACCCAUCUUUUUUCUUUUCAUUUCCCUAUGUUUUUGGCUAGCUUUCGGGCUUUGUCUGCCUGUACAUAUUGCACAUGUUCUCCCUUAAUCCAUGGCAGAGUUGUUGCCGCUUUUGUAGUAACAUAUAUGGACUUGUAGUAGAUUGUCAUGACCUUUCGUCACAGCUAAUGGCUAAAUCCUCACGUACAUGCAUGUGGUGGUAACAUGAGGACUGUUCAGAUCUUAGCUAGAACACACAUUAACUAUCAUAUCAUGUCAUAAUUUUUUAUAGGCCACUGCCAUGAAUAAUAUAUGAAGUACAGAGGACAAUUCAAACAAUCAAAUUUAAAUUACUAUACCUGCGGCCACCCCUCGGGAAUAUAAUUUAUACUUCUUGUUUCUUUUCUUGACACUAAUUGAUACUUCUUGUUGGACGCGAACCAAGCCAAGUAUGUACACCAACUAUCUGAGUUGACAGAUGUAAGUUAGCUUAAUAUUGACUAAUAGACCUAAGAUGCUAGUCAUGAACGAAUCCAUAUCAUCUGUCUGUAUUUGUAGAUGUCGAGUCAUCUUGCACUUUUUGUAAUUGCCCAUUGGCCAACUAGCUAUUAUUUGCAUCGAUAAAUCGUCUUAUAUGAUAUAUGUUGCCCACUUUGUUACUCCCUCCGUUCCUAAAUAUUUGUCUUUUUAGAGAUUUCAAAUGACUACCACAUACGGAUGUAUAUAGACAUAUUUUAGAGUGUAGAUCCACUCAUUUUGCUCUGUAUGUACUCACUUGUUGAAAUCUCUAGAAAGACAAAUAUUUAGGAACGGAGGGAUUACAUUGCAAGAUUUCUAAGUGCGUCAAAAGGGUGUCCCUAAAGAUGUUUUAUCCAUAGGUUUUACAUUCUUUAUUGAGAGAUGUUGCACAAAAGCUGUACAAUGUUUCAAGUGUACACUAUGUGAAUUUGGUUAUCCUGUUUAUUAGAUGGACAUAUCUCAAUGCUUAAUGGUGACACACAUAUACUCCAAGUUCUUUUGUUCUGGUUAGUCCAUUGUUCGAGGUGAUAAGCAUCUAUAUUACCAUAAGCUAAUCAGUGCUUCAUCAGCUUUGAUAGAUAUGUACUCUAUUUGAACUUUAUUUAGAGAAUUCUAGAUGAAAAUAUUAGCAAGUAAGAUACACAUCAGACUAUACAAUUACAUAAAUUCCAAUACUAAUGCAAGUUGCUGACCGGAAAUCCCUUUUGGUGACCGAGCUCCAAUGAGGCCUCCAAAUUUAAAAUUCAAAUUUCAUCAAAAUCCAUAUUUUUACGUUUCAAAAAAUUCAAAAAAAAAUAGAAAUACAUGAAGGCAUAACACACAUAUGUGUAAAUUUUCAGGGCAAAAUACGUUGAAAUGAGGGUUGUGCAAAAAAUACAAAUCUAGGGCUGUUUAACACAUGAUACUAUUUAUCCUCCCAGGCCAUAAAUUUGUCUUUUUUGUACAGGUCGCAACUCAAGGUAUUUCAUCAUGAAUUUUUUACACACAUGUGGGUUACAUCCUUACAUGCAUGCAUUAUUUUUUUGAAUUUUUUGAAACAUGAAAGUUUGAAUUUGAUUUUUUCAAAAAUAAAGGGCUCCAUGGAGCUCGGCCUCCAAAACGCCAUUUUCAAUGCUGACAUGUUAAGAACCACUUUAACUUGUAUCUCCAAGGACCGGGAUGCAAUUUUCUUUUCUAGCAGUGGUUUUCUUGUAUUGCUAAAUCCAUUAAAUAUGGAGCAUGUGGCUCUGUUGUAGAAAGUUAGUUAAAUGGAUUUUCCAGCCGCAAAAAAAAAUUGAAUGGAUUUUCAACAGCUUGAUUUAAUGUUUGGGGAUCCAUGUCGAAAUUUACUCUCUAUUGGGCCAGACUUUGCAAGUAAAACCAAUAUCAUAAAUGCAGCUAAUUAAAUGGAUCUUAACCUUCUCAUAACUGGUAUAACUACAUGCUCUAAUUUAAUUAAUGUGACGUGAUCUUACCAUAGUAAUAUUAUUAUGCAGUGCACAACUAGCAAGUCCACUAAAGAUUCAUAAUAUUACCACAUCAAGGACUUCAUUAACUGUCAUUUAUAGGUUGUACAUCUGUAGAUCAGAUGAUUUGGAAAUAUUCUCUGGAUGGCACAUCCACAUCAUGUUAUCUAUACCACAGGUUGAGCAUUGAGAUCUAUGUGUCCAAUGGAUAAGAAACUAAGAUACAAGCACUGCAUCUAUAUGGCAUCCAUAGAGAUUAUAACAUGGAUGCACUUGACAUACUGUCCACACCCAUAAUAUAUGAUGGCAUACAGGUCCAUCCAUACAAUAAGAGCAACUUAUUUGGCCUAUGGAUGCCGACAUAAAGAGAAGAUCUGUCGGCAUAUACUAACACACAAAACAAUAUGGCUUCAAUUUGACUAUCUUAGGUCUUUUCGUCAAUUUUAAGCUUACAUGCAUGGGUCAAGUAGAUAGUCAUGACCUUUCACCAAAGCUAAUAACUGAGGUCGCACAUGUAGGCAUGUGGAGUGUUUCAAAUCUUAGCUAGAACGCACAUGAAUUAUCACAUGCAUGCUACAAUAGUUGAAUGACAUCCGACGCAUCCAUAUACUACACCCUGUCAUGAUAUCUUUUAUAUGCCACUGACAUGAGUCACAUAUGAAGUAUAUAGGGAAAUUUAGAUCUAUUUUAAAUUAAAAUACGUGUAGCUAGCCGCCCCUGAGGGAUUUAAUUGCAUAUUAUAAUUACAAUAUAUAUCUGCAACUAGUCCAUGGAAAUAUAAUUGUGUCUUUUGGUUGUACGCAAACCAAGGUAAGUACCAACGUAUCUAAAGGCGUACAUGUGCGUACACCAACUAUCUGACUUGACACAUUUAAAUUAGCUUAAAAAUGACGAAUAUACCUUAUUAAGAUGCUAGUCAAAAUGAAUCCAUAUCCAUUGUUUGCAUUAGUUGAUGUCGAGCAAUCUUGCACUUUCUGUAAUUGUCCGUUGGCCAACUAGCUUUUAUUUUUCGGAUAAUUUUUUCUUUUAUAAUAUAUGUUUCCCUCUUUGUUACAAUUGAAAGUUGCUAAGUGCAUCAAAAGGAUAAAUCACCUAGAUAUAAUCAAAGAGGGGCAUGAAAAUAGAAAUCCCAUUUAUUUAUAGAUUUUACAAUUUUUAUCGGUAUGUUGUACAAAGGUGGUGUAUAUACCUUGUGUUUAAGUGUACACUACACGAAUUUGUCUAUUUAUUAGAUGCACAUAUCUAAAUACUUAAAGUGGCACAUGUAUAUUCCAAAUUAUUAUGUUCUACAUAUAUGGUAUAGUUUACUAUUGCCUGUUAGUUCAUUCUUCGAUGAGAUAAGCAUUUAUAUAACCAUAAAAACCAUAAACUUACCAAUAUUUAGAAAUUAUAGUGAAUUUAGAUAGUUGGCUUGUGAGACAUCCUUAUGCGGAUAAAAAAACCAUACCUAAUCCUGACAUGGAAAAGUAGUCAUGUUAGAUCCUUAGUUGGAUUACAGGUCUAAGUUGCAUAGGGUGUUAAAAAGUCUAAAACAACACUAAUUAAAGGCCCAAGAGAAACCCACUAGAGGUGGGUACUAGCACUCCAAGCAUCCUAUAUAUAGGAUACAUCUACCCUCUUAUUCUCUCACAAAACACAACGAGAUACAACUCCCCCCCUCCCCCAUUCAACUAGCCCAUUCAGUUCUCUCUUUUCCCCUUCUUGCAUACAAUCAUCUCCAUGGCUAGUCCAUUCGGUGUCUUGGUUUGUCUACUCAUAGUGCUACCACAAAUCCUUGCUAUUUCUAGCCCCAUCGACGAGAUUGCACCUCUUAAGACAUGUCAGUUCCCUUGUAUGACCGAGGUUAACUUGCACUUGUUCUUGCACCAAUUCGUCGACGGGCCAAACAACCCAAACCGCAAUGAGGAAACCUUACUCCAAGCAAGUUUUCCUUUUGGGUUUGGGACGAUGAUAGUCCAUGACUGGACUCUUACCGAGACAACAAAUUCCAGAGACACGGUUGUUGCACGUGUACAAGGUGUGCAUGUCCAGGCUGGUUUAACCAAGCCUAACAGAUGGUACACAACUCAUAACAUAGAGUUUCAGCAAGGAAGGUAAUAUGUUUCGCUACUUUUCAAUAUCUAAGUAUAUUUCAUGAGUUCUUUGCAUGCAACAUUAAAUUUAUGUCCUUACCUGUACUAUAUUUGUAGCCAAGGGUUUCACACACCUUACUAGUGUAUAUACACAUAUUAAUAAGUGUGCAUUUGUCAAACUCUACAUGCACUUCUGACCCUAUGACGGCACUUUCUAUUUUGAACAUGAAACAGGUUUGCGGGGUCCACCCUUCAAGUGAUGGGUAUAACCGCAGGUUUGGAAAGUGGGCAGUGGUCUAUUGUCGGUGGAACUGGUCAAUUCAUUAUGGCACAGGGUAUAAUAAGUUUCACAAAUCAUCCGGCCUCUACUUUUGAAGAUGGUAUUAAAGAACUCAAUAUUCGUGUACGCUUCACAAGGGAUAUUACACAAGCCGUAAGUAUAAUAUUAUGAGUUUAUAUUCAAAUUCUUGUGCUCUAUUUGUUGAAGAGAAAUGGAUUGUACCAUACAUACUAUCCUACUGAAGUUGCAUUACAUUAAGAUAUUUGUGGACAUUCAAGUGCAAAUGCAUUAAAGGAGAUUCUUUUUUAACAACAUUAGCCAUAUUUAACUAAAUCAAAUGCUUGUUGAAUGUUUUGUGCAUUUAGUUUAUCGGGUGUUGCAUAUCAAGUAAUGAAGCUUUAUGUACGAACGCUUGACAUGACACUAGCCAUGGUUUCACUUUUCGCUGCAGGCUUGAGGUGCAUCUCGUCCCUUGAAAGACUAGCGCCAAUGUCAGUAAUUUGAUGGGGAAAUGUGUUUGCAUUUUGCUUGUAGUGUGAUGGGUCGUUGUUGUGGUCUGCCUCUGUCAUUAGAGUAUGCGUUAGCUAGCAUACCCUCUUUCUAUCUUUCAUUCAAAAUAUCAUGUGGGUUUCUCGCACGGUGGAUAUCCAGUCCAUAAUCUGUGUCAACCCAUCUGUUUGUUGGUGUCUAUGUAAUGUCUUGGAUAUGAUGUGGAAUAAUGGAGCUUGUUUGUUUGAGAAAGUGUUAUACCCACAUAAUUAUAUUAUUUGUGUUAAUCAUGAGACAAGCAUAUAUGAAAACUUAAAGCAAAACAAAUUAAUGAACACAAGACCACCGUUAUUCAUACACUUAACAGUGUCUAUCCCGAAAGCAGUUUACCUCAAGGACCAUAAGAGCCCCAUUAUUUUCCACAACGUCUAGAAUAAUUGCCAACAAAGAUAUCACCCAGGCGGCCAUGACAUAAUGCAAUUAUAUAAAAAUGAUAGCCAUGUUAUUUGGUAGCAUCGACAGAUGCAUAUACAUGUCUUGUACUCUUUUUAUAAAUACACAAAAGAUUUGUGCAUUGAUGUAUUGCAAGGGGAAAAAUUGAUGCAUGGUAUAGAAUUGAGGCUCUUAAUCACAAGGACGUAGGAUCGACCUUGACUCGAACAACGCAGGGCUACAACGGCUGUACUUCCUCCAUAAAGAAAUAUAAGAGUGUUUAGGGAGAGCGGCAUUACUGAGAUGGGCGGCAUCUGAACAUGUUAUCUUGGUCGUACGUCCAGCUCCAGGGAUUUGCGCUAGUGGGUCCAUGGCAGGAAAUACGGGUGGAAGAAAUUGACGUUGACUGGCGGUAUACGUGGAUGAACAGUGAUGUAUGCCAGCGCCCGGGCUCGUCUUUUUGAAAUGCACGUUACGCUGACGAGCCGAGCCGUCGAUCGGGCCCGUCACGAGAACCUGACCCAAGGAUCAGAAACAUAAUCGCACCGUCUGCUGCUUAGACACGCGCCGUCUGCUGCAGGGCCAACCAGAGGCCCAACACGUGUCCUGACAGACCCCCACCACUCAAACAACCACAAUUCCUUUUUCCGAAUUUACAGAAUAUCUUUUUGCCUUGCCUUAUCCAGCAGAUUGCCGCUGUUCCACACUCCAUAGCCUCUCAUUGUACAGCUCCGUGAAAGAUGAUUCCGACGAGGUGAGGUCCGCCGCUCGGCGCCGUAGCUGGCGGCCAGACGGGAGCUGUCGCGGCUAGUGCCGCCCGCCUCUGGCCUGCUGCGCCGCGUGGGGCAGUGGCCUUGACUGAAGGCAAGAUGGGGUCCGUGCAAGCUAGCUCCGCUUGCUUCAGCCGCGCUGCGCCGCACGGGGCUAUAUCCUUGGGCGGUGUGAAGUCGGGGGGCAUCGCGGGUAGCACCGCCCGCGUCCAGUGCGUCCAAGGCUGCGGCCGACCAGCUCCCUCGUAGAAGGUGGAACCACAGCGCGUGCACCCAGUCGGCGGGCGUGGCCGUGGCCGGUGGCGAGAUGCCGCAGGAGGUCGUUGGGUCACACUUGAAGAAGCGUGAGCUCGAUGCAUCUCAACAGGCAAAGGUGAUUCUAGUUGCUUGCUUCUAUCCAACGUUUUGGCUACCGAAUCCCAAGAAAAUACCGAGGGUGAGCGAGAAACAUGGAUACCGCGGUUACCGUAAAAUUCCAAGCAAAAGCCGCUCCAAUUUUUCUUGAAUUCAAAUUUUUCUGAGCUAGGAAUAUAUAAGUAUUGAGCUCAAGUGGUUCACAAACAAGGUGUUCGCGCAGUGGCAUGUUCUCGUCGUACGUCCUCAACAUAUGCAAGGUCGUGGGUUCGAUUCUCUAACCUUGAGUUUUAGAAUAUUUAUUUUAGAAUUGGUUAAACAAAAAAGAUAACAGUGUCUAUCCAUAAAGCAGUUUACCUCAAGGGCCAUGCCCUAUUAUUUUCCACAACGUCUAGAAUAAUUGCCAACAAAGAUAUCACCCAGGCGGCUAUGACAUAAUGCAAUCAUAUAAAAAUGAUAGCCAUGUUAUUUGGUAGCAUCGACAGAUGCAUAUACAUGUCUUGUAUUCUUUUUACAAAUACACAAAAGAUUUGUGCAUUGGUGUAUUGCAAGCGGAAAAAUUGAUGCAUGUUAUAGAAUUGAGGCUCUUAACCACAAGGACCUAGCCUCGACCUUGACUCGCACAAGGCUGGGCUACAACGGUUGUACUUCCUCCAUAAAGAAAUAUAAGAGUGUUUAGGAAAAGCGACGCUACUGAGAUGGGCGGCAUCUAUGGGCGGCAUCUGAACUUGUUAUCUUGGUCGUACGUCCAGCUCCAGGGAUUUUCUCUAGUGGGUCCAUGGCAGGAAAUACGGGUGGAAGAAAUUGACGUCGACUGGCGGUAUACGGGGAUGAACAGUGAUGUGCGCCAGAGCCCGGGCUCGUCUUUUUGAAAUGCACGUUACGCUGACGAGCCGAGCCGUUGAUCGGGUCCGUCACGAGAACCUGACCCAAGGAUCAGAAACGUAAUCACGCUGUCUGCUGCUUAGACACGCGUCGUCUGCUGCAUGGCCAAUCAGCGGCCAACACGUGUCCUGACAGACCCCCACCACUCAAACAACUACAAUUCCUUUUUCCUAAUUUACAGAAUAUCUUUUUGCCUUGCCUUAUCCAGCGGACUGCUGCUGUUCCACACUCCAUAGCCUCUCCUUGUACAACUCCCUGAAAGAUGAUUCCGACGAGGUGAGGUCCACCGCUCGGCGUCGUAGCUGGCGGCCAGACGGGAGCUUUCGCGGCUAGCGCCGCCCUCCUCCGGCCUGCUGCGCCGCGUGGGGCAGUGGCCUUGACUGAAGGCAAGAUGGGGUCCGUGCAAGCUAGCUCCGCUCUCUUCAGCCGCACUACGCCGCACGGGGCCCUAUCCUUGGCCGGUGGGAAGACGGGGGCCAUCGCGGCUAGCACCGCCCGCGUCCGGCGCAUCCAAGGCUAUGGCCGACCCCUCCCUCGUAGAAGGUGGAACCACAGCGCGUGGACCCAGUCGGCGGGCGCGGCCGUGGCCGGUGGUGAGAUGCCGCGGGAGGUCAUUGGGUCACACUUGAAGAAGCGUGAGCUCGAUGCAUCUCAACAGGAAAAGGUGAUUCUAGCUGCUUGCUUCUAUCCAACGUUUUGGCUACCAAAUCCCAAGAAAAUACCGAGGGUGGGCGAGAAACGCGGAUACCAUAAAAUUCCGAGCAAAAACCGCUCGAAUUUUUCAAACAUAGUUUGAAUUCAAAUUUUUCUGAGCUAGGAAUAUAUAAAUAUUGAGCUGAAGUGGUUCACAAACAAGUUAUUUGUGCAGUGGCAUGUUCUCAUCGUCCGUCCUCAACGUAUGCAAGGUCGUGGAUUCGAUUCUCUAACCUUGAGUUUUUAAAUUUUUAUUUAAGAAUUGGUUAAACAAAAAAGAAAACAGUGUCUAUCCUGAAAGCAGUUUACCUCAAGGGCCAUAAGAGCCCCAUUAUUUUCCACAACGUCUAGAAUAAAUGCCAACAAAGAUAUCACCCAGGCGGCUAUGACAUAAUGCAAUCAUAUAAAAAUGAUAGCCAUGUUAUUUGGUAGCAUCGACAGAUGCAUAUACAUGUCUUGUAUUCUUUUUACAAAUACACAAAAGAUUUGUGCAUUGAUGUAUUGCAAGGGAAAAAUUUGAUGCAUGUUAUAGAAUUGAGGCUCUUAACCACAAGGACCUAGGCUCGACCUUGACUCGAACAAGGCAGGGCUACAACGGUUGUACUUCCUCCAUCAAGAAAUAUAAGAGUGUUUAGGGAGAGCGGCGUUACUGAGAUGGGCGGCAUCUGAACAUGUGAUCUUGGUCGUACGUCCAGCUCCAGGGAUUUGCGCUAGUGGGUCCAUGGCAGGAAAUAUGGGUGGAAGAAAUUGGCGUCGACUGGCGGUAUACGGGGAUGAACAGUGAUGUACCCAGCACCCGGGCUCGUCCUUUUGAAAUGCACGUUACGCUCACGAGCCGAGCCGUCGAUCGGGUCAGUCAUGAGAACCUGACCCAAGGAUCAGAAACGUAAUCGCGCCGUCUACUGCUUAGACACGUGCCGUCUGCUCCAGGGCCAACCAGCGGCGAACACGUGUCCUGACAGACCACCACCACUCAAACAACCACAAUUCCUUUUUCCUAAUUUACAGAAUAUCAUGUUGCCUUGCCUUAUCCAGCGGACUGCUGCUGUUCCACACUCCAUAGCCUCUCCUUGUACAGCUCCGUGAAAGAAGAUUCCAACGAGGUGAGGUCCGCCGCUCAGCGCCGUAGCUGGCGGCCAGACGGGAGCUGUUGUGGCCAGCGCCGCCCGCCUUUGGCCUGCUGCGCCGCGUGGGGUAGUGGCCUUCACUGAAGGCAAGAUGGGGUCCGUGCAAGCUAGCUCCGCUCGCUUCAGCCGCGCUGCACCGCACGGGGCUGUAUCCUUGGCCGGUGGGAAGACGGGGGCCGUCGCGGCUAGCACCGCCCGCGUCCGGCGCGUCCAAGGCUGUGGCCGGCCCGCUCCCUCGUAGAAGAUGGAACCACAGCGCGUGCACCCAGUCGGCGGGUGUGGCCAUGGCCAAUGCCGAGAUGCCGCGGGAGGUCGUUGGGUCGCACUUGAAGAAGCGUGAGCUCUAUGCAUCUCAACAGGCAAAGGUGAUUCUAGUUGGUUGCUUCUAUCCAACGUUUUGGCUACCGAAUCCCAUGAAAAUACCGAGGGUGGGCGAGAAACGCGGAUACCAUAAAAUUCUGAGCAAAAGCCGCUCGAAUUUUUCAAACGUAAUUUGAAUUCAAUUUUUUUGAGCUAGGAAUAUAUAAGUAUUGAGCUCAAGUGGUUCACAAACAAGGUGUUCGCGCAGUGGCAUGUUCUCGUCGUCCGUCCUCAACGUAUGAAAGGUUGUGGAUUUGAUUCUCUAACCUUGAGUUUUUAAAUUUUUAUUUAAGAAUUGGUUAAACAAAAGAGAAAUCAAUGUCUAUCCCGAAAGCAGUUUACCUCAAGGGCCAUAAGAGCCCCAUUAUUUUCCACAACGUCUAGAAUAAUUGCCAACAAAGAUAUCACCCAGGCGGCUAUGACAUAAUGCAAUCAUAUAAAAAUGAUAGCCAUGUUAUUUGGUAGCAUCGACAGAUGCAUAUACAUUUCUUGUAUUCUUUUUACAAAUACACAAUAGAUUUGUGCAUUGAUGUAUUGCAAUGGGAAAAAUUGAUGCAUGUUAUAGAAUUGAGGCUCUUAACCACAAGGACCUAGGCUCGACCUUGACUCGAACAAGGCAGGGGUCGAUGCAUCUCAACAGGCAAAGGUUAUUCUAGUUGCUUGCUUCUAUCCAACGUUUUGGCUACCGAAUCCCAAGAAAAUACCGAGGGUGGGCGAGAAACGCGGAUACCGCGGUUACCAUAAACUUCCGAGCAAAAACCGCUCGAUUUUUUCAAACGUAAUUUGAAUUCAAAUUUUUCUGUGCUAGGAAUAUAUAAGUAUUGAGCUCAAGUGUUUCACUAACAAGGUAUUGGCGCAGUGGCAUGUUCUGGUCGUCCGUCCUCUACGUAUGUGAGGUCGUGGGUUCGAUUUUAUAACCUUGAGGUUUUUAAAUUUUAUUUAAGAAAUUGGUUAAACGAAAAAGAAAACAGCUAUAAUGGAAGGUAGUGGGUCUCGAAGCAGCGACCGACGGGUUGAGCGGGACGACCAUGUUUGCCAGCAGACCACACCUGGUUGAAUCAUAGAAUGAGUUUAUGUCCUACUUGACUAGGCUGUAGCCAUUCAAAUUCAAAAUUUUCAAAUAAUUCAAUUUUUUUUGCUCGGUACGCAGCUUUCUCGUGGAUAGCGAGAAACGCGUAUACAGGGCGGUGUCCGAAUUUUCCGCCCGGUACCCAAAACCAUGCUUCUAUCUAUGUACUGUACUAGCUAACCAGCUCUCACUUAUCCACGUAUUGACAUAUGUACUGUACUGUACUUCUAUGUACUGUACUGUACUUCCAUGCCAAUUCCUCUUAAUAAAGUUAUUUUUAGUAAGAAUGACUCUGCGACGAAGAUACCAUGCAAAAUGAUACUCACUUCGUAAACUAAUAUAAGAGCAUUUAGAACACUAAAGUAGUGAUCUAAACGCUCGUAUAUUAGUUUACAGAGGGAGUAUAUGUUAAAUUAUGAAGAAAUAUUAAGCCCAUGUAGGCACACAUGUUGGUUAGACGUCCAUAUGUAAUCCAAGAUUCAGCUUUAAUCAUUAAUUUGACUAACAAGAUGUGGGUUAUUUGCCGGCGUGGGUUAGCAGUCAAAAUAUCAGAGUUAGUGGAGUAGCAAGUCAUAUGUAUUUACAAAAGAGUAAAAUACACCACAGGUCCUAAAACUAUUUGAGGGGUGCCGAGUUGGUCCUAAUCCUAAUACUAUGACAUGCAUAUCUGGAUCCUAAAAAGUUUUCCAAGUGUGUCACCCGCGGUCCUAUCCGCGCGACAUCAACUUUGACUUGCACAGGCGGUAGGUUGACUACUGUUAUGUGGCAGCUUUUUGCACGACCCUCCUCCUUGCACACAUGCUUGGACAAAGAACCAUAUGGUAACUUUGAAUAAAAUGAAGCUGAAAGGACAUGUCUCCACAAACAAAACGAGUGCGGAGAAACGGAGUAUAAGGAGGUUGAUCGUACUUGGACAAAGAACAAGGGCUUGUCAACCACGACUUUGAUAUCGCCGGCGUCACAUAAUAGUUCCUCGAUGCAUGGGUAUGGGGGCCGCGGUGAUGGAUUUCCAAACUCUUCCAGCCCCACGUCGGCCAAUGCUUCCACGAACACCACUCCCUCUCCGGUGCAGUCCACCACCAGCUUGUUAGUAGGGAGAAUCUCUCUCAACCGACCGGCCAUGGGGUAGUAGUACACCAGAGCCUCCGCGAAGCCAAUGCUUCCAUGAACACCACUCCCUCUCCGGUGCAGUCCACCACCAGCUUGUUAGUGAGGAGAAUCUCUCUCAACCGACCGGCCAUGGGGUAGUAGUACACCAGAGCCUCUACGAGCGCUACCUUGACGGCCUUUGACGGUGUCGUUGUUGGAUGGCCGCCUGGUCGGCAGCGGAAGAACUCGACCCCAAAAGAGUAGACUCGUAGGUCAUAACAGUCGUCGACGUCGGAGAGGACUUUGGUCUCGCGUGGUGUUGGCCGUGCUGGCGCCACCAGCUCGGGCAAACUCCGGCGUGCGGUGAACUUCACCAUUGUGGUCCUACCCUUGGGUGCUUGUGACCUUGUGUUGUACUGUACCUCCACUAACUCUGAUAUUUUGGUUCAUUCAUGUAUCUCUCUAUAUAUACAUAUACACACAUAGAGAUGCUUGACGGGUAGAAAAUGGUAUACUCCUACAUCUCUUGGUCUCGGAGGAUAAGAAGAGAGCUUUUUGUUUCACAUGUCAUAGCACGUGAAGAUGCUGUUUGUACACAUGUGCCGGGAGUGUGUGCAACUGGAUCACUCGGAAGAAACAAAAGACUGCAAAUGGACAAACUCGAUUCAUGGCACCCGUAUCACACGUUUAUCCAAGCUUUGUCAUUAUCGCCUAAUCUCAUGAGUCCCCGGCAUGCACAUUCACCUGACCAAUUACUUCGCUAUUUUUUUUCGAGGCGUGCAACCUCGCUAGCUUAUGCGAGACCUGUGGUAUUUCCUACUCAACACUCAGUGCGGCAGAUUGCUGACCGUGUGAGCUGGGCCGGGCCAUUUGCACCGUUUUUUUGUGUGUAAAUUUUCGAUUUUCUUUUCAAUUUGUGUUCAUUCUUUGGUUUUCCUUGUCCCUUUUCUUUGAUUUAUUUUCUCAGUUAUAAACAUAAUUUUGAAAUAUAUUUAGAGUGCACCAUGAACAUUUUUUUAAAACCUGGCAAACAUUUUUCAACACGUGAUGUACAUUUUCAAGUACAUGGUGAACUUUUCUCAAAAAUUGUUGGUGCAAACUUUGAAGGCAAUCACGCAUUCUCAGACAAUGCUUGUGCUAUUCUAAAAAUAUUAACAAAUUUAAGUAAAAAUUUCAUGUAAAUUCAGAAGAAUGCAACACCUUCUUUAAAAGAUUCUUCAUAUAAUUUUAAAAUAAUCACAUUUUUCUUAAUAAAAUGCUUGUGUUUCAAGUAAAAACACAAGAGCAAACACGAGAAAUUGCUAAAACAUGUAGGAGGGGUGCUCUAUGACAAACAACACGCAACGGCCGAACAUGGCCGUCCUAUGAUGGACGUGACUAUGCGUUUGGGCAACUAUUCGUCGUAGUGAGCGCCAAAUAAGAUGUCUCUAGACUUAUUCAAGUUACCAUGGACAAAGCUUGAAUUGUGUCGGAGCCAGAAUCCAAUACACACAGACCCAUCUAGUAGGAAACUUUGAAAUCAUUAGUUAAUGUGUACCCCUUGCAAAGGUCACUCGGACAUUCUCUGGUAAUGACAAGUGAUGCAUCACAUAUGUGCCAAUUAUUGCAAUUAGGGAGUUUUUGUGGGCUUUAUUUUCCCACACGAAGGGGUGGGUGGGUUUAUUUGUGCUUUUUAUAGAUUUUUUUUCAAAAUGAUUUAUCUCUUGAACCGUGCGUCCAAAUUAUGAACCAUUUUCACCUUUGCGCUCCUCACGUCGAGAUCUCAAAAAUUGAUACUACGUUCAUAGUUCUUGUCAAACUUUUGAAGGAUGAAAUAUGUGCUCCACAACUGUAAUAACUCGCGCUUCAAAUACGGUUAUGCUUUCAUGUGAGAAGCACAAUUGUGCUUUACUUGGGGAAGCAUAAAGGUCACUCAGACCUUCUCUGUUGCUGAAAAGUAGCGCACAGGAUAUGUGCCAGUUGUUGCAAUUGAGUAGUUUCUGUUGGAUUUUCCCCCACGCAUAGGGAGAGAUGGGUGGGUUUAUUUGUUCUUUUCAUAGAUUCUCUUUAUGAAACUAUUUAUCUCUUUAAUUGUGUUUUCAAAUUACAAACCAUCUCCACCUCUGCACUCCUCGCGUCGAGUUCUCAAAAACAUCCCAUGUUGAUAGGUUUUGACAAAAUUUUAUGGGUGAAGUAUGUGCUCUAAAACACUGUAUGAACCCUUGCUUCAAUACAACACUAAUUGUGCUUCAGUUUUAGGGAAGCAUAGUUGUACUUUCAUGCGAGAAGCAGUAGUGUUCUUCACCUUUGGGGGAAGUAUGCAGAAGUACAACUGUUGCUUCAUGCAAGCGCAUUUGUGCUUCAAUUUCUGGGGAAGCACAGUGUGCUUUCACGCAAAAAGCAUAACUAUACUUCAUGCUGAAGCACACACUCAUGUUAGAUGUACAAAAAUGAUGAGAAAAAACCAAAAAUGAAAUACCAAACAAAUCAGAAAAACCAAAAGAAAGACAAAAAAUUGUGCUGAUGAAAACACCCGUUGUGCGACACAUCGAGGCGCUGGAGCAUGCCACAUGGCGCACCGGGGCGCUCCGCCCUCGUACGCCUCGCUCACUACCAGGAUGCCGAGUUUUCGAUGCAAGCACUUUGCAAGGGGUAGCCCUCGAAUAGUAGCUUCCAAGAAGUUGCUAAUCUUCGCUCAUAGCAAAGAAUACAUGGUAUAAUGAAUGGAACAAUGAAAUAUGGGCUGGCCCAUGUAGUAGUUUAUUUAUUACAUAUGUUUCUUAUUUUUUGUUGAUUUUUAUGUUUUGUUUCCUUUUCCUAAGGUUGGUAGUGUUGUUCUUUUGUUCAUUUCAGUUUCUCUGUGUUUUCUCAUUCCUUUUCAUUUUUUAUUACGAGAAAUAUUUUUAGUUUAUGAAAAUUCAUAUAGAAAAUUCAAAUAAAUUGAGAAAUUUUUAGACACAUGCAUUUUUAGCAUAUGAAGGCUUUUUUCCGUACAUAAUGAAUAAAUAAUUUUAAAAAUGUAUGAACAUUUUCCAUACAAUAUUUCAGAAAUAUAUUGGAAUUAAAAUGUUUGAAUACAUAAAAAUAAUUUUACCUAAAUAAAAAAAGGAAGGCGAAUACCGACAAGACAUUUAUACCAACACAGCCAAUAAACCGGGAGCUCCUAUUGGGCGCUACAUAUGCAAGAAUUCCUCCCUGGUGCCUACUACAGUACCCAGUUGGGCCGGCCCACGAAACGCACACAACAUCAGAAAACAUAUAUCGUAGAAAACUGAAAAAAAUAAUAGUUAACUCCAGGUUUCAAACUGGCACAGUUGCAAUAACUUACGUGUUCACUGACCACUUGAGCUACCUGCCAUUAGUGAUAGAUAAUAGCGCCAAUUAGUACAUAAUAACAAUGUCGUCGUGCUGUUUUAUUGCACAGAACUGUACUGAUGUAUAUUUUUUGAAUUAUCUGACACAAAAAAUCAUGAAUUAGAAAAAGGUUCAUAUAUUUUCAAAAAAGUUCGUCAAUUUUCAGAAAAGUUCACCAACUUAAAAGAAAGUUCAUCAAAUUUUAAAAAUGUUCAUGUAUUGAAAAAAGUUCAUCAAAAUUGGAAAAAGUUCACGGAUUUUCAAAGAAGUUCAUUAAACUUGAAAAGCAAAUGAUAGAAUUUGAAAAAUAAGUUCAUGGAUUUUUGAAAAAAUUUCAUUGAAUGUUUAAAAAAGUUCACAAAUUUUGAGAAAAGUUCAUCGAUUGGCUGCUGGUACUGUCUUCCUCGUCGCCGUGCGUAGAAACAUCCGUCGGGCGCCGGGGGUAGCUGCCACAUUUGCUGGUUGCAGCAAAAAAAAAAGGCCCGGUCGUUGUCGGAAGUAGCUGUCUUUCUCGCUGGUUGGAGCAAAAGCACGGCCGCCGUCGGCAUUGGUGGCUGCUGCCGCCGUCGCCAGUUCCAGCACGGGGCUUUCUGGUUGCAGCAAAAACCAUGAGUGGUUCCGGGGUUGUUUGAUGGCUGCUCUGGCGUUUCCUCUCGCCACGGCCACAUCCACCUACCACUAUCACCACCGCUGCCGACGGGCACCCCCGCACCUACCACCGCCGCCGCCGCCGCCACGCUCGCGCCUACCGCUGCUCCUCACCACCACAGCACGCGCGCACACCGUCGCCCCCGUAUUCCCAUUGACAUCUCCCCGCAAAGCCGCGAAUGAAGAGACGCCUCAGAUUUUCAGAUCUAAGCGUCCCCGCGUGCGACGGGAGGAUCUCAGCAGAGGAGAAGGCGAUGGAGGAGAGCCACCGCAUGUGGAUGGAGAGGACGAUGCGAAGGCCAGGGCGUGGAGACACCCCGAAGAAGCUGGUGACGCGGAUCUGCAUCGAGGCGACAGAGGAGGAGAUGGCCGGGACGAUCCCCACGGAUUCCUCCUCCCCGGAAGAAGUGAUUUCCUAGGCGAGGGCAGAGAUGCACUCGCACAUCCCAGAGCAGAGGGCGAAGUGGCGAGCGUUCUGGUCGCUGCAGAGCUAAUCUCGCCAGCGAGAAGCCAUGGCUCCACCCCACCAUUGGAGCGGAGGAUUUCUGCCUCGAAUCGGAAUCAGAGGUUUGAAUUCGCCACCCCGCUACGAUGGGCUGGAGAACAAAAUAGGCGAUGUCUCAACUUCGUUGCAAAAAUCAACCCUCCUGAUCGUGCAAUCAAGGUCAAGAAGCGUCAUUCUCUGAAAUCGAGCGCAGUUGAAAAAGGAAUUUCUCCUGAUCCUGCUAUGGAGAAUGACAACCAAGGCCCACNNNNNNNNNNNNNNNNNNNNNNNNNNNNNNNNNNNNNNNNNNNNNNNNNNNNNNNNNNNNNNNNNNNNNNNNNNNNNNNNNNNNNNNNNNNNNNNNNNNNNNNNNNNNNNNNNNNNNNNNNNNNNNNNNNNNNNNNNNNNNNNNNNNNNNNNNNNNNNNNNNNNNNNNNNNNNNNNNNNNNNNNNNNNNNNNNNNNNNNNNNNNNNNNNNNNNNNNNNNNNNNNNNNNNNNNNNNNNNNNNNNNNNNNNNNNNNNNNNNNNNNNNNNNCGAGCACUAGGGGCAGUUGUGGGAGUAGGAUAUUAACCCCGAUCCCCACCCUCUCCUAGUCUGGAUCCGGAGAGACCAAACCCUACCCCGCUCGUUCGCCGCCGCCGACUGCCACCCAACAUCGGAGAACGAUUCCGCCACCCUCCCAUACACCACCAUCAGAGGAGUCGAUCCAAAGCUGUGUCAAGAAAUCGGAGCCAUGGCUGAAGCGCAAGGGAGAGGGCGCGGGCGGGGAAGAGGAGGGAACCCUAGAAGCAACAAACAGGGGGGCCAAACAUCAGGGGAUCUUGGAGCUCCACCCCCAGGUAAUUGGCCCCAGUUUUAUCCCCAAUAUGGUCCUCCUCCCCCCAAUUCCAAAUCAGCUUUGGCUUCCCUGGAGGACCCCAGAUCCCACCCCCUUGGUACCAGGGAGGUGUCAGGACCCCGACUCGAUGCCACAUAGAUCUAGCAUGUAACACUUCAUAUCACUUUGCGGCCUCACGCACGGUAUUCCCACGGGUGUCGCCUUACCUUUACCCGGGACCGUUUGCGCCUUUUGGCACACGUAUAUGACAGUGUCGCUAGCAUCCAUAUGAUAAGGAGCCCGGGCUGACAUGGCUAGUCGUAAACCCAAAGUGGCACAAACUUACAGGGACAGGCAUCCAUGACCCAGCAUCGAACGUGUCGGUCAUCAGCGAGUGAAUCCAGGCUGUAGCACUGGGCUAGCAGGACUCCGGUGAACCGGGCUGUAGCGGGCUAACAGGACUCUGGUUUUCAUCGCGUGACAUUUCCCCGAAGGGACAGACACAGGAACGAAGAAGGACACAUGCCGGCCAGCCUAAGUGUUCCGGAGCAGUAGCAAGCUACCAUGGCUCGGUGGAGACACUAGGAGACAUUUCCCCGUAAGAGAGGCUACUAAAGAUAAACAACUAGAUGGUCAGAUCCCACACAUACCAAGCAUUUCAAUAACAUACACACAAUAUGCUCGAUAUGUGCAAAUACAACAUGGCAUCACAACAUGACCCUAUGACUCAAGUAAUCUAUUCAAUAGGCUCCGAGGAGCGAGAUAUUACAAACAUGGGUCUCAUGACCCAACAUUCAGAGCAUACAAAUCAAGCACAAGCGGAAGCUAUCAUGUCUGAGUACAGACAUCUAUAAAUGAAAAAGGCUGAGAAGCCUGACUAUCUACCAAAUCCUGCCGAGGCACAAGAUCGUAGCUGAGGUAUCAAGCUAAACGUCGAAGUCCACGUGAAACUACUAGCGAGACCGAAGUCUCUUUGCAAAAACAUAAAAUAGGCAAACGUGAGUACAAAUGUACCCAGCAAGACUUACAUCAGAACUAUCUACAUAUGCAUCAUUAUCAACAAAGGGAUGGUGGGGUUUAACUGCAGCAAGCCAGCUUUGACUCGGUGGCUAUCCUGAACUACUACUGCAAGCGACUCUUAUGAGGUGGCGCACACGAGUCCACAUAUUCACCAUAUCAAUACACCACUAUGGAUCCGCUUCCGUCUCCCUACGAGAACGCCAUCCAUAGCACUCACGCUUAUCUUGCGUAUUUUAGAGUAUCCACUUUCACUUGUCUAUGAACUGAUAUAAGCAACCCAGAAGUCCUUUUCCGCGGACACGGCUAUUCGAAUAGAUGAUGAUAACCCUGCAGGGGUGUACUUCUUCAUACAUGUUUCCACCACUUAGCGUCUGCACACGACAUGUGCUCGGCAGACUUCAAGCGAAAGCCGACGUGGGUGUAGACCACGACCUACCUAAACACUCAAGUCUCUAGUCCAGGUUUAUCGCCUAUUCGGGUUCCAUCCAUGAGGAGAUCCGGCCGGAGUUUCGCUCACAGCCCCAAACGAUGUGAACAGGGUUCCGUGACACCAAACGGGCGCCCGGUUUACCCGGCCACGUGCCUACCGCAUCACAGCCCACCCCUACGGUCAGCGCUGUCCACGGCCUCCAGCAUACUACAAACACCAGAAACUACUUGCAACUCCUGGACAGAGGACAAGGGUGAAUAAGAAGUCGAGCGGGGUCAUAUUUCAGGGCCCAAUGUAUGGUAGUAGCUGAAUCAUGGAUCACAAACACAGAACUCAGUUCCUGAGGACGGCUACAAUGAGACAACCCACCAUGUACUCCUACAUGGCCUCUCACCGCUACCUUUACCAAAUCGUGUUCACACAAUUAGCUCACACACAGUAGGACAUGUUCACACGCCUCUGAUUCAUCCCCGAUGAAUCAGACCUGACUCAACUCUAAGCAGUAGCAGGCAUGACAAACAAACAUGAAUGAGUAGGCACAACAGGGCUCAAACAACUCCUACUCAUGCUAGUGGGUUUUAUCUAUUUACUGUGGCAAUGACAGGUCAUGCAGAGGAUGAAGGGGUUCAGCUACCGCAGCAAGUAACAGAUGAAUCGGUGUUGUCCUAAUGCAUUAAAAGAGAGCAGGAGCGAGAGAGUAGGAUUGUAUCGGAAUGAACAAGGGGGUUUUGCUUGCCUGGCACUUCUGAAGAUAACCUUGAGUCUUCAUCAGUGUCAACGAUCACAUCAUCGGUAUCGCGUCUAUCGAGAGGGGACAAAUACCGGCAACACAGAAAGGAACACAAUCAAUGCAAUGCACAAUAUGAUGCAUGCUCAUGACAUGGCAAUAUGAAUGUGUUUUGAGCUAAUGCAACUAGCAACAGAUUAAAUGAAGUUGGUUUGAAUACAAGAUUCAAAUUCAAACUCCAUAUGUGAUUAUUUAAAUGCCCUUUAUUUGAUUUGUGCUAAACAGCAGCUAUAAGUUGUUCUAACAUGCAUGAAAAUGGUACAGAUGGAUUCCUUGAAUUUUUCUGAUAAUUUUUCAUAUAUAAAUUAUUUAAUUUGGAGUUACGGUUAAUUUUCUAUGAUUUAUUGAAGUUUAGGGCAUUUUCUGAAAUUAUAAAUCAUUUCCUAAUUUAUUUAAUUCCAGAAAUACUUUACUGCGUCAGCAUGACAUCGGCAUGACGUCAGCAAGUCAACAGGGGCCGGUCAGGGUCAAACCUGACGUGUGGGGUCCACACGUCAGUGGCACAGGGGCUAAUCCCGCGUUGACCCGGGCUUUGACCCACUACGGGGCCCACUGUCAGUGGCUGUGGGGGGUGUUUAGAGCGUCAUUAGUGCUAAUUAGGCGUGCCACAUCGGCAGUCGCCGGGGUUUCGCCGGCGGCGACCAUUCCGCACGGCGGGGGAGCGCCGGACUUGCGCUAGGGGCAUCGGAUCGACGCGCCAAGGGCACCAGGAGGUAGCCCGCGCCCGUGCGCAUCUAGGGGAACCAACGGAAGGUGCGGGGGUGGCCGGAAUCAGCAACGGCGGCGAGCGAGGCGGCGGCCGGAGCUCGGGCGAGGUCGGGUUUGGCGUUCGGGGGCACGGGAGGGAAGCUAGUGGCGGCUACGGGCUCCUGGAGACGUGUUGGGUGCGGUGGUGUGCUCGGCUUCGAGCUGCAACGGCUCCAGCCACGGCGGUGACGAGGCACGGCGGCGGCGAGCUCUCGGGUCCGGCGGAAGCAAUGGCUAGAGCGGCCCAACGGCAUGGGAAGAAGAGGGGAACGGUUCAGUGGCUCACCGCGAUUCUUCUGGUGCUGCUGGCGAGGCAGGGGAGGCACGGGGUCCGGCGAAUCGACGGAGGGGAGCUUCGGUGGCCGGCGACGGAACGGCGAUGGUGGCGGCGUUGCAGGGCUUCCGGAGGGCCGUGGGUCGGUGGGGAGGAAGGAGGGGGUCGAGGCGGAGCUCGUGGGUGUGUCGGAGAGGCUAGGGGUGGCCGGUGGCCACGAGAGAGCUCGUCGGCGGCGGCGGGUGUGUUCGGUGGCUGCGCGCGAGAGAGCCAGAGGAGGAGAGGAGCUCGGGGAGAGAGUGAGAGGCCUGGGGGGGGUGCGUGGCGUCGCGGACGGGGUCCAGGGCAACGAGAGGAAGCAGGAGGUGGCUAGGGGGGAAGCAGGAGGUGGCCGAGGCAGCGUCGGCGAGCGCCACGCCUCGCCUCUGUUCGUCCUCCUGGCAGAGGAGGAAGAGGACAAAGGAGGAGGAGGUGGGCUGGGCCGGCUGGGGGAGCUGGGCCGGUGGUGGCGCCAGGUAAGGUUUCUCUUCUCUCUCUGUCUUUUUCUAAUUAUUUCAGUUUUCUAUUUGCAGGUUUGUUUUGAAUUUGGUUUUGAAACCAAUUCAAUUUAUUUUGCUUCUGACAAUAUUUUUGGGAGCUAAAAGAAUUAAAACAAUGCUCCACAAAAAUAUUUCAGAAUUAUUGGACCUAUAUUUAUUUAACAGUAGAUAUAAGUCCAAUUCAAAUAGCUAUGAUUUAAAUUCAAAGUCCCAAAAUAAAUCCUUAAAAAUGUUCAAUAUUUUGGUUGGGACCAGAACCCUUACCAAAAAUUAUCAAACAUUUAAGAAGAGCCUUUUGGAGCAAUGAAUAAGAUUUCUAGGGUUUUUGCCACUCUUUUAUUUAGGGUUUUGAGGCUUCCAAUAUUCCUCAAUUCAAGUUUCAAAAAUAUAGACAUGAUGCACACAUGAAGCUAACCUAGAGCAAUGCCAGAAGCUAGGGAUGUGACAGGAGGAUUCUUCUCUCCCCCGCAGAUGAAUCAGUGGAGAGGCCCCCUGGCAUCUGGGGUGGUGGACAGAACCAAGAUUCAGGUCCCUCUGACAGGAAGUUUAGUAAUCAGCAAUAGAAGGGGCAACAAGGGCAGAAUCCUGGAAAACAAGGCAACUCAAGCUUUGAUCAGAAGCAGCAAAAAUCUGGCCAGGAGCAAGGUUUCAGUUCCUCUGUGAGUGGCAACCAGCAAAAGAAAGGGAGGAACAUGACCAAAGCAAAGCAACCCCUCAACAAGUUGGAUGAUCUGAAUGCUACAGAGUAUGCAGAUAUCAUCUUCUAUAGUUGUGGAGAACCUGGACACCACAAGACCAACUGCCCAAAACCACCUGCCUGCUUCAUAUGCAAAGUGGUGACACACAAGGUGGAGGACUGUCCAGUAAGGAACAAGCCAAGAAAUCCAGCAAAAUUUGUUGGUAGUGGGGCCCCUGGACUUGGAUACCACCAGAUUGAUGUCCCUGAUGUGAAUGAACAACACAUUGGAGUUAAGAGGAAUAUAGGAAUUGUCUAUGUAGAUCCAGGACAGGUCACGAAGAAGGAACUGGCCCACAACUUCUCAUUGAUUUACAAGACCAAUUGGCCAUGGCAGAUAAGAGUACUUGAUGAUUGGACUUUUUUGGUCAAAUUCCCACCUCACAUCCUAGUUGAGUGUAGCCAGAUAUCCUCUUUUUGGAUUGCCUGAGUUAGAAGGAGUCACAGUGAAUGUAGAAGUGUGGAAAGGGGUACUAGAACACCAUAGUGAACUGCAAAAGGUAUGGCUUCAGCUGGAUGGGGUUGCACCAGCCUAGGCUAAAUGGGCAGUAUUGGAGCAAUUUACAUCUGUGUUUGGAAUCCUGAUUGAUGUUGAUUGGCAAGGGAAUUUCAAGUCAUUCUUUGAGGUGGUCAGGAUCAAGAUCAAAUGUAAAGAUCACACCAAAAUACCCCCUGAAAGGUUGUUUGGCAUAGGUGACAAGCUGUUCAGGAUUGGGAUUACUAUAGAACCACCAGAAGAUGACCCAGAGCUAGAUGACCUGUUGGAAGAUGAACUAGCUGACAAUGCUAAUGGUAACAUGUUAGAGAAGGAUAACAAGGAGGAAGAGAGUACCAAUAGAGAGAAAGGAAACAUUGGAGGAGGUUCCACUCCCUCCAUCCAAAGUAACAAAUCUGCCAACAGUGCCUCAAGCCAGAACUCAAAACAGAAAGUAGUUGACUACUGAAGCAACUACAAGAGCCAAUUAGCAUGGAGCAGAGCUACUACAUCCUGCAAGGAAUGGAACUUGAAGAGGAUGAGGAUGAUAUGGAAGAUCUGCUAACUGAAGAUGGGAAUGCAAGAGAUAGAGAUGGAGAAGAGGUGAUUUUCAGCCCCCAGUUUGAACCAGAAAAUGGCCCCAACCCUCAGCCUCCUACUGAUGAGACAGUAAUUCAGCAUGGGCACAAAGAGGGGAAAAACAAAUGGGGCCCAGUUCAAGCAUUCAGGAAAAGCAGCAGGGUUGAAGUGGGAGGCAGAACCAUGCUGGAGAUUGCAAUCAACACUAAGAAUGUGCAUAACUUGGAAGGCACAAAGAAUGACACCAAAGGUACCAUUGUUAAAAACUCAUUUGAGCUUUUUAGUAACCCUAAUUUCCUAGAAGUAGCUAAGAAGAUAGGAAUAGAGGUAGAUACUAGUUACAAUUCCACUGUAGAAGCUAGUUCUUCCAGCUCUCUGCCUUUGUCUGAAGGACAAAAUGCAGGGGAAUUUGAGCAAUUUAAUGCUGGUUGAAUAGUAGUGCUAUUGAUAAGCAAAAAAGUAAGAUGGAUGUAUUUUGCAAUAUGACCCAACUAGUAGAGAAGCCCGAAGGGCCCCCAGAUAUUAGUAGUCUAAUUGAUUACCCUAGACUCACAAAAAAGCCUGGGCAAAGGAGCCUGGAGGGCUCCCUACCCAAAAAGAACUCAUAGAUUAUGGUGGUUCCCCUGGUACCCCUUCAGAGUUCAAUGUGAUCCCUGCUCAAAUACUCUGUCUCAUGCAAUCUAGUGCAUAAGACAAGUGCAAAAACCUUUAGGUUCAUAGCAGUCUAUGGAUCACCAUAUGAGGAGGGCAAGGAUGAAUUCAUCUCUGAACUCCAUAGUAUGUUCAUUGAUGACCACCCACCCACUAUUAUGGGGGGACUUCAAUUUUGUUAGAUAUCAGAAAGAUAAGAACAAUGGGAGGAUUAACCAUAGCUGGAGUGACAAAUUCAAUGCUUGGAUAUAAAUUUGGAGUCUGCUAGAAAUUAAGAUGUCUGGGAGAUAAUUCACCUGGGCAAAUAAUCAAGAUAACUUGGUUAUGAGUACCAUAGAUAGGGUUUUUUGUACCACUGAACUAGAUGCAAUGUUUCCUUUAAGUAGUUCUCAAGCUCUCCCUAGAACUGGUAGUGAUCACACCCCUAUCCUGUGGGAUUCUGGUGUGGAUGGUACCCCAAAAAACUCAAGCUAUAAGUUUGAGAAAUGGUCGCUACUAAGAGCUGAAUUUAAAGAGCUUGUGGAGGGAAGUUGGUUUGCUCCUGUCAAAUGUACCACCCCCAUGGACAUCUGGCAGGAAAAAGUUUAGUAGAGGAUGGAGUAGAAAUGUAGAUGCUGAGAUUAGGAAAGCCAAGCAGGAGUUAGAAGAAGAGUAUGAUAAACUUGAUAUUAAAUCAGAAACUGUGCAACUUUCUGAGGUAGAAAAUUUAAGAAUGAAAGAACUCCUCUCCAGACUCCAUAACCUUUGGAUUGUAGAAGUUAAAGCUAGACAAAGAUCCAGGGAUAGGGAUAUCCUUGAAGGAGAUAGAAACACUAGGUAUUUUCAGGCUGUAGCAAAUCAAAGGAGGAGGAAAACACUUAUUAACAAGCUGGAAGGUCCUGCUGGCACUGCCACAGAUGUCAAAGACAUGUUGGGUAUAGCCACAGACUACUAUAAAGACCUCUUUAAGAAAGAAGAUAGAAAGGGUUUUAGAAUCAAUAAUAAUUUCUUUGCUGUUGAAGAAAAGGUCAAUGACUUAGAAAACCUACAAAAAACUUUCUCUGAAGGAGAAAUUAAGGAGGCCAUCUUUGGUUCAUACUCUGAUGGAGCCCCUGGUCCAGAUGGUCUAUCCUUUAUAUUCCUCCAAAAAAAUUGGGAAGUGAUUAAGAAAGAUGUGAUAGCCAUGUUUGAUGAUUUCCAUAAAGGGGAAUUGGACAUCUAUAGGUUAAACUUUGAUGUGUUGACCCUGAUCCCAAAGGAGAAAGAGGCUACCAGCAUGAAAAAGUUUAGGCCCAUUAGUUUGAUCAAUUGUAUCUUUAAGGUUUUUGCCAAAGUACUUACAAAUAGAUUAGCUAUGCUGAUGAAUAGGCUUACAUCUAGUAACCAAUCAGCUUUCAUAAAAGGGAGAUUUAUCCUGGAGAGUGUAGUCACAGCACAUGAGGUGCUGCACUCCACUGCUAAAUCUGGCAACCCAGGUCUAGUAUUAAAACUAGACUAAGAGAAAGCUUUUGACAAAGUUAACCUAGACUUUCUUAUUGAAAUUCUAGAAAAAAGAAACUUCAAUCCCCUUUGGGUGACUUGGAUCAAACAGGUCACACACAUGGGAUCGGUUGGAGUGAAAAUUAAUGGAAUAGAAGGCAACUACUUCCUUACAGGAAAAGGCCUGAGACAGGGAGACCCCUUGUCCCCCCUUCUCUUUAACUUGGUAGUAGAUGUUCUGAGCAAGAUGCUCUCCAAGGCAGCUUCUGAUAAGCUGAUUAGUGGUCUAUGUUCUGAGUUAAUUCCCAAUGGGGUCAUAUGCCUACAAUAUGCAGACGACACCAUCCUUUUCAUGGAGAAGGAUGAAAACAAAACUAAGAACAUGAAGAUGGUCCUCACCUGCUUUGAGCAAGUUUCAGGCAUGAGAAUCAACUACUCAAAGAGUGAGAUCAUCCCAAUAGAACUUUCUUCUGAAGAAACUAAAUCCUUUGCAGAUAUAUUAGGAUGUAGAGUAGGGGCUUUCCCAAUAAAAUAUUUGGGAAUUCCUUUACACUAUGAUAAACUUAGGAGGGAGGAUAUACAACCCCUGAUAGACAUAAUCCUCAAAAGGAUGUCUGGCUGGAGAGGCAAACUCCUCUCCUAUGCUGCUAGGCUGACUUUGAUUAAAACCUGCCUGGCUAGCAUUCCCAUAUACCUCAUUUCUUUUUUCAAUUCCAAAAUGGGCUCUAGAUAUGAUCAACAGUCACAUGGCCAAUUGUUUGUGGAAUGACUUUGAAGGAAAUAGAAAAAAUCACCAGGCCAACUGGCACCUAGUUUGUACGGGGAAGAAACAUGGGGGUUUAGGGGUGCCUAACAUCAAAGAUGUUAACCUUUGUCUCCUUGGGAGCUGGGUAAGUAGAUACAUCAAAGAUGAAGGCAAGCUUUGGAAACAAAUAGUGGACAAGAAAUACAUCCACAACUUCCCUAAUAUCUUUGAUAGUAAACCCCAAAACCCUUCCAGAUUUUGGCAAGGGGUCAUGUGGGCUGCUAAGGCUUUGAAAUUUGGAUAUAAAUGGGUGUUUGGAGAUGGAUAGAAAAUCAGAUUCUGGGAAGACAUCUGGUUUGGUACAUCUCCCCUCUCAGUCCAAUUCUGGCCACUUUACACCAUCUGUCACCAACAAUGCUCUACCAUAGCUGAGAUCUGGGACAACUAUGAGAUUAAACUCACCUUUAGGAGGAUUUUCACACCUACUAUGAUGGAGCAUUGGUAUGCCCUAGAGCAAAUCAUUAGGAGUACCCUACUUUGGAAGGAGGGUCACUCUCUCAUUUGGCAAUAUGAAGCCAAAGGGAAAUACACCACUAGUUCACUUUAUAGUAUCAUCAACUUUAGGGGGGUCCAGCCUAUGUAUAUACCAGCGAUGUGGUCAAUAAAAACCCCACCCAGAGUCCAGGUGUUUUUGUGGCUACUCUCCCACAACAAGCUGAUGACGAAAGAGAACCUGGCCAAAAGAGGCAUAGAAAAAGCCCCAGAAUGUGUAUACUGCUAUGAAAAAGAGUCCAUUACACACCUAUUCUUUGAAUGUGUGGUGGCCAAGCAAAUCUGGAUAGAAAUAUCAGAGUUUUUUUUGAUGCAGAAUUAGGAACUAACUACUUGUCUAUUGCUAGAUUUUGGCCAGCUAACAAGAAACAUAUUGCUUUAAAUUCAGUCUGUGCAUGUGUUCUAUGGGCUAUGUGGAAAAAUAGAAAUCCACAUGUCUUUAACAAUGCUAUAUGGACUGAUGUGAAACGGAUAUGGAGGAGAGUGCUAGGACAAUCCAGGAGAUGGCUGAUCUUGUUCGGAGGACCUGCCUUGACAAAACUGGAGGCGUUCGUUCAGAAAAUCUCCUGCAUCCUAGAUGCCCCCUCCAGAUUCUGGCAGGUUAACUGUCGAAAGGGAAGACACUGAAGGUGACUCCGAUCACUCGCUUCUCCUCUCUCGCUCGAAGACCGAUGAAGCUCCAAUCAUAAAAGGGCCAGCAUACACAAUCUCUCCACCAAGAAGCCCUCGCGAAAGCACCUGUAAGGCGACGCUGCUCAGCCCCGUCACCCCUCUGGAGCUGGGUGGAUCACCGGCUAAGCCAUGGAAGAAGCUCAAGGUGGUGCCUAUGACAGACGUGGCGAAGGAAAUGGUAUCGCUGGGAACUGCAUAAUGUGAUGCGCUAACUGAAGAAGUGGAAGAAAUCUGGUCUCCAGGAAAGGGAGGGGAGAGAAGUGUUGGUUAUUACAGUUUUGUGCACAAAUUUGUAAUAAGAGGAAACUCUGCUUAGUCCUUUAUGUAGAACUGAUCUGCUGAUCAGAUAUCUUUGUAGUUUUUCUUUUCGUUCUAGCUCGUUCCUGGACAUUCUUGCCAUGACUGUAAUGGUGUUACUUUCCUGGUGUCAUCUAUAAAAUGGGGCCGGGGGGCUCAAAACCCCCUUUUCUCUAAAAAAAGUUCAUCGAUUUGGGAAAAAGUUCAUGGAUUUUUCAAAAAAAGACAUUCGUCGAUUUUGAAGAAAAAUUCAUCGAUUUACAAUCAUGCAUUUAAGUAAAAUAAAAAAAUAUAAAAAGAAAAAAGAAAAGAAAAAGUAAGAAAAAAAUAAAUACAAACUGGAGAAAGAGUAAAAUGAACGCAAGAACUUUGUAAGCAUAAGCUCGCGGUUGCCCAAGUGGUUGGCGUGGUGCGCUGGGAAUGUACAGGACUCGGGUUCGAUUUGUUGCUGCACACCAUUUUGUGCACUUUAAAUAUAUAAAGCAAAACUCUAACAUGGGCCAUCCCAUCUCGCGACAGAGGGAGUGCGCUGCAGGCUCCCGUUUGCAAAAAACACCUGUAACGGGCGGCUGUGGCGCUAAAUAGGAAAUCCCUAACAAACCAGUAAGAAUUUUUUUUUGUGAUAAAACAUACAGCGGCAGCAAAACGGGCUGGCCCAUUCCCGUGGGGUGCGUUUUGGGGGGCUAUUCCGUACUAUGGAGCUCCUCGCAAAUUCCUAGUUCCCUCCCAAUGCGGGAAUACUUCGCGUUUCGUAUUUUUUUGCCGGGAUACUUCGUGUUUCGUAGGAAACACACACUUUCCUCUAGCUAAGAGGCCAUACCACACCACAAACGUGAUUUGAAUACUGUAGAAGGUUUUGGCCUGUUUCUUUUUUAUUUUUUAUCUUCCGGUUAUAUUGGGUUUUCAUUUCUAUUUAAUUUUUGUUUGUGCUCUUUCUUGUUAUUCUCUUUCUCUUUUUGCUUUCUUUUAUAUUCCUUUGCGUUUUUUUUCUUCAAGUUCCUAUUUUCUUUUCCUUCAUUUUGAUUUCUUUAUCCUUUUUCCCUCCAACCAGAUUCAGGUUUUAAAAUUUGUGAACAUUUUAGAACUCAAAAUUUUGAAAAAUUCAUGAACACUUUUUUAAAUACACGAACAUGUUGUAACAUAUGUGACAUUUAUUUAUUUUACAAUUUUCAUUAAACAAUUAAAGAAUUUUAAAAUUUAUGAAUUUAUUUUCAAAAUCGUUAAGAAUUUAUUAACAUUUUCAAGAUCUCUAAUUAUUCUUAAAAAUUGUACAUUAUUUUAAAUUUUUCAUAAGUUUUUUAAAUGAACUCGUUUUAGAAGCUUGAAUAUUAUUAAUUUAAAAGGGCUGCAACAUAAGUAUGAUUCAAUUCAUAAUGGUACUGAAUAAGAAACGGAUGGAAUCCAACCAAGCUGAAAAACCAGCCAAAAAAUUGGCCAAAUAUAUACAAAAAAUCAUCCUUGUGCGAUAGCACAUAAAGUGCAUGAACCAGGUCAGCCCACCCCAGCGGGGUGCACUUUUCCUGCGAAGAUUAAGCAUCCGCCGCCGCACUACUAGGAAAAGGCCUACUAAUGGCGCACCUAAUUUGGCCAUUAAUGGCGCAUUAGUGGUGCGCCAUUAGUAUAUUUUACUAAUGACGCACCACUGGUGCGCCAUUAGUAUAUGGUAUACUAAUGGCGGACCUCAAAUGCGCCAUUAAUAUAUACAACAGUGCGCCAUUAGUAUGCCUCCCAGGGGGCCAUGUAUACCCAGGUGCUUUGGCAUACUAAUGGCGCACAACAGCAAGAUGCGCCAUUAGUAACUUCGGCAUACUAAUGGCACACUGUUUAAUGAUGCGCCAUUAGUAUCCUUUGGCAUACUAAUGGCGCACUGUGAUGUGAUGCGCCAUUAGUAUGAAUAUUAGGGUUUUUUUAUUUUUUUAUUUUCUGUUUUUUGCACAGGUUACAAAAUGUAUACUUGGACAAAAUAUAGACAGCACACAUCAACAACAGAUUCAUCUAAUACAAUAGAAGAUUAGUCUCUGAAUACAAUUCAUCAUAUUAGUCUCUGAAUACAAUUCAUCAUAUUAGUCUCCGAAUUGAAAAGACCGAACAAAGAUAGAACAUUAUAUUACAAGUCUCGAGACCGCGAGUAGCGAGUUUGUCUUCACAUUACAAGUCGAUAUCGAUCAUCUAAACUACCAUCACAUAGAAGAGAGCUGCGGUCAUCACGAUGAGCAUCAUCACGAUGAAACUCGUCUUCAUCCGGUUCCUCCAACGCUCCCUCCCCUCUCCCGCUAGAUAGCGGGCGUAUCUAGAUUCGGCCUCGGCCCUAGUGGUGUACCCUUUGUAACUGUUACCGCUGAAUCGGUGAACCUGUCUCCGACACUCCUCCCAGUUGUCGUAGACUCCGGAAACCUUACCCUUGUACACGACAUACGACGGCAUCGCUAUGCACUAGCCAAACGAAAUGUUAGUACCAAUUCACAGACAAUACAUAAGCAAUAUAUAAGUAUGCAACAGAGCGAUCGAAAGAGAAAAGCAAGACAUGAAUAGCAUCGAUUACAUCUAAGUUGAACGACUCUCGAAACCAAAGAGACAUACUACAAGUUCAUUAAAGUUUAAUUACAACAUGAGCCAAUCGAUGUUUCAGAACUAGACACAGCAUCACUGCUUUCGACUCGACUCAAGGGACCGGAGCGUGGAUGGAGCCGCCGUCUAUCGUGGGAGUCAUGAAAGAAUGGGCGUUGUCAGCCUGCAUUUGUAGCAUUGUGUCGAUGUCACUGUUGGACGGUUGAUUUCUGAGGUAGAACUGCCCCGAGGUACGAAGGACAUCUUGAUGGAUGAUUUCCGCAAACUCCGACUGGAUGCGAAAGAAUUCUUGUCUGAUGUCCGCGCCCUGGAUUGCCGACACGCUCGCGGCCCAAUCUUUGAGUUUACUCGGUAGCAGAAGUUGAUGAUGGUCCCAUACGAUCGCUCGCAUGUGAUGGAUCGCGUAGUAGGCACCCUUCUGACCGCCAGGCGGCUGCUUGACGCAGCAGAACAUCGUAUUGUGGGAGAACACGUGCUUGCCGUACUUACGAAUAGGCCUGGUGAAGGUGCCUCCAGAUUUGGCGUAGCCGGGGAGAACAUCAUCAAGAACCUUCUUGACAUUUGUGUAGUCUACGUUCGACUGACGGUCCGGGUCGAAAUACGUGGCCAUGGAAUAUUUGGGGCUUAGGAGGAUGAGCGUGCAAUGUGUGUCACUGCAGAAAACACGGAAUGUUAAAAGAAGAACGAUCGAAAUCUAAGAAUUCAUAUGUUACGGGCCGGUUGAGGGGAGGACUUACUCGGGAAAGUAAGGCACGAGGAAGUUAUCCUUAUCUUGGUUUGCUAGAAUGGCGCCUUCGAGGUAAGAACUCGUGACUUGCCGGUCCCCAGCGCUGCCCAAGAUCUUGGCAUGCAUGUAGAAGGGGUCGACUAUCACGAUGUCCGGGGUCUUGUCACGAAUGAUCCGCAUGUCCAUACUCAGCAAAAAUAGCCGAACGAAGGUGUAGUGCAGUGGAUGAAGGUUCAACAUAGCGUGGAUGUCAUCAAACCGCAGGACGAUCGUACGCCUGAUGGAGUUAUCCACAAAGCUCUUGCCCUCUAGCACCUUGGCCGCGAAAACCGGGUAUGCCACAUCCUUCUCUCUGAGACGCCGCUUCUCCAAAGAAAGAACACUGUCAUGCAGACUCCGCAUAGCACCGGUUGCAGCAUUGAGCAUAUUUGUCGGUAGCAUCGCCCUACCCGCCACAUGCACCCUCCUCGAGAUAUCCUCAAGUGAAGGUGGCCCGUCCUGAGCACGGAUUGUACUCAGUGCCGGCUGGCUCGCACCCUUGUUAGUCUUUCUUUUGUGUGCCUUCUUCUUCUCCUAUAAUGGGACCGAGUUCUGCUCACAGACCGCCUUCUUGAGUGUGUUUGGGCUGAUAAUAUUUCGCACCUCGCCUAUCUGAGGCUCGGUGAAGUCGGCAGCUGGAGGCGUCUCCUGAGAGCUGAACGGCAGACGACGCCUGUUGCAACUUGGCUUCUCCACGGUACCAGCUAGAUCGCGCACGUCUUUUGCUAGGUUGGGUUCUUGAGAAGGAGGCCCCAUGAAGUCGCCAUCGUACCCAUGUUCGGCAAAGUACUGAUCGACGUUGCCAAAUGUAUCGUCGUCGUCGUCAUUCUGAUCCUGUGCCAUAUGCAUGUUUGGAUCCAGUGGCAUAGGGAUUUCCGGCACCGUUGCGGCGGUCUUGCCAUGGGGCCAACUUGGCGCCGGCAUGACUGGCGGUGUUGUCUUUCGGGUGGUGUCCCCCGCCCCCAAACGAAUCUGGCUCUUCGGCCAAAGCAGGGGCCAGCUGAGGCAGGCGCUGAGGGUCAUCACGUCAUCAUCAUCGGCCCCGACGGGUCGAAUCAGAGGUAACAACUCGUCGCAGCCUGGCAGCACCCGAACCAGUUCAACCCUAAACAAGUUGGGUGGCAUCUGGGUACCGUGGAACAAGGGGUUGCCCGGUUGAACGAUUUUGCCCUUGGAGACAUCGACCAACUCGUUGUUCACGAAGUGCAGGAGAGUGCACGGAACAUCGGCGGCGCCCUGCGAAAACAUGUAGGGCGUCAGGGAUGCCCAGUCAAAGGCAAGGAGAUGAAGUCCUCGACCGAGAGAGGCUUAAUUAGUUACCGUGAUGAUGGCGUCGAGCUCGGCUAAUGUCGAGGCACCACCAACGACGGGCGUGCAGUUGACGGAGGGGCCGCUUGCUGCAGAGGUGCCGGCCGGCGUACACCCGGGUGCAUUAAGCUCCCGUGCCGGCGUCGGAGACACCAAUGCCGCCUCCGCCGGAGACACCAAUGGCCCCUCCAUCGCAUUCUGCGAGUUGCUGGCCGUGAAGCUAGGAAUCGGGGGCGGCCCCUGUUGGCCGCCCGCAAUCCACGCACUCAACCCUUGGAUCAAGGUAGGCACAAUGGCGGUGAUCAUCGCUCCAAGUUGUUGUUGCACUUGCUCUUGGACAAUCUCCGGAAUCCGCGCCACCUGUGCCUUGAGUUCUUGAACCUCGCGCGCCUGGCUUUCCGAGCUGGUCUUUUUCUCCUUCCGCACACCAGCGGUAUAGUAUGACCCCCAUUUUGUGGACAAGCCUUUGCCGGCCACACGACUAGCUGACAUCGGCUUACUGAGCUUAUCCUUGUUCUUCAUUACAUUCAACGCCCUAUUUAGAGUGGUGUCCCAAGGGUUGCUCUUAGUCGACCCCGCGCUACUGCUUUCAGUCGCCUGCGAAAGGAAUGUGAACCAUUUAGAAAUUUGGCUUCAUUAAUUAGAAUGCAACCAUAUGGAGCUAAUUACGCGGGGGUGUAUUCCUUACCAGAACAAGCUCAAGCGCCCUGGUCUUCAGAUCCGUGGUAAGCUCCUUUGUUAUCGGGUCCUCCUUGUACCGGGCCCUGACAUAGUUCCUGGUCUGCUUGUUACCGCUGUAUUUCUCGAAGCGGGGCGGUAGGCCUUGCUCGGCACGCUCCGCGUCCUCCUUGUCCCAUAUAGGCUCCGCCACUCUGUAACCGCCGGGACCGAGUUUGUGUUCCCCUAAGUUCAGCUCCCGCAUUUCUUUCCCCCACUGACUUGAUUGGGAGUUUGCGGUGCUCGAGCAAUUGAUCUUGAAGUCGUUGUAGUCAUUUUCGAUGAUCGAAGGAUUUUUCUCCUUGAUCUUCUCAUAACUCUCACCUUUCUCGAUCAUUCUCUUCACAUUGCUUUUCCAAGUAGACAGGGCCUUGCUCAUCUUCAUGAGGGCAGCAUUGUUCACUUUAUUUCCUUUGAGGCUUGUGUUUUCAAAAUCAGCAAGGAACUUGUAUCAUUCGUGCAGCUUCGUGAAGAGGAGGUUGCGCAAAUUCCCUCGGUCAGGAUGCCUCAGGUUCUCGGUGUUGAUCGAGACGGUGCUCCGGAGAAUGCACCCGAGCUGAAGCGAGUACCCCUUGACUAUUCGUUCGGGCGCCGUUGGAUUCCCGUCGGAGUCCACUUCAGUAACUUCCUCCUUGAGGGUGCAGAGCACGGUCGGGCGCCGGUCCUUCCGUUGCCUCUUCGGUUGGUUGCCAUCUGUGCGUGCGCCGCCAUCAUCAGUGGUGGCAUCCUCGGCGGCACCAUCAGUGGUGGCAUCAGUGGGGUCAUCCUCGGCGGUACCAUCAGUGGUCUCAGGAUCAGUGGGGAAGGCGGCGUCCUCAUACAAGUGAGGUUGUUCCUCCAUCUCCUGGGAUAGCUCCCAGAAUGCCUUGCCGCCCGAACCUCCGGCCUCAUCGUUGUUGGCCAUGUUUCUCUCUAAAUAGGAACAAAGUUUGGUCAAAAAGUUGGUUAUUGUCAAGGAACAAGAUCAUGGUCUCAUCAUUUAGGGUUUGUCGACACUGAGGCAUCCUAAAAGCUAAGCUUUUAUCAUUGAGGGUUUUUCGACGCCGAGGCACCCUAAAAGCCUAAGCUUUCAUCAUUAGUCACAAGUACCCCGGCCCAUGCAUUAGUCACAAGUACCCCAUAUGUCCUAUUUUUAGCAAAGUCAUGCUAAAAUUCACGAAAAAUUUCAGCAUGACCUUUGCUCAAAAUAGGACAUAUGGAGUACCCGAAUUUGCUGGAACGGAAGUUAAUUGACAUUCCAGCAAACUCAAGGGCCUCUCGGGUGGACAAGGCAAAAAAGGCCUUCAUCACAACAUGGAAAAUACAUUGGCAUGUGAAGAGGUGAAACAAUAUAUGCAUCUCCAAGCAAUAUCAUUCAACAUUUUGGACAAACCACUACAAGCAAUACUGGAUCAGAAUGUUUUUUAUACAUAACUGCUAAAACCCUAGGAGUUAACCGAGCCACCAACAGAAUGUGGACUUAAAAAGAGAGAGUCACGGACAGUGACAUGAUACAUUUUCAUAAAAUUAGCUAGUUUUACUUAUGGUGCACAAAGGAACAAGUACUGCAGUGCACUUAGAAAAAAAUGAGCACCGCAAAACAAGAAGACUCGUUUCAGGUAAACGGAAGCUGUCGGCUCCAUCAAGUGGAGGCAAAAACAAGUGUAAUUGCAAAUGAAUGCAAACCACGUUAAGACUUAACUGCUAAGGCCUAGUUUGGCAACACGGUUUUUCCAAAACCAUGGUAAUUGAAAACCUCGGUAUUCCAAUGUGUGGGCAAUGAAUACUUUGGUUUCUACAAAAUGCAGUUUUUCUCAGUUUUAGCAAAACUAUAGAGAUGUUUGGCAAGUGCAGUUUUUCUUAGUUUCUUGGUUUUGACCACUCGUUGCAUGGAUAAUCCUAGAUACAGCUAGCUGAACCAAAUUGAGCUAUAACAAAGGAGUUAUACAAUUACGUGAUCAUCUUGUGCUAAUUAACGGCUGGUGCAUGCGGCAUGCCUAUGGCCUUGUCAUGCACACGAACAUCCUCUAGCUGCUAGGAUAUGUUGUUGAGUAAUCUUGUAUCUCUGGCCACAUGGAAUCGACCGGCUAGCUAACUUAGACUGCUGUGUAUAACUUUGCUCAGUAACUUAGGCUAGUUGAGUACUGUUGAAAAAUGACAGGUUAAACUGACCUCAAAGUCUGCUGACAAAAUUAAUACCAACUGAUUGAUUGCGGCCGACCAGUUUAUAAUCAACGAGAACUAUAAGGUUUAAAAGAAAACCAAUUAAAUAGGUAGUCGGUAAGUCGAUCGGCAUAAGCAACGGCUCACACGUCACCUAUAGAGGACAGUAAAAGUACACUAAUAAAACUCAGGAAAGAAGAAGUAAAAGUACCCUCAAAACAAGUAUUAACAGACUAGUAUAUAUAUAUGUUAUGUUGGCAUAGAUACUGUCUGAAUGCACCAACAAACCUCCCUUUUACUCCCCCCGUGUAUCAAAAUAUAAGACGCUUAUGAUAGUGUCUUAUAUUUUGAUGCAGACCAGACGGAGUAUUAUCCAUGGCCUACUUAAUUUAGCUCACUGCUGCCAUGUGCCAAUUACUUAACUUUCUGGUUUUAAUCAUGUUGGUGUUCCUUCAAUCACCAUCCCCCCAUUUUGACAUGCUUUCAACUUCACCAUAUACUAACUGCACUAUUGCUGUUGGCCUGUUGCUGCUCUAUCUUAUCUAUGCAAUUUUAACCUUUGUUUGUAUUCCCCAUCCACAUCAUUAUCUGACUUGUGUGGCAUUUGCACUGGACACACGCAUCACUAUGAAUUUGUAGUUUUCACUUUAAAGUUUUGGACCUUGGCCUUGAUUCCUAGAUAGGUGGUCACCAUCGAUCCUAGCUCUUUCACCCUUUCUGUCAUUUAUUUAUUUAUUUCUACUUCAUAUCAAAGACUUGCUUCAUUUUCAACUGUGUAUAUGUUGUAAUCACAUCUCUAGGCUACAGAUACACCAUCUGUAUCAUUUCAUUUCACCUAUCCAUGAGUGGGGAACAAGUGUAUGUUCAGGUUAUAAACACCCUUUAUCCAAAAAGAUUGUUCCAAAACUGCCUACUGAAUUAGCUCACACACUGCUGCCAAUUAAUCAACUCUCUGAUUUUAAUCAUGUUUGUGUUCCUUCCAUGACCCCAAUCCUCGUUUCAACCCCACCAAACUAACUGCACUAUUGCUAUCUAUUGCUGCUAAUUCAGAACAAAUUCAGUGACAGAGGAGGAGCAUUCAGACGGUACCUUGGGUGGGCAGAGAACAAGCUCCGGGGAGGUGGUCGGGGAGGAGCUCUGGGAGGGAGAGGUCGAGGGCGGCAUCGCGGAGGUCGGAGAGGUCGCUGAAGGCGCUGGCGGCGACGGCGCCGGUGAGCCCCAGCAGCGAGAGAGCGGCCGCACGACGGGCCCACGCUGCGGCGCCCUCGUCCGACGGCAGAGGCGGAGGAGGUAGAGGCCGAGCGGCCUUGGGCUUGGGCUGGGCGGAGAGGCGCCGGAGGAGGAGCGGGGCGGGCGUCGAGGCGUCGAGGCGGCGUCGGGGCGGCGUCGAGGCGGCGGGGCAGCGGCGUCGGGAGAGGAGAGGGGAAGGGGAUCGAGGGCGAGGGCGAGGGAGAGAGAGGGGAUAGGUUUGGGCCGGGGAGGAAGUAUGGAUGGCGACACAAUACUAAUGGCGCACCACACCUCGGUGCGCCAUAAGUACAUCCAUACUAAUGGCGCACCUCGCCCUGGUGCGCCAUUAGUAUUUUUUUUAUUUCUGCUCGAGCCAACAGGUUAUCUUCCACCUGACCUGAUCCACAUCAAGCUCCCUCUACUAGCUCGACUGGUCAGCAGCCAGUUCUCACACCAGGAGGUCCUGGGUUCGAUUCCCAGGCUCCACAAUUUUUUUAUGCAUUUAAAAUGCUGUUUGAUACUUAUUUGUGUUUAAAUAAGUUCAAACUUGUUUAAAUCAUAACAGUAAUAUUUUUUUAUAAGACAGUAAUAAUUUUUCUAAAAAUAUCAUCAAACAGUAAUGCCGGUGGAGCGGNNNNNNNNNNNNNNNNNNNNNNNNNNNNNNNNNNNNNNNNNNNNNNNNNNNNNNNNNNNNNNNNNNNNNNNNNNNNNNNNNNNNNNNNNNNNNNNNNNNNNNNNNNNNNNNNNNNNNNNNNNNNNNNNNNNNNNNNNNNNNNNNNNNNNNNNNNNNNNNNNNNNNNNNNNNNNNNNNNNNNNNNNNNNNNNNNNNNNNNNNNNNNNNNNNNNNNNNNNNNNNNNNNNNNNNNNNNNNNNNNNNNNNNNNNNNNNNNNNNNNNNNNNNNNNNNNNNNNNNNNNNNNNNNNNNNNNNNNNNNNNNNNNNNNNNNNNNNNNNNNNNNNNNNNNNNNNNNNNNNNNNNNNNNNNNNNNNNNNNNNNNNNNNNNNNNNNNNNNNNNNNNNNNNNNNNNNNNNNNNNNNNNNNNNNNNNNNNNNNNNNNNNNNNNNNNNNNNNNNNNNNNNNNNNNNNNNNNNNNNNNNNNNNNNNNNNNNNNNNNNNGUAGGGGAGGGGUGCGGGGGGUCGGCGGUGGCGGUUGAGUAGGGGAAUCGAGGGUGCGGGGGGUCGUCGGCGGCGGCCGGUGGACCGGGGGGUGCUCGGCGGCGAGGGGGACCGGAUCUAGCGAGGUGGGAUAGCGAUCGAGAUGGAGGGGGAUCGAGAUCGAGUGUCCAUGAAAUUUAAAAAUAUUCAUGAUAGUUCAAAAAGUGCCCAUGAAAUACAAUCGAGAAAUGAAGGCUACGAUUUAAAUACAAUCGAUCUUAGCUAGCUAUCUGUUCACAAUCUUCUUGCCCUUGUUUUUCGCAAAUGGAGUUCUUGUGUGGAGCGGACGUCCUUUAGGUAGGGUGGUCCCGCUUCUUCUUGUGGUGUAUGCUGCUACUUCAUCAUCGUCGUCAUGUUCGAUCCUCGGGUCACCGUACAUGUCGAAGUCUUGCUCAUUGGCUACUCCAUCCAUUCCGAUGAUCUUCCUUUUGCCUCUCCUCACGACAACAUGACUGGGCUUUGACGGGUCGGUAAUGAAAAAGCAUUGGUCAACUUGGGAAGCCGGUACCCAUGGCUCAUUUUUCGCGGUGACGUUUGCGCCCGCGGUCUUGGAUUUGGCUUCGGGUAUAACCAUGGUGGUGAAAUACCGGUCUUCUUUUAGGAUGCUCUUCGCCCAUCUGACACGGAACAUCGGGACCUUCUCUCCAGCGUAGCUCAGCUCCCAGAUCUCCUCGAUCUUUCCGUAGUAUCUGUCCUUGUCAUUACCGGUGUAGGAUUCCAUCGUUACCCCAGAGUUCUGAUAACCAUCGCUCUUCAUGUCCUUGGCCUCGGUGUAGAAUGUGUAGCCGUUGAUAUCGUACGCCUCAUAGGUCAUCAGGUUGUGCUCGGCGCCCUAUGACAAGGCGAAUAUGAGUUGUUCUUCCACGGAAGAAUCCUCAUGUAAAGGGUACGACAGAAGCUUCUGCUUGAACCAACGCGUGAAACAUGAGUUGUGCUCUUUGAUUAUAUCUCCGUCCGUCCUCUGUUGGCCUCGGUCAUCGUACGUCUUCUUAAUAAAGGUUUUGUGCGCUACCACCCAAGGAUCGACCACGUCUAUGUGUUGUAGCGCGACUAGGUUUGCUCUUUCAAAGUCGGCGAGUCGACCCUCUAAGUCGACAUGCAUUUCGCGGCGACCCUCACGGUGACCCCAUCCAGCGAGCCUGCCGAGGUGCCUGUUGACGGGCAGACCAAUGGGGUUCUCAAUGACUAGAUAAUUCGUGCAGUAGGAGAUGCACUCUUCGGUCAGAAAGCCCCUGGCUAUACUUCCCUCUGGACGUGACAUGUUGCGAACGUAUCCUUUGAUGACACCAUUCAUCCUUUCGAACGGCAUCAUGCUGUGCAGGAACGUCGGCCCAAGUUGGAUGAUAUCCUCUAGUAUAUGGACCAGCAGAUGCACCAUAACGUCGAAGAAUGCGGGCAGGAAGUACAUAUCAAGCUCGCAUAGUAUCACCAUGAUCUCUUCCUAUAGCCUUCUGAGUUGCCUCACGCCAAUCGACUUCCGAGAGAUGACGUCGAAAAAGUUGCAUAGGCCAAAUAGCAUUUCAUGGACGUGCGCGUCCAUGAUCCCACGGAUUGCAACUGGAAGUAUCUGCGUCAUCAGCUCGUGACAGUCGUGAGACUUCAUCCCACUGAACUUCUGCUUCGCUGGGUCUAGGUAUCUGCUUAUCUUCCCCGCGUAACCGUAAGGAAGUUUUACUCCUAGGAGGCAUGUGAAAAACUGCUCGAUCUCCGCCUGACUUAGAGUGAAGCACGCGGGAGGGUAGUCAUUUCCGGUCUUCUUGGCCUUUUUGCCUUUGCGACGACUUACUGUGUCCUGCUUCUUCUCAUCAUCAUCAUCAUCAUCAUCAUCAUCAUCAUCAUCAUCAUCAUCAUCAUCAUCAUCAUUAACGUGAAGCUCCUGCCUGAUGCCCAUUGAUUUCAAGUCUGCCCUUGCUUUCGGCCCAUCUUUGGUCCUCUCUGGCAUGUUGAGCAGGGUACCAAGCAGACUCUCGCACACGUUCUUCGUGAUAUGCAUGACAUCAAGGCUGUGAGGCACACGGUGGAUCUUCCAGUACGGCAAGUCCCAGAAAACAGACCUCGUUUACCAUACCUUCAGCAGCGGCUCUGGCGCCUUUCGCUUCUUUCCCGGCUCUGGCGCCUUUUGCUUCUUUCCCGGCAGUGGGCAGUCUUUCCAAUUUUUCAACAACUUGUCUAUUUCCUCGCCGCUCCUCGUACACGGGCGUUUUCGGGGUUCGGUUUCACCAUCGAACAGAUCCUUGCGUUUCCUCCACGGGUCAUCGUCGCGAAGCCACCUUCGAUGUCCCAUGAACACAGUUUUCGAAGACCCGGGAUCUCUAUCUAGCUGGCGAUACGUUGUGUCAUCCAUGCACCUUACGCAUCCAGAAAAUCCAUGGACUACCUGCCCCGCGAGAUAUCCGUAACCGAGAUAGUCGUGCACCAUCGUGAGCAGUGUGGCUCUCAUAGGGAAAUAUUCUUUCUCUGCGGCAUCCCACGUAUUGGCUGGCGUUUUCCACAGCGUGUCAAGCUCCUCUUUUAGCAGCCCCAGAUACAGAUUGAUGUCGUUCCCUGGUUGUUUCGGCCCUUCAAUUAGCAUACUCAUGUGAAUGUACUUCCUCUUCAUGCACAACCAGGGGGGAAGGUUGUACAUCCACACAAACACAGGCCAGGUGCUAUGUGUGCUUCUCUGGCUGCCAAACGGAUUGACUCCAUCGGUGCUCGCGCCCAGCACGAUGUUCCUUGGAUCGUUCCCAAAUUCUGGGUCUUCGAAGUUCAACGCUUGCCACUGGCUCGCAUCCUUAGGGUGACUCAGCAUCUUGUCCUUUUUAUCUAUCUUCGGAUCAUUUGCGUCAUCUUCUCGCUUCUUCUCCUCCCUAUCCGCGUGCCAACACAGGAGCUUUGCUACCUUAGGGUCCGCGAAAUACCGCUGCAGACGAGGAGUGAUCGGAAAGUACCACACCACUUUUCGAGGAGCUUUCUUCCUCUUCUUGUAUCGAGUGACGCCGCACACCGGACAUAUGGUAGACUCCGCAUGCUUGUCCCGAUAAAUAAUGCAAUUGUUCAUGCACACAUGGUAUUUCAUGUGCGGUAAAUCCAGAGGACACACGAUUUUCUUCGCCUCCUCCAAACUGGUCGGGCACUUGUUCCCCUUGGGAAGACGUUCGUGCCAGAAUGACAUGUUCUCGUCGAAGCAUGCGUCGGUCAUUUUGUGUUUUACCUUCAUCUCCAGAGCCAUGAGCGUUACUUUCAGGCGGGUAUCCUUGGGCCUGCAUCCUUCAUACAAUGGAGUAACCGCGUCUAACUCAAGUUGAUCCAUCUUGGCUUUCUCUCGGGCGGCAGCUCUUGCGUUAUCCGUCUGCUUGAGAAGCAGCUCUUGAAUAUGAGGGUCCUGCACCCAGCCCAUUGAUGGUCCAGCAUCGUCUGCUCCGCCGGCAUCAUCAUCUUCAUGAUCAUGCCCGUCGUCUGCUCUGGCAUCUUCCUCAUCAUCAUGUCCUGCAUCUUCUACAUGAUGACUGUGUAAAACAUCACCGCCGUGAUCAUCUCCUGGGGAUUCUUCAUCUUCUCGCCCGCCCGAGCCGCGAUGGUUGUCUUGCUGCCCUUCCUCAUUUCUUGCCCGGCCCCCAUGGACGACUUCGUAGUCGUCUUCAUCACCUUGCCACCGAUAGCCAUCCAUGAAACCACGCAAGAGCAGGUGGUCCCGCACCUGCCCGGAAUCCGGGUCCGCAAUAAGGCUCUUCAGCUUGCAUCUUCGACACGGACAUCUUAUCUCCGUCUCGUUCUUUUGAAGCAUCUCGGCCUUCGCGGACCUCAAAAACCUAUUCACGAUGCCUUCGGUCAUCGUGCGGACCAUGGUCGCCUGCGGGGUAGAGCAAAAUGAUAUUUUAGAACCAAGAAAAAAUUUGGCAUGACUUUCCCUAAAAAUAGGACCAAAAAGAAUGCUUAAUGCCAAAAUUCUCGCCGAAACGGAAAUGAGUCAACAUUCUGACAAAAUAUUGGCAACUAUCGUAUUUCAAAUACUGGUACACCUCCAAAUACAAACACAUAUGCAACACCACGAACAUACAUAGAUCUAGCUAUGCCAUAAAAAGUGCAUGUGCACAUUGUUGUAGGGAGAACAACAUAAAUAUAGCUUCCCCCCUUACUUACCUAUCAAAACAAGGUAAUUUAACCACUUAAUUUGAAUGAAUCUAUGGUGGAAAUGAGGUGAAAAAGAGGAGGCACCCGAGACAAGGAGGAGGUGGAGAGAAUGAAGUGGGGAGAAAGUGAGUGUGGGUAGGAGAGGUUGUCCAAAAUAUCUUGUUGCUGCCCAUUUACUAAUGGCGCACCAACACUAAAUGCGCCAUUAGUAAUCCAAGUUACUAAUGGCGCACCUUCUGGCGGUGUGCCAUUAGUAGUUUUGCAAAAAAAAACAUACUAAUGGCGCACUGUUCCACAGUGCGCCAUUACUAAUGGCGCACGGUUAAACAGUGCGCCAUUAGUAGUAUUGCAAAAAAAAGGAAUAAAAAAUAUAAUUAAAAAACAACAUUAGUGGCGCACUUUCCGACAGGUGCGCCAUUACUAGUUACAACUAGUAAUGGCGCACUGAGUCUGGAUGCGCCAUUAGUAUGUUUGGACAGGCGCACUAGUUCAAAAAAAAAUUGAUACUAAUGGCGCACCUUGGGCCAGGUGCGCCAUUAGUAGUUUCAACUCUAAUGGCGUAUCAGAAGGUGGUGCGCCAUUAGUAUAUACUAAUAGCGCACCCCUUGUCUGGUGCGCCAUUAGUGUCAAUCCCAUCUAUAGCCCUUUUUCUAGUAGUGCCGUAUGCAGAGAUUGCACGGGCACUUUCUUGGGCAGUUCGUCACUUAUGAUUGUGGAGUUGAUGAUCCUGCCAUCCUUGAGGCAAUGGCAUGUCGGGAUGCUUUAGCUUUGGCUCAAGAUCUACAACUACAUAAUUUCAUCGUUGCCUCAGACUCCAAGCAAGUGACUGGGGACAUCAGUAAGGUAAGUCAUGGAAGCUACGGAGCCAUCACUAGCGAAAUUAAAACCCAAGCUGCUUUAUUUUAGUGUAAUUUUACUUUCGAAGGUCGUGCAUUGUAUAGCAGGCACAUAGCUUAGCUAAUGUUUUUUUCUUUAUCUUAGUCAAGGUCACCACGAGUAGUUUGGUCAACCUCAUGACCCGAUUUGUAUCCCACAUAUUGUGGUUUUCGAUGAAUAAACCUUGGUUUGUCCCCCUAAAAAAUAGUUGUAUUCCCCGCAACGGCUAGGAGCUCCCUGAGCUCUCCAUCUUUUGUGUGUGUGUGUGUGUGUAUGUGUGUGUCUAAACACACUCUUUAUUAAUGAUCAUAAACAAGGUUCAUGGAGACACAAUUUAGAUCCAGAGGAUUGAGGAGCCAUAGAUGGCGUCCUAAAGAAAGUCCUAAAGUGUGUUUAGUGAGGCUAUGUGCCUCAACAUUAGUUUCCCACCCUUUGAAGAUGAAGGAGCAACACAUAAAAUAGACACCAAUUAUUUAAAAAUGCAUGAAAAAUUCUUAAAUUAAUGAAUAUAUAUUUACAAUAUCUGGACACCUGUUGAAGAUGAAUGUUUUUUUUUCUCGUGUCAGCUUUGCUGGUAUCACCCUCUAAAUCACUAAGCUCCCUGGGCUUGGAGCGCUCAGAAUCAAUUGAGGCUUGCGAUUAAGAUUUUGUUCUCUCAAUUUUGACCAUGUAACCGGCGUGGGCUUUGUGAAGGGGUCUCCCGCUCGGUGGGUCCUGGCUGCUUGGUGUGGGACUGCGUUCACGCGCAGUGACCGCCUCUCUCCACUCGGCCCCUUUCUCUCUCUCCUCAUCCCUUACGUCGCCGCUUCCUUUCUCUCCCUCGCCAUUGCAGCACAUUCACCGCCGCCUGAUGAGCCCCAUCCUUCUUCCCAGCGCCACCACCAGCCCCAACUCACGCAGCACCUUGUCUGGCCGUGCUUCCUGGCCAACAAAGCCAUGCUGAAUUCCCUCCUCUACCACACGGUGUGAUGUUGGAUGCGUGCUCCCCGCCCCCUGAUGCUGCCGGAUCCAGUUGCCCCAAUUUGCGGCUCCACCAGAUUUACCGCACCAUCUCUGUGCCACCAAAUCGUUACCUGAUCGGUGGACAACAAGGUGAAGAAGGCUAUGGUGUUUCCCCAUUGGGGCGUGGAAGGUGACGACUGCACCCGUCCUCUGACAAUUUGGCCUCCGCACCCCUUGCCGCGAGGAAAGCGAGCAUGUAUGCCGCAGGCUGACGUGCUCUUGUUUCUGUUGGCGGUGCCCCCUCGGCAAGCCAGCAAUACCAAUUUCUGUUGGGGCGGGUUCUUGUGGUGGUGCUCUGCCAUUGGUGGUGCUCGAUUUGGCGUUUUGGUUGCAACCAACAUUGCGCCUCAUUUCUACAGGGUUGGGCUUGAGGGGCUUUCUGUAGUCUUUGCAUGCAGAGGGGGAGGCAAUUUGGGGGAAGCUCAGCCGCUCGACAAGAGGCUACUUGGGGGUGCUUGAUGACCCACAAGUGUAGGGGAUAUAUCGUAGUCCUUUCGAUAAGUAAGAGUGUCGAACCCAACGAGGAGCAGAAGGAAAUGACAAGCAGUUUUCAGUAAGGUAUUCUCUGCAAGCACUGAAAUUAUCGGUAACAGAUAGUUUUGUGAUAAGGCAAUUUGUAACGGGUAACAAGUAACGAAAGUAAAUAAGAUGCAGCAAGAUAGCCCAAUCCUUUUUAUAGCCAAAGACAUGCCUGGACAAACUCUUAUAUAAAGGAAAACGCUCCCGAGGACACAUGGGAAUUAUCUUCAAGUUAGUUUUCAUCACGUUCAUAUGAUUCGCGUUCGUUACUUUGAUAAUUUAGUAUGUGGGUGGACUGGUGCUUGGGUACUGCCCUUUCUUGGACAAGCAUCCCACUUAUGAUUAACCCCUAUUGCAAGCAUCCGCGGCUACAAAAGAAGUAUUAAGGUAAACCUAACCAUAGCAUGAAACAUAUGGAUCCAAAUCAGCCCCUUACGAAGCAACUCAUAAACUAGGGUUUAAGCUUAUGUCACUCUAGCAACCCAUCAUCUACUUAUUACCUCCCAGUGCCUUCCUCUAGGCCCAAAUAAUGGUGAAGUGUCAUGUAGUCGAUGUUCACAUAAGACCACUAGAGGAGAGACAACAUACAUCUCAUCAAAAUAUCGAACGAAUACCAAAUUCACAUGACUAAUUAUAGCAAGACUUCUCCCAUGUCCUCAGGAAAAAACGUAACUACUCACAAAUCAUAUUCAUGUUCAUAAUCAGAGGAGUAUUAAUAUGCAUAAAGGAUCUGAACAUAUGAUCUUCCACCAAAUAAACCAACUAGCAUCAACUACAAGGAGUAAUCAACACUACUAGCAACCCACAGGUACCAAUCUAAGGUUUUGAGACAAAGAUUGGAUACAAGAGAUGAAGUAGGGCUUGCGAGAAGAUGGUACUGGUGAAGAUGUUGAUGGAGAUUGACCCCCUCCCACUGAGAGGAUCGAUGGUGAUGAUUUCCCCCUACCGGAGGGAUGUUUCCCCAGCAGAACAGCUCCGCCGGAGCCCUAGAUUGGUUCCGCCAAUGUUCCGCCUCGUGGUGGUGGUGUUUCUCCCGAAAGCUUUUCGGAGUCUGAAACAUUCUGGAAAGUGUCCCUUAAGUAUUUCUCCGGGGUUACAGUUUCAAUAACAUUAGUUUCAACAUUUAUGGGAUUACCUGAGAUAUAAUGUUUGAUUCUUUGACCAUUCACCGCCUUCAGAUUUGUACCUUCGAAGUUGUUGAUUUUGAUGGCACCGGAACGAUAGACCUCCUCGAUAACGUAAGGACCUUCCCAUUUAUAGAGAAGGUUUCCUGCAAAAAAUCUUAAACGAGAGUUGAAUAGCAACACAUAAUCACUUACAUUAAACUCACGCUUUUGUAUCCUUUUGUCAUGCCAUCUUUUAAGUUUUUCUUUAAACAGUUUGGCAUUCUCAUAGGCCUGGGUUCUCCAUUCAUCAAGUGAGCUAAUGUCAAAUAGUAUCUUCUCAUCGGCAAGUUUGAAAUCAUAAUUGAGCUCUUUAAUGGCCCAAUAUGCCUUAUGUUCUAGUUCGAGAGGUAAGUGACAUGCUUUUCCAUAAACCAUUUUAUACAGAGACAUACCCAUGGGAUUUUUAUAUGCAGUUCUAUAGGCCCAUAAAGCAUCAUCAAGUUUCUUGACCAAUUCUUUCUAGAUCUAUUAACAGUCUUUUGCAAAAUUAAUUUAAGCUCUCUAUUACUAAGUUCUACUUGACCACUAGACUGCGGGUGAUAUGGAGAUGCAAUUCUUUGAUUAACAUCAUAUUUAGCAAGCAUUUUACGAAAAGCACCAUGAAUAAAAUGUGAACCACCAUCAGUCAUUAAGUAUCUAGGGACUCCAAACGUCAGAAAAAAUAACUUCUUUAAGCAUCUUAAUAGAGGUGUUAUGAUCAGCACUACUAGUUGGAAUAGCUUCUACCCACUUAGUAACGUAAUCAACAACAACUAAAAUAUGUGUAUACCCAUUAGAGGAAGGAAACGGUCCCAUAUAAUCAAAGCCCCGAACAUCAAAUGGUUCACUAACAAGUGAAUAGUUCAUAGACAUUUCUUGACGUCUAUUAAUAUUACCAAUUCUUUGACAUUCAUCACAUGACAAGACAAACUUACGGGCAUCUUUGAAAAGAGUAGGCCAGUAAAAACCAGACUGCAAUACCUUAUGUGCAGUUCUAUCUCCAGCGUGGUGUCCUCCAUAAGCUUCAGAGUGAAACUUGCGUAGGAUCUGUUCCUGUUCAUGCUCAGGUACACAAUUUCUGAUAACACCAUCUACUCCUUCUUUAUAAAGGUGUGGGUCAUCCUAGAAGUAAUGUCUUAAAUCAUAGAAAAACUUUUUCUUUUGCUGGUAUGUGAAACUAGGUGGUAUAAAUUUAGCAACAAUGUAAUUAGCAUAAUCAGCAUUAUCUAACAUAGACAAGUUGUCUGCAACGGGGUUCUCAGCUCCCUUUCUAUCAAUAAUAUGCAAAUCAAAUUCUUGUAGCAAGAGAACCCAUCUAAUAAGUCUAGGUUUAGCAUCUUUCUUUUCCAUAAGAUAUUUAAUAGAAGCAUGAUCAGUGUGAACAGUUACUUUAGAAUCAACAAUAUAGGGUCUGAACUUAUCACAAGCAAAUACAACAGCUAAAAAUUCUUUUUCAGUAGUAGCAUAAUUUCUCUGGGCACUGUCUAGAGUUUUACUAGCAUAUUGGAUAACAUUUAAUUUCUUAUCAACUCUUUGUCCUAGAACAACACCUACAUCAUAAUCACUAGCAUCACAUAUAAUUUCAAAGGGUAAAAUCCAAUCAGGUGGCUGAACAAUAGGUGCAGAAAUCAAUGCUUUCUUAAGUAUUUCAAAUGCCUCUUCACAAUCAUCAUCAAAGACAAAAAAGAACAUAUUUUUGUAAGAGAUUAGUCAGAUGCCUAGAAAUUUUAGAUAAGUCCUUAAUGAACCUCCUAUAAAAACCGGCAUGACCAAGGAAACUUCUUAUACCUUUAAUGUCCUUAGGACACGACAUCUUUUCAAUAGCAUCAACUUUAGCUUUAUCAACCUCAAUACCUCUUUCAGAAAUUUUAUGCCCCAAGACAAUGCCUUCAUUAACCAUAAAGUGGCACUUCUCCCAAUUCAAGACAAGAUUAGUUUCCUCACAUCUCUGCAAAACUAGAUCAAGGUUGCUUAAGCAAUCAUCAAAAGAAGUUCCAUAUACGGAGAAAUCAUCCAUGAAAACCUCAACAAUCUUUUCACAAAAGUCAGAGAAUAUAGCCAUCAUACAUCUUUGAAAGGUAGCAGGUGCAUUGCAUAAACCAAAAGGCAUACGUCUAUAAGCAAAGGUACCGAAAGGGCAAGUAAAAGUAGUCUUUUCUUGAUCCUCUUUUGACAUAGGUAUUUGAGAGAAACCGAAAUAACCAUCUAGAAAGCAAAAAAGUGUAUGUUUGGAUAAUCUUUCUAGCAUUUGAUCAAUAAAAGGUAAAGGGUAAUGAUCCUUUUUAGUAGCUUUAUUUAGUUUGCGGAAAUCAAUUACCAUUCUAUAACCUGUUACAAUUCUUUGCGGGAUCAAUUCAUCUUUAUCAUUAGGAACAACGGUAAUACCUCCCUUCUUAGGGACACAACGGACAGGCACUACUAGGGAAAUGCUUAUAGGCAGACGCUUACUAGUAGCGAGGGUUUAUACCCCUCACUACUGCUACUUACUAGUAGCGCGGGUUUUUUCCCCUCGCUACUACUAAGUUGAUAGUAGUAGCGUGGGUUUUUAACCCUCGCUACUACUAAGCGGUCUCUACCAUGCCCCGCGAGACAUGCCAUAGUAGUAGUGAGGGGUAUAAAGCCGCGCUACUACUAAGUUGAUAGUAGUAGCGCGGUUUUAUACCCCUCGCUACUACUAAGUACGAGGUAGGUGAAGUCGCCAUAUCCUUAGCCGAAUCCCCAUCUCCUCCCCCAAAUCCCUUCUCUCUUCCGCCACUCUCUCCUCCCACUUUCCAUAUGCUCACAUGGACCUCUUGCCCAUGCGUCCCUCCUCCUCCGUGGCGCCGAAUGAGGCCGCCGCCUCGCGCCAUCGGUGUCUAGGAGCUCGCCAGUCUUCCACCGACGUCUAGGAGGCCGCCGCCCCGUGCCACCACACCGGGGAACCUCACCACCGAUGACUAGCUCUGCUGCUCCCUCCAUUACCUUCCUCUCUCCCUCGGUUUUCCUUUUCUCUCUCUCCCUCUGGUUUGACUCACCCUCCCAUGUCCACGCCUGUGCAGGUCGUUGCCAUGGAUGACCCGGAGCUAUCUGGCAUGGUCGGGAAGAGGAGCCCGACAUCGUGGCCUGGCUCUUCCAUAGAAAGGGGCCCUCUCCAACAGCCACCACCGGAUCUGGUCUUCCGCUGUCUGUUCAUGCCUCCGGCGAUGCCAACCGUCGCUAGAUCAAACCACUGCUGCCAUUGACAACACGCACGGGAUCGAGAUUUUGUUUUUGUUUUUGAAAGUAAUAGCAGUAGAGCGGGGUAUAAGACACGCUACAGAUAAUUAGCAGUAGCGCUGUCUGCAAUGCACGAUACAGCUAACCAUGUAUAGCAGUAGCGUGUGUCAAAACGCGCUGCUGCUACAAGUUAGCGGUGGCGACGUAUCAGUAGUGUGGGCACCCGCACUAUCGAUACACCCAAAACCCGCCCUGCUGCUAGGCUUUUCCCUCGUAGUGGGACUUACCCACUAACUAUUAGCAACGGGAUAGAUUGUACCUGCCUCUAGAAGCUUUAGUAUUUCUUUUCUUACCACUUCUUUCAUCUUAGGAUUUAACCUGCGUUGGUGAUCAACAAUCGGUUUAGCGUCUUUCUCCAAUUCUAUUUUGUGUUGGAAUAAAGUGGGACUAAUGCCCUUAAGAUCAUCUAGAGUAUAUCCAAUAGCAGCAUGGUGCUUCUUCAGAGUUUUCAAUAAUUUCUCUUCUUCUUGCUCUGAAAGAUUAGCACUAAUAAUAACAGGAUAUAUCUUCUUUUCAUCAAGAUAAGCAUAUUUAAGAGUUUUAGGUAAUGGUUUAAGCUCAAACACGGGAUCACCCUUGCGUGGAGGAGGAUCCCCUAGGAUUUCAACAGGCAAGUUGUGUUUCAAAAUAGAUCCCUAUUUAAAGAAUACUUCAUCUAUUUUCCUUCUUUCAUUCAUAAACAUAUCAUUUUCAUGGUCUAGCAAAUAUUGUUCUAAAGGGUCAUUAGGAGGCACAACAAUAGAAGCAAGACCAAUAAUCUCAUCUUUACUAGGUAGUUCUUUAUCAUGGGGUUGUCUACGGAAUUUAGCAAAAUUAAACUCAUGAGACAUAUCCCCCAAUCCAAUAGUACCAAUAUCCUUUUUGCACUCUAUCCUAGCAUUAACAGUAUUCAAGAAGGGUCUACCAAAUAUAAUGGGACAAAAGUUAUCUUGUGGGGAACCAAGAACAAGAAAAUCAACAGGAUAUUUGACUUUCCCACACAAGACUUCAACAUGUCUAACAAUCCCAACUGGUGAAAUAGUAUCUCUAUUGGCAAGCUUAAUUGUAACAUCAAUUUCUUCUAUCUCAGCAUGUGCAAUAUCAUGCAUAAUUUCUUUGUAUAAGGAAUGGGGUAUUGCACUUGAACUAGCACCCAUAUCACAUAAGACAUGAUAGCAAGGAUCUCCUAUUUUAACAAAAAUAACAGGCAUGCUUACAACAGGACUAUGUUUAUUUAGUAUUAGGUCUAGCAAUUCUAGCAGCUUCAUCACAGAAGUAAAUAACAUGCCCAUCAAUAUUAUCGGCCAAGAGAUCUUUAACCACAACAAUACUAGGUUCAACUUUAAUUUUCUCAGGGGGUGUAGGUGUUCUAGUAUUACUCUUACGAACCAUAGUUGAAGCUUUAGCAUGAUCCUUUAUUCUAACAGGAAAGGUGGUUUCUCAAUAUAAGCAGUAGGAACAACAGGAUCAACAUUAUAAGUGAUAGUCUUUUCUUCAACUUUAAUAGGUGAAACUACUUUUACUUCAAUGGGAGGAUUAUAUUUAAACCACUUCUCCUUAGGGAGAUCAACAUGAGUAGCAAAGGAUUCACAGAAAGAAGCUACUAUCUCAGAGUCAAGUCCAUAUUUAGUGCUAAAUUCAUAGAAAACAUCGGUAUCCAUAAGAUAUUUAACACAAUCAAACUUAGGUGUUAUACCUGACUCGUUACCUUCGUCGAGAUCCCAAUCUUCAAAGUUGCAUUUAAUUCUUUCUAAUAAAUCCCAUUUGAGUUCAAUAGUUUUCAUCAUAAAAGAGCCAGUACAAAAGUAUCGAGCAUGGAGCGAUUAUUGAGAGAAAGUCGAGCAUAAAAAUUUUGAAUAGUAAUUUCUCUUGAGGGGUCAUGAUUAGGGCAUGAAUAUAACAUUGACUUAAGCCUCCCCAAGCUUGAGUGAUGCUUUCUCCUUCGCGAGGCCAAAAUUAUAUAUAUAAUUGUGAUCACGAUGAACAAGAUGCAUACGAUAAAACUUCUUAUGAAAUUCCAAUUUCAAUCGGUUGUAGUUCCAUGAUCCCAUAUCAUCACAUAGCCUAAACCAUGUCAAUUCCUUUCCCUUCAAAGAUAAAGGGAAGACCUUCUUCUUGAUAACAUCCUGGGGCAUACCUGCAAGCUUAAAUAACCCACAAACUCUAUCCACAUAGUUUAGGUGUAAAUCGGGAUGCAAUGUUCCAUCUCCUGUAAAAGGAUUAGCUAGCAGUUUCUCUAUCAUACCCAAAGGAAUUUCAAAGUAAACAUUUUUAGUAGGUUCAGUAGGUUGAGGAGAAACUCUUUGCUCUACUGGUCGGGGUGCAGAUACCCCGAACAAGCCCCUCAAAGGAUUACUUUCCUUAGUAACAAGUGACAGUAAAUUUCAGCACACUAUAUAAAUUUUUCCUUACCAAAUUCCACUUACCAAAGGCGCUUCACUCCCCGGCAACGGCGCUAGAAAAGAGUCUUGAUGACCCGCAAGUGUAGGGGAUCUAUCGUAGUCCUUUCGAUAAGUAAGAGUGUCAAACCCAACGAGGAGCAGAAGGAAAUGACAAGCGGUUUUCAAUAAGGUAUUCUCUGCAAGCACUGAAAUUAUUGGUAACAGAUAGUUUUGUGAUAAGGCAAUUUGUAACGGGUAACAAGUAAUUAAUGAAAGUAAAUAAGGUGCAGCAAGAUGGCCCAAUACGUUUUAUAGCAAAGGACAAUCCUGGACAAACUCUUAUAUGAAGGAAAACGCUCCCGAGGACACAUGGGAAUUAUCGUCAAGCUAGUUUUCAUCACGUUCAUAUGAUUCGCAUUCAUUACUUUGAUAAUUUGGUAUGUGGGUGGACCGGUGCAUGGGUACUGCCCUUUCUUGGACAAGCAUCCCACUUAUGAUUAACCCCUAUUGCAAUCAUCCGCGACUACAAAAGAAGUAUUAAGGUAAACCUAACCAUAGCAUGAAACAUAUGGAUCCAAAUCAGCCCCUUACGGAGCAACUCAUAAACUAGGGUUUAAGCUUCUGUCGCUCUAGCAACCCAUCAUCUACUUAUUACUUCCCAAUGCCUUCCUCUAGGCCCAAACAAUGGUGAAGUGUCAUGUAGUCGAUGUUCACAUAACACCACUAGAGGAGAGACAACAUACAUCUCAUCAAAAUAUCGAACGAAUACCAAAUUCACAUGACUACUUAUAGCAAGACUUCUCCCAUGUCCUCAGGAACAAACGUAACUACUCACAAAUCAUAUUCAUGUUCAUAAUCAGAGGAGUAUUAAUAUGCAUAAAGGAUCUGAACGUAUGAUCUUCCACCAAAUAAACCAACUAGCAUCAACUACAAGGAGUAAUCAACACUACUAGCAACCUACAGGUACCAAUCUAAGGUUUUGAGACAAAGAUUGGAUACAAGAGAUGAACUAGGGUUUGAUAGGAGAUGGUGCUGGUGAAGAUGUUGAUGGAGAUUGACCCCCUCCUGCUGAGAGGAUCGAUGGUGAUGAUGAUAGUGAUGAUUUCCCCCUCCCAGAGGGCUGUUUCCCUGGCAGAACAGCUCUGCCAGAGCCCUAGAUUGGUUCCGCCAAGGUUCCGCCUCAUGGCGGCGGUGUUUCGUCCCGAAAGAUUUCUUCUGAUUUUUUCCAGGGUGAAAGACUUCAUAUAGCAGAAGAUGGGCACCGGAGGCCUUCCAGGGGGCCCACGAGGCAGGGGGCACGCCCAGGGGGGUAGGGCGCGCCCCCCACCCUCGUGGAUGGUGGGUGGCCCCCUCUGGUUGAUCCUUUCGCCAGUAUUUUUUAUUAAUUCCAAAAACUGCCUCCGUGAAGUUUCAGGACUUUUGGAGCUGUGCAUAAUCGGUCUCUAAUAUUUUCUCCUUUUCCAGCCCAGAAUUCCAGCUGCCGGCAUUCUCCCUCUUCAUGUAAACCUUGUAAAAUCAGAGAGAAUAAGCAUAAGUAUUGUGACAUAAUGUGUAAUAACUGCCCAUAAUGCAAUAAAUAUCGAUAUAAAAGCAUGAUGUAAAAUGGACGUAUCAGUGCUCUGUCGCCACUCUGUCCACGUCUUCAAUGCGUCCCUUCUUGCUUCACCCUAGCGUUUCAUUAAUCUGGUGAGUGUUCCUCCUGCCAUUCGCUCUUUGUGCGGACGCGUAUGUCACCUUUAUCUAUUGGUUAUUGUCAUGUCCCGCAAGUGUGUUUCUCUGCUCGCCAACUACAUGAGGCGAGCGAAGACACAACGGAGUUGCAGAUUAGGUACUUGGGUCACCGACCAACAAAAUCAACUCACCGGAGCUCCUGAUUCAUCUUUGCCACUUAUCAUUCAAUUUUUGAAUGCGGAUUCUGCUAUUCUGUUUCAUAUAGGCUACAUCUACAUGGAUGCAUCAACUCUGCUCCAUAAAUAUGGAUACAAAGUGUUUGGUGUAAUUUUAUUUGAUAAUUUUGUGUUGCCAUUUCUCCUGUUCAGCAUAUUUUAGAAUUUAUAAUGGCCAAUGCCUAUCCAUCAAAGUACAAGUUCAUUUUCAAGUGUUGCAAUUUGUAUGCUCAAACAAAAUGACGUCUGUGUGGGUGUCCAGAUCAAGCACCACGCCUAAUCCUUCAUAAGUUCUGGUGAUAUGGCAACUACCCCUUCGAAUUAUAUAAAGAUCAAUGUCGAUGCAAGUUUUGUGGAGAGCAUUAGUGCAGCGAGUGUGGGGGUGGCGGCAAGGGACUCUUCUGGGAGGGUCAUAGUCUCCUCCUAGGAUUUCAUUGGACUUUGUAAAAGCGUGGAGGAGGCAGAGUUCCGUGCUUGCAUUGCCGGUCUUUAUAUAGGUAUUACUCUACAAAAUCCUAUAAUCUUAGAGACUGACUAUGUGUUUGUGGUGGCGACCCUAGAAAAUGAAAAUUUUGAUAGAUCAUCAUUGAUGGAUUUGAAGAAGGAAGCGAUGAGUACCUCCAAGCUUAAGAUUUCGGUCAGUCAUAAGAUCUCCAAGAUCAAUCGCUCGGACAAUGUGGUGGCCCAUAUGAUUGCUAAAUUUAGCUUUGAUAAUAGAUCGGAUGGUACCUUAGUUAGUGGUGUUCCGCCCUGCGUGGUGAAUUUUGAAAUAAGUGAUUGUAAUAACUACGUUGGUUAAUUAAUAUAUGAGGUGGUUUUUAAAAAAACGACAUCUGCAUGAAAUUUGGAUCUCGUAAUCUUAAAUGGUUUGGAUUCCAGUAGUAAGUUCUUUAUGUAUGGACCCUCUACUGGAAUUAGCACUUUUUGUUGUAUAAAUUUAGCUCUAUAGGGGCACAUGAAUUGUACCAAUGAAGAACUUAGUACAGAGGAAAUUAGAAUUUACUAAAGUUUGAAGGAACUGCCUUGUUCUGAAAUUGUUGCUCUUGUUGGAUUGUUUUGUGUCAUACCUAAAUCAAAAUUCUAAUAUUAACAUAUAAUUGGGUGGACCAUAUUCUUGAUUGGGGGUUGUAUCUAGAGGACCAGUAAUACUUCACUUAUACUUGUGGUCUGGUCUACUUGAGCCGGUGCAUCACAAGUGCUUCUUUGUUUUUAUCCUUUAUUAAUAUAUUUAUUGUUUGAAAGGAGGAGGUUGCAUAUUAUUCUACAUGACCCCUUUGUUGAAUACAAUCAACAUGCUACAUCAAUUGUUGUUUGCUGCAAUACUUACACGCACUUUAUGCAUGUUUCUUAGAGCUACUAUGAUUUUCCGGUGCAAAUAUGCAUGCAUUCUGGUGUACUUAAUUAUGAUGUCUUAAAAUCCUCACUUUUAUAAUACUUAUUCUUGCUAAAGUUUACAGCCAUAGCUGGAUUAUCCUAAUCAUUUGUACUACACAAGUUACACCAAUAACCAUGUUUUUCUAUGCACGUAUCUCCUUAGGAUUACUAAUCCAAAUAAUGUAAGCUCAUAUAAGGUAGGCGAUAAAGUUGUUAUGUGUACUCAGAUAAAGAAUCAUUCGCAAAACAGUGGGUCAUUCACUUGUGAUGAUGAAUACUUUUUCCAUCAGAUUGUUGUCCAUAAAGAAUUAUGUAUUGGAACAUUAGCAACUCACUUUCUACACUUUCAGAAAGGAAGUUAAAUUUUGGUAUUCUUGUUUUGAAAAUUUUGGAUUCCUCAUCAAAUACUAUUAAGCCAAAAGGGACAGCGAGGUUGGACAUUCGAACAUACAACUACAAUGGGAUGGAACAUUGCUAUGAAUAUAUCAAAUGCUUUUGGGAUAACAUAAUAAUCGAAGCACAACACAUUUAAAGUUACUUCCCAGCUUCCUUAAGCGUCAAACUGAUAUUUGCACAACAAGUAGUAAGGCUAGGAUUUGGUAGUAGGAUUCGAACAACUGGAUAAGCUAGAUCUACCCUAUGCAAGGAUUUUAGCAAUCAUCACAUGCACAAUUUCAUCAGGGAGAGACCAUACAAACCUCUAUUUUGCAUGCAGUUUGUUAGUUGAGGUAAGCAUAACCUGAUGCUUACAUUUCAGAUGUAGGUCUAGGUUUAAUUAUUCUUCGGCCUACAUGCUUUUCCUGUGUAGUCUUUGUAACAUGGUGCCAGAAGGGUGUGUGUACUCUGAAUUACUUGUUCUUUACGCAGAAGAAAAUAUAUUUAGAUUGUUUCUGGCCUUGAGAUUAUUUAUAUCUUCAACAUCCAAGUGAUUGGCUUGCAGGCUGCUAUUUUUAGCAAUGAAGGAACCGUUUCUGUGGUGCAUGCUAAUAGUUAUUUAUUUCUGACAUAAGGAAUCCAUGUAAACUUUCUAACUCUUAUAUUGAAACUAAAGUUACCUUCUUUGCCUUAGUGUAGCACCAUCCGUAUGUCGCUGUUGGAAAAUAUGCUUGUUGGGGAACGUAGCAGAAAUUCAAAAUUUUCCUACGUGUCACCAAGAUCUAUCUAUGGAGAAACCAGCAAUGAGGGGAAGGAGAGUGCAUCUACAUACCCUUGUAGAUUGCUAAGCGGAAGCGUUCAAGAGAAUGGGGUUGAAGGAGUCGUACUCGUCGUGAUCCAAAUCACCGGAGAUCCUAGUGCCGAACGGACGGCACCUCCGCGUUCAACACACGUACAGCCCGGUGACGUCUCCCAUGCCUUGAUCCAGCAAGGAGAGAGGGAGAGGUUGAGGAAGACUUCAUCCAGUAGCAGCACAAUGGCGUGGUGGUGAUGGAGGAGCGUGGCAAUCUUGCAGGGCUUCGCCAAGCACCACGGGAGAAGAGGAUAACUUGGGAGAGGGGGAGGGCUGCACCAGAACUUGGGUGCGGCUGCCCUCCCACCCCUCCACUAUUUAUAGGUGGGGGGAGAAGGGGGCCGGGCCCCCUAGAUCUCAUCUAGGGUUGGGGCGGCGGCCAAGGGGGGAGGAGUGCCUCCCAAGUCAAGUGGAGGCCCUCCCCCUUAGGGUUUCCCCUCUCCCAUGCGCAUGGGCCUUGGGGGGGCUGGUGCCCCUGGCCCAUUAAGGCUAGGGCGCCCCCCUACAGCCCAUUCUGCUGUAUUGGAUGUGGUGGAACUAUUUCCGGACCUCCGGACCCCUCCGGAAUCCUCCGGAACCUUCUGGAAGCUUCCCGGUACAAUACCGGAAAAACCCAAACUUUCCCCGGAACCCGAACAACAACUUUCCAUAUAUAAAUAUUUACCUCCGGACCAUUUCGGAACUCCUCAUGACGUCCGGGAUCUCAUCCGGGACUCCGAACAACAUUCGGUUACCACAUACAAACUUCCUUUAUAACCCUAGCGUCAUCGAACCUUAAGUGUGUAGACCCUACGGGUUCGGGAACCAUGCAGACAUGACCGAGAUGUUCUCCGGUCAAUAACCAACAGCGGAAUCUGGAUACCCAUGUUGGCUCCCACAUGUUCCACGAUGAUCUCAUCGGAUGAACCACGAUGUCAAGGACUCAAUCAAUCUCGUAUACAAUUCCCUUUGUCUAACGGUAUUGUACUUGCCCGAGAUUCGAUCGUCGGUAUAUACCGAUACCUUGUUCAAUCUCGUUACCGGCAAGUCCCUUUACUCGUUCUGUAACACAUCAUCCCGUGAUCAACCCCUUGGUCACAUUGUGCACAUUAUGAUGAUGUCCUACCGAGUGGGCCCAAGAGAUACCUCUCCGUCAACCGAAGUGACAAAUCCCAGUCUCGAUUUGUGCCAACCCAACAGACACUUUCGGAGAUACCUAUAGUGCACCUUUAUAGCCACCCAGUUACGUUGUGACGUUUGGUACACCCAAAGCAUCCCAACGGUAUCCUGGAGUUGCACAAUCUCAUGGUCUAAGGAAAUGAUACUUGACAUUAGAAAAGCUUUAGCAUACGAACUACGAUCUUUGUGCUAGGCUUAGGAUUGGGUCUUGUCCAUCACAUCAUUCUCCUAAUGAUGUGAUCCCGUUAUCAACGACAUCCAAUGUCCAUGGUCAGGAAACCGUAACCAUCUAUUGAUCAACGAGCUAGUCAAUCAGAGGCUUACUAGGGACACAUGUAUCUGAGUUUCCUAUCAAUACAAUUAUAGCAUGGAUAAUAAACGAUUAUCAUGAACAAGGAAAUAUAAUAAUAACUAAUUUAUUAUUGCCUCUAGGGCAUAUUUCCAACAAUGCUUCCAUGCUCAUCUUUUCUACAAUGUAGUGCAGACACACUACCUUCUCUAAAACUUUGAUAACUGUUGUUUGAAGAUUUAGCAUCAAUUAUUCUUUCACUGUCCCUGCACUGCAAAAGAUGAUGUCAGGCGGAAAUGUUUUACCUACAAUCGAAGUUUUUUUUACCAUUAAUAGAUCUGUUUUGUACUCAUCUCUUCUACAAUGUGAAUUGAAUGUACAGGUUCUAGAAAAGUUGGCACUUUUUGUUUAACGAUUUAGCAUAUGUUGUUCUUUCCAGGCUCCUAUAGUUUAAAUGGUGUUGCGAGGCCAUGAUGCAUGGCUGAAACUAAAGAUUUCCCCCAAAAUUGUUUGGGAUGACCUUUGUCAAUUCUUCUGUCAUAAUAGUUUAGUUCUUGCAUAUUGUUUUCUGUUAUACAUUAUCUAAUUUCAGAUGAUCACUAACUUCACUUAUUUGUGUUGCACCUACAAAAUUUUGCCCUAGAAAGAUUUGCAUGCUAUUUGAUUGCCUCUGAAAGUGCUCUAUCUCAAAGUUGUUUCUUAGCGACUCUGCUCUCUCGACUCGAGUCAUUCUACUUCAGUUUGAAAGUUGACUGAUAGAAUUGCAUUUUUAAUUUAAGUUCCUGAAACGCAAAACUCCAAGGCUCGCCAAAAUGUAUUGUUUGGUCGAGAAAUAGGAACAUGAACACUUUGUUGAUGAAUACUUUGUUUUUUAUCGGUUAGAUGUUUCUAAUUGAAGAAAUCCCCUAUAUCACUAAGCUCCCUGGGGAAAAUCGUCCAGGAGAGAUCCAAGCGAUCGAUUGCCUUGUGCGAUCAAUUUUGAUCGGGUCUUCGUGUGUACAACCUGCAUUUGGUGAGGUGGCAGGUCUGUGGGCCUUUUUUAUUAGGGGCGGUUGGCAAGAGCAUGGGUUGUCGGUGGCUGGCAAAGGCGGUAUCUUCUGGUUAAAUGAGGUUUUCUCUGGUCAAAGCGUCCUGGCAGUUGCGAGGGGUUGCGAAGCACGUGGCAGUCGGAGGUAGUGUGGCCGUGCGGGUGUUGCAGUCAUCUAUAGGGGACGGGCGGCUUUUGGGAGGCAUUUGGGUCACCCCCGUUGGGUGCACCGCUGUUGGAUCUUGCUUGCGGGCAGCCGCCAGGGAGGUCGUCGCCGUGUUUACGCUCAAAAGUGGCACGAUCAUAAAGAGUAGCUUGAAGGUAUGUCAAGAUUAAUUCAAACUUAUUAUUAAAAGUCAUCAUGGGAUGGCUCUCUUCGAGAAGGUCAAGAUGGAUAUGAAGAUGGUCUAAAACAGAGCUCAGAUGCAAAAGUUAGGACAAGAUCAGAGAUGCUCAUGUUGACACAAGAUUAAAGAAUGGCUUGAAACCCUAUUAAGAUGGCCUCGUAUGUAAAAAGUUUCAACACAAAGUUGUGCGUCUUGUCAAAACAAUUGAUUUUGAUAUAAAAAACAUCUCAAUCAGAGUUCGUAUGCAAAAGUUAAAGCCAAAACAGUGUGUUGCAGAAGUCUACCCCGGAAGUUCCGGGCAACUUCUGGGCUAAACCGAAAGUUUGCAUGCGGUGCGCCCUGUAAACUGAAAUAUCAACAUUAUUUGCAGAUUUGCAGGCUCGAAUUCAACCUCAAGAUGACCUCAGAUGAAAAAGUGAUCAACUAAUGAGUUUUUCUCCAUUUCAAGAUCUACAACAUUGCUUUUGGGACCACUGCGAUGUGAUGACAUAUGCGAGAUGCAGGAGUGGUGCAAGAGGGCUACUUGAUGUAAUUUUAGCCCGAAAGUUCCGGGACUACCAGAAGUUCCGCCCCCCUAGUCCGAGUUAGGUUAACUUUUGAUGUUUUGGAUGAGAUUUGAGUCCUUUUCUUGUAUGGAAAGUCCAGCCACCUCAUAUAUAUGUAAGAGGUGACGGCCAAUUGAAUAACAACACACAAUCGAUCUAUCAAUAUAUCACUUUUUACCUUUACCUUUAUCUUCUCCCUUGUUCUUCUUCUUUCCUGUUCUUCAUUCGUUCUUCGUGAAGGAGGGCAGUGAUCCACGAGGCCCUAGGGGCGAUGAGGUCGACCUAGGGCAGCCCAUAGUUGCCGCGCACCCUGAUGGGGUCCCUCCCGGACGUGUGGGGUUUUGGGUCUACAAAAGCACCCGCCGGACUGCUUGUGUACCGCGCUUCUGGCCAGGUCUCCUUCAACAUGAGCUGCGGUGCAACAACCUUGGCGUCGAGGGCACAUGGUGACGUGUUCGUGUGCGAACAGACUUUUUGGCGACUCCGCUGGGGACAAAGCUUCGAACGGUCUCCAGCUCGUUCGUACUACGAAGAGAUCAUCAUCUAGGGUUUGCAGUCUACAAAGGUAAUAUGAAUACCCAAUCCCCUUGUGUAGAUGCAAAUAUUUCAUAUAGUGUGUUACUAGAUUGUUCAAUGAGUAUACUCUAUCGGCCAAACCUAGUUUUUUCAAUCAUGCAUCUAACUACGUGCAAGGAUCGACUCAAAGUAAUUUACAAGCUUCAACUUCUUAUGAUACUAGUAUAUACUACCAUGUAUGGCACAUACAUGCAUGUGGGGACAUGUCAUGCUGGACCAUUAUCUUGGUCGCAUUAUCCAACUACCCACUGCCAUGAUUCUUAUAAAUUACACCCUUGUACUGAACCUUUGAUCUUCAUCUCUAGUUUGUACCUUAAGGAUAAGGAUAAGAGCAUCUGUAGCCGGGUGCCUCAAACCCACCUCAAAUGGCCGGACGGGCUGCUCGGUAACUAACGAUCAUGAAAAUUCGACCCAGACGGGCUCUUUAAACGAGCCUCAAAUGCCCGGGCUGACUGGCACCCCUCAUAUCCGGCCCAAACAUGAUGCGGAUUGGGGCCUCGGGCGAAUCCGCCACGUCAGACCUACUAACCCCAUCCACAUUAAAUUGCACCAAAUCCACCAAACGCUUCCUCCUCCUCCCGUCUCCCUCCUACCUUUCCCGCGCACGAGCCCUCGCCGGCCGCCACCCUUGGUCCCCAUCCUCACCACUGGUCUUGAUCCGCCACCUUAGAUGUCGUCCAGCCUGUUCCUGACCACCGCGACGGAGACUACGUCCGCCUCGUCCGUCGGCAUCCCAUCCUCGUCUCCAUCGUGCAAGGCAGAGAACGUCGCCCGGAGGAUGCGUUAACGCCGCAACGAGAGAGGGAAGCGGCAGCACAGGGAGAUACCGACAUGGACGAGCAGCUACCCCCUCCCCCCUCCAUGCCUCGAACCCCGCACCCUAUCCAUCCAAUCAACAAGCGAGACAUCCGUCACAAUCGGACAUUUAUUUCAUUUUGGCACGUCUGGAUUGUUGAACUAUGAUUUUCUUUGCUUUGUCUCGAACUGUUGAAUUUGGACAAUUUGUAUCGUAUGAUCGACGUGCAUGGGUUGCAUGUAUUUGAUUCUCUCCAUUUGAGGUAUGUGGAUGUGCGACAACCCAUAUGAAGGGCCGGCGGGUGCUGUCCACGGACGCGCUCGUGGGCGUAUAGGGGCCCGGACUUGCCAAGUUCGGUUGUAGAUGCUCUAAGUAACAAGUGGAUCACAAUCUAAGUUUGAGAUUAUCUCCAAUGUCUAACUAAACGGGCGUCAUACGUCCCAUCCUUCAGGAUGAAUAAGAUCACAUCUGGCAAAUAAUUAUUUUUUGGUAUCUGUUUUGGUCCUUACAUUAUAUAAAUAUAUUCUCCUAUAUGUUAGUCAGAAUAUUAAUAAUACAUAUUCACAAAAAAUAUUAUGAAUGACGAAUCUACUAACAAUAUUUUCAGUGAGCCAAUUUUAAGUAGUAUUGCCACAUACCGGGAGAUAGCAGCAGAGAAUGUAAUUUACAAACACUUUAAUGAUAUGCAGGCUAUUAGAAGCAAUAGAAAUUGACAAAAACUUCAAAUUAAACUAGUAGGUGCAUACAUUUCGAGGACAUGCAUGAGAGAUCCUUUUUUUAUGAGAUGUUAUUGCAAGUAAAAGCUAUUAUACCUUUUUGGAACUUUUACCAUGUCUCAAACCAUGUACUUAUAUUUAGUUUGUUAGAUUUGUAUUUUUUUCUUUGAAAAAACGAUAUAUAAAAGAAGAAGACUUAAGGACGCCAUUUUUGACUCACAUGAGCAUGUGGUCCCUAGAGCCAAAACAAUGAAAAUUGUUAGAGAUUCCUAUGUAUAAGCUAUUCUUGGUAAGCUAAAGAUAUUUCAUCCUCUAAACUCUUGCUGAAGUCCAAAAUUAACCCAGAACCGCAAAUAACACUAGAACAGAUUAGACUGUCACGCUGGUCAUAGCACCACACUGGAAUAAUCUUCUACAAGUGAUGUUAAAUGACAAAAUUGACCGUCACUACUAGAAUCAGCUACUUUGCCGACUUCCUUGGCAAAGAUCCAAAAGAACUCGGCAAAAAUGUGUUUGCCAUGUGCGGUACUUUGCAAAAAAAAAAUACUCGAUAGAACACAUUGGCAAUAGUUAACUUUGCCGAAUUUUUAUACCAAGAACUCGAGAAUACUCAUAGAGUAUUUCUCGAGUUUCCAAAAAGGAGAACUCUAGAAACCACUAGCGCUAGACGAAAUGACCUAUUAAUGGUGGUGCCACGUGGCCAGAGCAUUGUCGGGUUCUCGCAUGCCGAACUCGGCAGACGCCUGAUGAAUAGAAAUGUGGUGCGUGGCAUAGGUGGUUGCCGAGUUCUUGCCUUUGCCAAGCGUGGAACCCGACAAACGUUCAGCAAAUAUGAUGCGUGGCAGAACUAGCUGCCAAGUUCUUAUCUUUGCAGAGUAUGUUGCAGGAGACCUAGGCAAAUUCUUUGAAGAAUAGUAAUGCGACACAUGGCAUAGACGAGUGUCAGGUUCUUGUAUUUGCUGAGUAUGGCGCCACGGGGACUCGUCAACACCUUUGGGGAGCUUUGUGCAGGGUGAACUCGGCAAAGAAAACCCGUGGAAGACGUUCGGGAGCUGCUUCCGCAUUUUCUGAGUGUGGAACUCGGCAAAGAUUCCUGGAGCUACCAGCUUCUGCCACGUGUCACAUUUUGCCGACUAGUGCGCUCAGCAAAAUGCUCCAGGAAUAGUUUUGUCGAGCGACAAAACUUGGCAAAUGUUCAAUCAUGUUUAUUUAUUAUUUAUUGUUGGGAAAUCUUGCAUACAAAUAAGUACGUAUGCAUAUAUAUCAUCGCAAAGAUACAUAACAUCAUUCAAAUAUCACUUCACAAAAACAACAAGCAAUAUGGCGAUCAUUCGAACACAUUUUACACAAGUGACAUCGUCACAAAUUUAUCCAAGUUAGUCUCAUUGAAGCCAUGUUACUCUAAUGAUAGAUUAAGGUCCAGCUGCAGCACGGGCCGGGCCGGUCCUGCGAUUCCGGUGGUCCUGGGUGAAACUAACACUCGGAUCCUCUCAAUAUAAACAUUAUAACAAUAUCUGCAAAUGUUUAGAUUAUUAAAUGUUACCGGUAGACUAGUAGAAAGAGAUCGUGAAUGAACCAGAAAAACAGAAAAAUGAAGGUGCGUCCGUUCUAAAACUUUGGCCAAGAAUAACAGGAUAAUUGACACAUGGCUCGCCACGUACCUUAUUGAGGCAAAAAAAAAAAUCCGCGCUUCAUUAAGCUUUCGCGUUUGCUAGUACGUAAAAUGGAAAAAAGAUGUACACAACGUAUAUGAAAAAAUUUAUACAAUUUUAUUUAAUAUCUAUCAAAAUUAUUUAAUAUCAUUAUAUAAUGUCGAGCUAUCGAGCUAAAUCGAGCGAGCGAGUGUUGGCUCAUGAUCAGCUCGUUUAUUGAUCGAGCUACAUAAAGUGCUCAUUCUCAGCUCAUUUCUUUUCAAGUCAAACUCAAGUCGAAACAAAAUACGAGUCGAUCUUGAGUGGCUUACGAGCCUCGAGCUUUACUUGCAGCCCUAGCCACCACUACUCCAAUCCAACCAUAGUUUUUAUUUUCUUUAGAGGGUCGACGAUGGACUGUGCUUGUUUACUGACCCAUCUUUUUUCUUUUCAUUUCCCUAUGUUUUUGGCUAGCUUUCGGGCUUUGUCUGCCUGUACAUAUUGCACAUGUUCUCCCUUAAUCCAUGGCAGAGUUGUUGCCGCUUUUGUAGUAACAUAUAUGGACUUGUAGUAGAUUGUCAUGACCUUUCGUCACAGCUAAUGGCUAAAUCCUCACGUACAUGCAUGUGGUGGUAACAUGCGGACUGUUCAGAUCUUAGCUAGAACACACAUUAACUAUCAUAUCAUGUCAUAAUUUUUUAUAGGCCACUGCCAUGAAUAAUAUAUGAAGUACAGAGGACAAUUCAAACAAUCAAAUUUAAAUUACUAUACAUGCGGCCACCCCUCGGGAAUAUAAUUUAUACUUCUUGUUUCUUUUCUUGACACUAAUUGAUACUUCUUGUUGGACGCGAACCAAGCCAAGUAUGUACACCAACUAUCUGAGUUGACAGAUGUAAGUUAGCUUAAUAUUGACUAAUAGACCUAAGAUGCUAGUCAUGAACGAAUCCAUAUCAUCUGUCUGUAUUUGUAGAUGUCGAGUCAUCUUGCACUUUUUGUAAUCGCCCAUUGGCCAACUAGCUAUUAUUUGCAUGGAUACAUCGUCUUAUAUGAUAUAUGUUGCCCACUUUGUUACUCCCUCCGUUCCUAAAUAUUUGCCUUUUUAGAGAUUUCAAAUGACUACCACACACGGAUGUAUAUAGACAUAUUUUAGAGUGUAGAUCCACUCAUUUUGCUCUGUAUGUACUCACUUGUUGAAAUCUCUAGAAAGACAAAUAUUUAGGAACGGAGGGAGUACAUUGCAAGAUUUCUAAGUGCGUCAAAAGGGUGUCCCUAAAGAUGUUUUAUCCAUAGGUUUUACAUUCUUUAUUGAGAGAUUUUGCACAAAAGUUGUACAAUGUUUCUGGUGUACACUAUGUGAAUUUGGUUAUCCUGUUUAUUAGAUGGACAUAUCUCAAUGCUUAAUGGUGACACACAUAUACUCCAAGUUCUUUUGUUCUGGUUAGUCCAUUGUUCGAGGUGAUAAGCAUCUAUAUUACCAUAAGCUAAUCAGUGCUUCAUCAGCUUUGAUAGAUAUGUACUCUAUUUGAACUUUAUUCAGAGAAUUCUAGAUCAGAAUAUUAGCAAGUAAGAUACACAUCAGACUAUACAAUUACAUAAAUUCCAAUACUAAUGCAAGUUGCUGACCGGAAAUCCCUUUUGGUGACCAAGCUCCAAUGAGGCCUCCAAAUUUAAAAUUCAAAUUUCAUCAAAAUCCAUAUUUUGACGUUUCAAAAAAUUCAAAAAAAACAUAGAAAUACAUGAAGGCAUAACACACAUAUGUGUAAAUUUUCAGGGCAAAAUACGUUGAAAUAAGGACUGUGCAAAAAAUACAAAUCUAGGGCUGUUUAACACAUGAUACUAUUCAUCCUCCCAGGCCGUAAAUUUGUCUUUUUUGUACAGGUCGCAACUCAAGGUAUUUCAUCAUGAAUUUUUUACACACAUGUGGGUUACAUCCUUACAUGCAUGCAUUUUUUUUGAAUUUUUUGAAACAUAAAAGUUUGAAUUUGAAUUUUUCAAAAAUAAAGGGCUCCAUGGAGCUCGGCCUCCAAAAUGCCAUUUUCAUUGCUGACAUGUUAAAUCCAUUCUAGCAGUGGUUUUCUUGUAUUGCUAAAUCCGUUCAUUAUGGAGCAUGUGGCUCUGUUGUAGAAAGUUAACUAAAUGGAUUUUCCAGCCGCAAAAAAAAAUUGAAUGGAUUUUCAACAGCUUGAUUUAAUGUUUGGGGAUCCAUAUCGAAAUUUACUCUCUAUUGGGCGAGACUUUGCAAGUAAAACCAAUAUCAUAAAUGCAGCUAAUUAAAUGGAUCUUAACCUUCUCAUAACUGGUAUAACUACAUGCUCUAAUUUAAUUAAUGUGACGUGAUCUUACCAUAGUAAUAUUAUUAUGCAAUGCACAACUAGCAAGUCGACCAAAGAUUCAUAAUAUUAGCACAUCAAGGACUUCAUUAACUGUCAUUUAUAGGUUGUACAUCUGUAGAUCAGAUGAUUUGGAAAUAUUCUCUGGAUGGCACAUCCACAUCAUGUUAUCUAUACUACAGGCUGAGCAUUGAGAUCUAUGUGUCCAAUGGAUAAGAAACUAAGAUACAAGCACCACAUCUAUAUAGCAUCCAUAGAGAUUAUAACAUGGAUGCACUUGACAUAUUGUCCACACCCAUAAUAUAUGAUGGCAUAUAGGUCCAUCCAUACAAUAAGAGCUACUUAUUUGGCCUAUGGAUGCCGACAUAAAGGGAAGAUCCGUCGGCAUAUACUAACAGACAAAACAAUAUGGCUUCAAUUUGACUAUCUUAGGUAUUUUCGUCAAUUUUAAGCUUACAUGCAUGGGUGAAGUAGAUAGUCAUGACCUUUCACCAAAGCUAAUAACUGAGGUCGCACACGCAGGCAUGUGGAGUGUUUCCAAUCUUAGCUAGAACGCACAUGAAUUAUCACAUGCAUGCUACAAUAGUUGAAUGACAUCCGACGCAUCCAUAUACUACAUCCUGUCAUGAUAUCUUUUAUAUGCCACUGACAUGAGUCAUAUAUGAAGUAUAUAGGGAAAUUUAGAUCUAUUUUAAAUUAAUAUACAUGUAGCUAGCUGCCCCUGAGGGAUUUAAUUGCAUAUUAUAAUUACAAUAUAUAUUUGCAACUAGUCCAUGGAAAUAUAAUUGUGUCUUUUGGUUGUACGCAAACCAAGGUAAGUACCAACGUAUCUAAAGGCGUACAUGUGUGUACACCAACUAUCUGACUUGACACAUUUAAAUUAGCUUAAAAAUUACGAAUAUAACUUAUUAAGAUGCUUGUCAAAAUGAAUCCAUAUCCAUUGCUUGCAUUAGUUGAUGUCGAGCAAUCUUGCACUUUCUGUAAUUGUCCGUUGGCCAACUAGCUUUUAUUUUUCGGAUAAUUUUUUCUUUUAUAAUAUAUGUUUCCCUCUUUGUUACAAUUUAAAGUUGCUAAGUGCAUCAAAAGGAUAAAUCACCUAGAUAUAAUCAAAGAGGGGCAUGAAAAUAGAAAUCCCAUUUAUUUAUAGCUUUUACAAUUUUUAUCGGUAUGUUGUACAAAGGUGGUGUAUAUACCUUUUGUUUAAGUGUACACUACGCGAAUUUGUCUAUUUAUUAGAUGCACAUAUCUAAAUACUUAAAGUGGCACAUGUUUAUUCCAAAUUAUUAUGUUCUACAUAUAUGGUAUAGUUUACUAUUGCUUGUUAGUUCAUUCUUCGAUGAGAUAAGCAUUUAUAUAACCAUAAGAACCAUAAACUUACCAAUAUUUAGAAAUUAUAGUGAAUUUAGAUAGUUGGCUUGUGAGACAUCCUUAUGUGGAUAAAAAAACCAUACCUAAUCCUGACAUGGAAAACUAGUCAUGUUAGAUCCUUAGUUGGAUUACAGGUCUAAGUUGCAUAGGGUGUUAAAAAGUCUAAAACAACACUAAUUAAAGGCCCAAGAGAAGCCCACCAGAGGUGGGCACUAGCACUCCAAGCAUUCUAUAUAUAGGAUACAUCUACCCUCUUAUUCUCUCACAAAACACAACGAGAUACAACUCCCCCCCUCCCCCAUUCAACUAGCCCAUUCAGUUCUCUCUUUUCCCCUUCUUGCAUACAAUCAUCUCCAUGGCUAGUCCAUUCGGUGUCUUGGUUUGUCUACUCAUAGUGCUACCACAAAUCCUUGCUAUUUCUAGCCCCAUCGACGAGAUUGCACCUCUUAAGACAUGUCAGUUCCCUUGUAUGACCGAGGUUAACUUGCACUUGUUCUUGCACCAAUUCGUCGACGGGCCAAACAACCCAAACCGCAAUGAGGAAACCUUACUCCAAGCAAGUUUUAUUUUUGGGUUUGGGACGACGGUAGUCCAUGACUGGACUCUUACUAAGACAACAAAUUCCAGAGACACGGUUGUUGCACGUGUACAAGGUGUGCAUGUCCAGGCUGGUUUAACCAAGCCUAACAGAUGGUACACAACUCAUAACAUAGAGUUUCAGCAAGGAAGGUAAUAUGUUUUGCUACUUUUCAAUAUCUAAGUAUAUUUCAUGAGUUCUUUGCAUGCAACAUUAAAUUUAUGUCCUUACCUGUACUAUAUUAAUAAGUGUGCAUUUGUCAAACUCUACAUGCACUUCUGACCCUAUGACGGAACUUUCUAUUUUGAACAUGAAACAGGUUUGCGGGGUCCACCCUUCAAGUGAUGGGAUAACCGCAGGUUUGGAAAGUGGGCAGUGGUCUAUUGUCGGUGGAACUGGUCAAUUCAUUAUGGCACAGGGUAUAAUAAGUUUCACAAAUCAUCCGGCCUCUACUUUUGAAGAUGGUAUUAAAGAACUCAAUAUUCGUGUACGCUUCACAAGGGAUAUUACACAAGCCGUAAGUAUAAUAUUAUGAGUUUAUAUUCAAAUUCGUGUGCUCUAUUUGUUGAAGAGAAAUGGAUUGUACCAUACAUAUUAUCCUACUGAAAUUGCAUUACAUUAAGAUAUUUGUGGACAUUCAAGUGCAAAUGCAUUAAAUGAGGUUCUGUUUUAACAACAUUAGCCAUAUUUAACUAAAUCAAAUGCUUGUUGAAUGUUUUGUGCAUUUAGUUUAUAGGGUGUUGCAUAUCAAGUAAUGAAGCUUUAUGUACGAAUGCUUGACAUGACACUAGCCAUGGUUUCACUUUUCGUUGCAGGCUUGAGGUGCAUCUCGUCCCUUGAAAGACUAGCGCCAAUGUCAGUAAUUUGAUGGGGAAAUGUGUUUGCAUUUUGCUUGUAGUGUGAUGGGUCGUUGUUGUGGUCUGCCUGUGUCAUUAGAGUAUGCGUUAGCUAGCAUACCCUCUUUCUAUCUUUCAUUCAAAAUAUCAUGUGGGUUUCUCGCAUGGUGGAUAUCCAGUCCAUAAUCUUUGUCAACCCAUCUGUUUGUUGGUGUCUAUGUAAUGUCUUGGAUAUGAUGUGGAAUAAUGGAGCUUGUUUGUUUGAGAAAGUGUUAUACCCACAUAAUUAUAUUAUUUGUGUUAAUCAUGAGACAAGCAUAUAUGAAAACUUAAAGCAAAACAAAUUAAUGAACACAAGACCACCGUUAUUCAUACACUUAACAGUGUCUAUCCCGAAUGCAGUUUACCUCAAGGACUAUAAGAGCCCCAUUAUUUUCCACAACGUCUAGAAUAAUUGCCAACAAAGAUAUCACCCAGGCGGCCAUGACAUAAUGCAAUUAUAUAAAAAUGAUAGCCAUGUUAUUUGGUAGCAUCGACAGAUGCAUAUACAUGUCUUGUACUCUUUUAAUAAAUACACAAAAGAUUUAUGCAUUGAUGUAUUGCAAGGGAAAAAAAAAUUAUGCAUGGUAUAGAAUUGAGGCUCUUAACCACAAGGACCUAGGCUCGACCUUGUCUCGAACAACGCAGGGCUACAACGGCUAUACUUCCUCCAUAAAGAAAUAUAAGAGUGUUUAGGAAGAGCGGCAUUACUGAGAUGGGCGGCAUCUGAACAUGUUAUCUUGGUCCUACGUCCAGCUCCAGGGAUUUGUGCUAGUGGGUCCAUGACAGGAAAUACGGGUGGAAGAAAUUGACGUCGACUGGUGGUAUACGGGGAUGAACAGUGAUGUAUGCCAGCGCCCGGGCUCGUCUUUUUGAAAUGCACGUUACGCUGACGAGCCGAGCUGUCGAUCGGGUCCGUCACGAGAACCUGACCCAAGGAUCAGAAACAUAAUCACACUGUCUGCUGCUUAGACACGCGUCGUCUGCUGCAGGGCCAACCAGCGGCCCAACACGUGUCCUGACAGACCCCCACCACUCAAACAACCACAAUUCCUUUUUCCGAAUUUACAGAAUAUCUUUUUGCCUUGCCUUAUCCAGCAGACUGUUGCUGUUCCACACUCCAUAGCCUCUCCUUGUACAGCUCCGUGAAAGAUGAUUCCGACAAGGUGAGGUCCGCCGCUCGGCGCCGUAGCUGGCGGCCAGAUGGGAGCUGUCGCGGCUAGCGCCGCCCGCCUCCGACCUGCUGCACCCCGUGGGGCAGUGGCCUUGACUGAAGGCAAGAUGGGGUCUGUGCAAGCUAGCUCCGCUUGCUUCAGCCGCGCUGCGCCGCACGGGGUUGUAUCCUUGGCCGGUGUGAAGUCGGAGGGCGUCGCGGGUAGCACUGCCCACGUCCAGUGCGUCCAAGGCUGCGGCCGACCAGCUCCCUCGUAGAAGGUGGAACCACAGCGUGUGCACCCAGUCGGCGGGCGAGGCCGUGGCCGGUGGCGAGAUGCCGCGGGAGGUCGUUGGGUCACACUUGAAGAAGCAUGAGCUCGAUGCAUCUCAACAGGCAAAGGUGAUUCUAGUUGCUUGCUUCAAUCCAACGUUUUGGCUACCGAAUCCCAAGAAAAUACCGAGGGUGGGCGAGAAACGUGGAUACCGUGGUUACCGUAAAAUUCCGAGCAAAAGCCGCUCGAAUUUUUCAAAAGUAAUUUGAAUUCAAAUUUUUCUGAGCUAGGAAUAUAUAAGUAUUGAGCUCAAGUGGUUCACAAACAAGGUGUUCGCGCAGUGGCAUGUUCUCGUCGUACGUCCUCAACGUAUGCAAGGUCGUGGGUUCGAUUCUCUAACCUUGAGUUUUAGAAUAUUUAUUUUAGAAUUGGUUAAACAAAAAAGAAAACAGUGUCUAUCCCUAAAGCAGUUUACCUCAAGGGCCAUGCCCUAUUAUUUUCCACAACGUCUAGAAUAAUUGCCAACAAAGAUAUCACCCAGGCGGCUAUGACAUAAUGCAAUCAUAUAAAAAUGAUAGCCAUGUUAUUUGGUAGCAUCGACAGAUGCAUAUACAUGUCCUGUAUUCUUUUUACAAAUACACAAAAGAUUUAUGCAUUGAUGUAUUGCAAGCGGAUAAAUUUAUGCAUGUUAUGGAAUUGAGGCUCUUAACCACAAGGACCUAGCCUCGACCUUGACUCGAACAAGGCAGGGCUACAACGGUUGUACUUCCUCUAUAAAGAAAUAUAAAAGUGUUUAGGGAAAGCGGCAUUACUGAGAUGGGCGACAUCUAUGGGCGGCAUCUGAACUUGUUAUCUUGGUCAUACGUCCAGCUCCAGGGAUUUGCGCUAGUAGGUCCAUGGCAGGAAAUGCGGGUGGAAGAAAUUGACGUUGACUGGCAGUAUACGGGGAUGAACAGUGAUGUGCGCCAGCGCCCGGGCUCGUCUUUUUGAAAUGCACGUUACGCUGACGAGCCGAGCCGUUGAUCGGGUCUGUCACGAGAACCUGACCCAAGGAUCAGAAACGUAAUCACGCUGUCUCCUGCUUAGACACGCGUCGUCUGCUUCAUGGCCAAUCAGCGGCCAACACGUGUCCUGACGGACCCCCACCACUCAAACAACCACAAUUCAUUUUUCCUAAUUUACAUAAUAUCUUUUUGCCUUGCCUUAUCCAGCGGACUGCUGCCGUUCCACACUCCAUAGCCUCUCCUUGUACAGCUCCGUGAAAGAUGAUUCCGACGAGGUGAGGUCCACCGCUCGGCGCCGUAGCUGGCGGCCAGACGGGAGCUUUCGCGGCUAGCGCCGCCCGCCUUCGGCCUGCUGGGCCGCGUGUGUCACAUCCCUAGUUCUGGUAUGACCUAGGCUAGCUAGUCAUUUGUGCAUCAUGUUUAAAUUCCAUUUAAAUUUAAAAUGGGGAUUUGUGAAACCCUCAGAAUCAUCUCUGAAAAUGACCCAAAUAAAAAUUGCUCCAAAAGGGUCCAAGAAAAUGUUCAUGUUGCUCUCUAAAAAUAUUGGACAGAGAUAAAAAUCAAACCAAUAUUUUUUAAGAGCUCGUAUUUAUUUUGGGCUUUUGGAAUUAAUGCAGUAAUUAUUUGCUUUGGAUAUAUAUUGUUAUAUAUAUACAAUAUUGUCCAAAAAUUAUGCCAUUUGUUGAGGAGCUCUGGAAUAAUACCACUAGUUCCUACAAAAAUUGACAUAAGUAAAUAAAAUGAUUUAGUAUUUUUAUUAAAUCAAAACAAAUGUCAAAAAAUAGAAAAGAAAAAUAAAAGGGAGAAGAGACUUACCUGGCGCUUACCUCCCUGUGCAGCCCGUUCCUGUGCGGCCUGGCCGGCCCAGUUGGCCAGCCCAGCCCACCUGGCCCUCGUCCUCUGUCGUCUUCCUCCCCCUCGCCCAAAGCAGCUGCGUGCCCGCGCCACAGCCGGCCGUGGCCACGUCGCCGCCACCUCCUGCUUCCCUCCUCAUCGCUCUGGCCUCCCUGGACGUCGCCACGACGCCCCGCACCUCUCUCCCUCUCUCUCAUUCCUCCCCCUCCCCUGGUUUCUCUCCCACACACACGGCCGAACGCCCCCGUCGCCGCUGCUCGCCGUCACCAUAGCCACCGCCUCCCCCUCGCCUCUCUGAUACGCGCAGGAGCUCCGCCUCCUCGUCCUGAAGCUCUCCGCCGAGCCACGCAAGCCGGAGCGCCCCGUGGAGCCGUCGCCAUCGCCAUCUUCGCCUCCGGUCGCCGGAGAUCGUCUUCGCCGCCUCACCGUCUUCAGCGCGUCCCCGAGCUCGCCGACAAGCCCGUCGAGUCCGCUAUGAGCUUCUGCUCCGUUCCCCUCUCCCCACUCCUCCGUUCUCGCGCCGUAGCCCCCUUUCCCCGCCAUGGCCGUAGCUCCUCGCCGCCGUUCAUGUCGCCGUCGUCGCCCUGGCCACCGUAGGCCGCAACCGAGCGCGUCACCGUGCUCCUGGUGCCACGAGGGUGCCGCAGAGCCCCUCGGUUGGCCUCCCCGUGCCCUCCAGGCCCUCUGCCGCUCGAGCCCGAGCUCCGGCCGCCGCCGCGAGCUCUGCUCCGGCGAGCUCCGGCCUCCCCGGCUCCUCCCCCCUGCCCCACUGGAUGUGCGCGAGCACCAGCUCCUCGGAGAUGGUCUCCGCCGUCCGAAUGGUCACCGGAGCGACAAUCCCGAGCCCUCCGCCGUUUCGGGCCUCGCUGGCGGCUUAACGCCGGUGGGGUUGACCGCCUUGACCGCGCCGGCCUGUUAGGUGGGUCCGGCUCGUCAGGUGAUUAGCUUAAGCUAAUCACCACCUAAUCUAACCCCCCUGACAAUGACAGUGGGCCCCGGCGCCCUAAUCUUUUAAUUAGGCUUAAACUAACCACUGUUUAACCCUGAGUCACUGACGUGUGGACCCCACUGGUUAGGUUUGACCUGGUCAGCCGCAGUUGACUCGCUGACGUCAUAGUGACGCAGUGCUGACGCAGUUAAUUCUUUUAUGGAUUUAAAUUAAAUCAGGAAAUUCCAGAAAAUGAUUUAAACUUCAAAAAAUCAUAGAAAUUCAACCGUAACUCAGAUUGAAAUAAUUUAUAUAUGAAAAAUUAUCAGAAAAAUGCAAUCUUCCCAUCUGUUCUAAUUUCAUGCAUGACAAACCAACUUAUACCUACUGUAUAAGUGAUACACUAAAAUGGCUUAUAUAAAGAGCUUAUUUUGGAGAUGCAUUUGAAUCUUUGGUUCAAAUGGAUUUCACCUAAAUGAUUGCUAGCUGCAUUAGCUCAAUCAGCAUCACCUCUACAUGCCAUGUUCAUGCAUCAUAUUGUUGCAUAUGCUUGUGUAUUGAUUGUUGGCACCGUUACCUCUCGAUAGGUCCUGCUCCGGAGAGUGUUCCAGAGUACCUGUCUAAGGAGCAGUGCCACCCUGUUGAUCUACCAGGCAAGCAAACCCCCUUGUUCAUUCCGAUACAAUCCUACUCUCUCGCUCCUGCUCUCAUUUAUUGCAUUAGGACAACAACGAUUGAAUUGCUACUUUGUGCUGCGGUAGUUGAACCCAUUCCUCUGCAUGACCUGUCAUUGCCACAGUAAAUAGUUGAAACCCACUAGCAUGUGUAGGAGUUGAUUGUGCCAUGUUGUGUUCCUACCAUGCUAUGCCUGCUAUUGCUUAGAGUGUGUCAGGUCUGAUUCAUUGGGAAUGAAUUGGAGUGCAGUGUUCUAUGUUCUGAUGCUGAGAGUGAAGUGUGUGAACACGAUUUGGUGAAGGUAGCGGUGAGAGGCCAUGUAGGAGUACAUGGUGGGUUGUCUCACUGGAACUGUCCUUAAGCACUGAGUUCUAUGUAUGUUGUCCAAUGAGUCGAUACUACCACACAUUGGGUUCCGGUAACUCGACCCCUCUCGACUUAUUAACCAACUUGAUCUCUGUCCAGGAGUCGCAACUAGUUUCUGGUGUUUGUAGGUAGUGCUAUUUUUCUACCAAGUGGCACCCGGCAGGGUGGGCUUGGGACAGACUAGGCACACGUGGCCUGGUGUACCGAGUGGCACCCGGAUGGUGGGCUCAGGAACCCUGCACACAUCGUUUGGGGCCGUGAGCGAAACCCCGGCCGGAUCUCCUUGCGGAUGGAACCCGAAUAGGCGAUAAACCUGGACUAGAGUCUUGUGUGGUUAGUCAGGUCGUGGCCGACACCCUCGCCAGGCUUCCGCUUGAAGGUUGCCGAGUUACAUGACAUGUACAUGGACGUAAGUGGCGAGAGCGUGUGUGAAGAAGUACACCCCUGCAGGGUUAACAUGAUCUAUUCGAAUAGCCGGGUCCGCGGUUAUGGACUUCUUGGAUGCUUACAUGGUACAUAGAUAACUUGAAGUGGAUACUAUAAAAUGCUCAAGACAAGUGUGAGUGCUAUGGAUGGCCUUCUCGUAGGGAGACGAGGAUGAAUCCAUAGUAGUGUAUUGUGUGGUGAUUAGUGGACUCGUGUGCGCCGUAUCACCUCAAAGAAGUUCUGGUAGUCGUAGAACAGGAUAGCCACAGAGUCAAAGCUGGCUUGCUGCAACUAAACCCCACAUUACCCUCUUGAUAGAAAUGCAUGUAUGAUAGGAUCUGAUGUAAGUCUUGCUGAGUACCUUUGUACUCAUGUUGCUUUAUUUAUGUUUUUGCAGCGGAGACUUCGGUCUUACUAGUGUUCUCGUGGACUUCGACAAGUAGCUUGUACCUCAGCUACGAUCUUGAUCGGAUAUUGUAGUUAGUCAGGCUCUUCAGCCUUUUUCAUUUGUAGAUGUUUGUACCCAGACAUGUAAUGCUUCCGCUUGUUGCUUGUAUGCUCUGUAUGAUGGGUCUUGUGACCCCUGUUUGCAAUAAAUGCUAUGAUGGCUCUUUGAGCCUUAUCUAUAUGAGUUGUUGAGUUAUGCUGUGAUGCCAUGUUGUACAACACAUACUUGCAUGUUAUGCGUACGUGUAAUGUGUAUUGCUAUGUGUGGGAUCUGACUAUCUAGUUGUUUAUCCUUAGUAGCCUCUCUUACCGGGAAAUGUCUCCUAGUGCUUCCACUGAGCCCUGGUAGCUUGCUACUGCUCCGGAACACUUAGGCUGGCCGGCAUGUGCCCUUCUUUGUUUCUGUGUCUGUCCCUUCGGGGAAAUGUCACGCGGUGUCUACCGGAGUCCUAUUAGCCUGCUACAGCCAAGGUUUACCGGAGUCCUGCUAGCCCAGUUGCUACAGCCCGGAUUCACUCGCUGAUGACCGACACGUUCGAUGUUGGGUCAUGUAUGCCUGUCCCUAUAAGUUAGUGCCACUUUGGGUUCACGACUAGCCAUGUCAGCCCGGGUUCUUUGUCAUAUGGAUGCUAGAGACACUAUCAUAUACGUGUGCCAAAAUGCGCAAACGGUCCCGGGCAUGGUAAGGCGACACCCGUGGGAAUACCGUGCGUGAGGCCGCAAAGUGAUAUGAGGUGUUACAUGCUAGAUCGGUGUGGCAUAGAAUCAGGGUCCUGACAGCUUUAGUAUCAGAGCCUGACUGCCUGUAGGAUUACCAAGCCAAACUGGUCGAAGUUGAGUCUAGAAAUUCUUUAGUUAUAUAAGGGAAUUGAUUGUGGGAAGGAACGUAAGGCUCUUUUUACUCCUUAUACCUCAUGGCCUUCUGAUCGGAGUCAUCCUAUCUUUCCUACGGGGUUAGGGAACUAGGCUUUCUCUUCCGUCUAUCAGGAUCACGUGUUACUACUCCGUAGUCCCAUAGGAUUGGUUGAUCAGAGUCAUAUCCCAGUUUCGAGUACUUCCGGUGUAGUCUGUUUAGUACUAUCCCAGAACCUUGAGUGGUGAUGUUGAGUUGUUGUACUACCCCAUUGUUGGCAGGAUGUCUCAUUCUGAGCAUUCUACUGCCGUUAUGCUGCCGGAAUUGCCCUAGGAGUUCGAGAGUUACCAAUUUCCUUGUCCUACAUUCUACAACCUAUAGUUGAUGCUGAUUCCGUCCUUGGUUUCGUUUCUCAGGAUGUCAUCAGCUAAGCGAAAUUCUGUUGUUCGUAGCCAGAACCACGGAGAUGGUAGGGACGAGGAUCCUCCCGACCCGCCUUCGUUGACAGAGUUCAUGUUAGAAAUGGAGAGGAACAAGCGUGAGUCUAACCGCUUGUUGGCACGUAUCGAGGAGAACACCGCACAUGAGUUCAAAGGGUCUGUAACCAUUCAUGACUUCAUUCGCUUGCACCCACCUACCUUUCAUCAUUCCAUUGAGCCACUCGAUGCAGAUGACUGGCUCCGUAGCAUCACUCAUAAGUUGCGUUCCGCGAACGUAGCUAAAGAUGACAAGGUCACCUAUGCCACAUACCACCUGGAAGGUCCUGCUAGUCUUUGGUGGCAGAACUAUGAGGCUAUGCUUCUAGCUGGUCAGAUUCCUACCUGGAGAGAUUUCACUGAUGCUUUUCGCGAGCAUCACAUUCCUGAAGCCCUCAUUGAUCGCAAGAGAGAAGAGUUAUGUAGUUUCACCCAGAGUAAGAUGGCUGUUGAUGCUUACAGUAGAGAGUUUGAGAACCUCGCCCGCUAUGCCACAGAAGAGGUGUCCACGGAUGCCAAGAAGCAGGCUAGGUUCCGGAAGGGUCUCCACCCCAAGUUGCGUCGUGAUCUCCACCUACAUCAUUGUGAUACAUUCCAAACUCUUGUGAACAAGGCCAUUAAUGCAGAGACAGCUCAGCUCACUUACAAGGAGUCUCGUAAGCACAACCGUGAUUUGGGAUCUUCCUCCAGUUCUGGUUCUCAGAAGCGUCGGAUUUGGAUUCCAAACUCCGCUCUUCCUCCUGGAUAUUCACCGAGACCAUCUUAUGUGGUGCCUCCCCCAGCUCAAUCGUAUGUUCCACCCAGGCCUACUGGUAGACCGCUUGUCAGUGCGGGUCCACGUCCAACCUCAGGGACUUGCUUCACAUGCGGGAAGCCAGGACACUAUGCAUGUGACUGCUCUCAGACUAGUUGUGUUCCACCCCAGCCCGAGAAGUCUGUUGGCCAUGGUAAGCCAUCAAGCAAGACGAUCAGUGCCAAGCCAGCCCCCACUGAACGUGGACGUGUGCAUCACGUCUCAGCUAAAGACGCUCAUGAUGAUCCGGAUGUCGUUCUUGGUACACUCCUUGUCAAUUGUCAUCCAGCAUCGGUUCUGUUCGAUACUGGAGCAUCUCAUUCUUUCAUUUCUGAAGGCUAUGCUCGUUUGCAUGACAUAUCAUUUUGUGAUAUGCCAACUCCGCUUGAAAUCCAAACCCCAGGGUCUAGAUGGCAAACCACCAGAAUCAGCUAUGGUAAUGAAAUCCAUGUUGAUAGACUUGUAUUUCUUGCAUCACUUGUAGCCCUCAAGUCCUCAGAUAUUAACAUCAUCUUGGGGUAUGGACUGGAUGACAGCUCAUCAUGCCAAGAUUGAUUGUUACACCAGAUCUGUUCAGCUUACACACCCAUCUGGCAAGAUAGUCACUGUCUCCACCAGAGUUGCAAAGCACCAACUCUAUUCUCUUAAUGCCAGCCCUCUCCCUGACCUUGAAGAUAUCCCGGUAGUCCGUGACUUUCCGGAUGUCUUUCCAGAGGAACUGCCAGGUGUUCCACCUGACAGAGAUGUAGAGUUCGUCAUAGAUCUUAUUCCAGAAACUGCUCCAAUCUCUAGGAGACCUUACAAGAUGGCACCCUUAGAACUAGCCGAGCUUAAGAAACAACUUGAUGAGUCCUUGCAAAAGGGUUUCAUCCGUCCUAGUUCUUCUCCUUGGGCUUGCCCCGUCCUCUUCAUCAAGAAGAAGGAUGGUACGGACCGGAUGGUUGUAGAUUAUCGUCCCGUUAAUUUGGUCACAAUAAAGAACAAGUAUCCGCUCCCCAGGAUCAACGAUCUGUAUGAUCAGCUCGCUGGAUCCUCAGUCUUCUCCAAGAUGGAUUUGAGGUUAGUCUACCACCAAAUCAAGAUCAGAAACGGGGACAUCCCCAAGACAGCCUUUGUCACUCGUUAUGGCCAGUACGAGUACACCGCCAUGUCCUUCGGCCUAACCAACGCCCCAGCCACUUUCUCCCGCUUGAUGAACUCGAUCUUCAUGGAGUACUUAGAUAAAUUCAUCGUGGUUUAUCUUGAUGAUAUUCUUAUUUACUCGAAGAACAAGGAAGAGCAUGCCGAACAUCUUAGACUUGUGUUAGAAAAACUCAGAGAGCACCGCCUUUAUGCCAAGUUCUCCAAGUGCGAAUUUUGGUUGCCAGAAGUGACCUACUUAGGCCACGUAAUCUCCGGUAAGGGCAUUGCUGUCAAUCCCGAGAGAGUUAAGGCCGUUCUUGAUUGGACUCCACCUGAAACCGUUAAACAAGUUAGGAGUUUCCUUGGUCUAGCCAGCUAUUGUCGCCGCUUUGUUGAAAACUUCUCCAAAGUAGCCAAACCUCUCACGGAACUUCUCAAGAAAGAUAAAAAGUUUGAGUGGUCCCCACAGUGUGAGUAUAGUUUUCAGGAACUGAAAAGACGCCUAACUUCUGCUCCCAUACUUGUGCCACCGGAUUUCACAAAGGACUUUGUUAUCUACUACGACGCCUCACGACAGGGACUAGGUUGCAUUCUUAUGCAGGAUCGUCAUGUGAUUGCCUAUGCAUCUCGACAGUUGCAUCCACAUGAGGAGAAUUAUCCUACACAUGAUCUAGAGCUUGCAGCCGUAGUCUAUGCACUCAAGACCUGGCGACAUUACCUCCUUGGUAAACGUUGCGAGAUCUACACCGAUCACCAGAGUCUCAAGUAUAUCUUCACCCAACCGGAUCUGAACCUUAGGCAAAGACGUUGGUUGGAAGUGAUCUCAGAUUAUGAUCUAGGGAUUACUUACACUCCAGGCAAAGCCAAUGUCAUGGCUGAUGUGCUAAGUCAUAAAUCCUAUUGCAACAAUCUCAUGUUGCAGCAGGGCCAACCACUUCUCCAUGAGGAAUUCUGUAAGCUUAACCUUCACAUUGCUCCUCAUGGAUUCCUUUCUACCUUGGUGGCGAAACCUACUCUUGUGGAUCAUAUCAUAGAAGCCCAGAACCAUGAUACGGGGAUUACCCGGAUCAAGAGAAACAUUGCCAAAGGUGUUGCUGGAAGUUUCUCUAUAGAUAAUCGAGGUGUUGUUUUCUUUGGGAACCGCCUGGUGGUCCCCAAGAAGCAACAUCUUCGACAAUUGAUUCUUAAGGAGGCGCAUGAAUCUCCUCUCACGAUUCAUCCCGGUAGUACUAAGAUGUAUGAGGACCUACGCGAGAGGUUCUGGUAGACUAGGAUGAAGAGAGAGAUUGCUCAAUUCAUUGCUAACUGUGACGUUUGUCGUCGCGUUAAGGCAGAGCAUCAAAGACCUGCUGGCACCCUUCAGCCUUUAGCUAUUCCUGAUUGGAAAUGGGAUAAAGUUGGUAUGGACUUCAUCACCGGCUUUCCCAGGACCAAGAAAGGGAAUAAUGCUAUCUUCGUAGUCAUUGAUCGUCUCUUCAAAGUGGCGCACUUCCUUCCUAUUCGAGAGAGUAUCACCGCUAGUCAGCUCGCUGACUUAUAUAUUUCUCGAAUAGUAUCACUUCAUGGUGUUCCACUAGAGAUCAAUUCAGACCGUGGUAGUCUUUUCACUUCUCAUUUCUGGGAGAGUUUCCAAACUGCCAUGGGAACCCAUCUUUCCUUCAGUACCGCUUUCCACCCUCAGUCGAAUGGUCAGGUGGAACGGGUCAAUCAAAUUCUCGAAGACAUGCUUAGAGCUUGCGUUAUCUCAUUCGGUAUGGAUUGGGAGAAAUGUCUUCCUUUUGCCGAGUUUGCUUAUAACAAUAGCUAUCAAUCCAGUCUCAAGAAAGCUCCUUUUGAGGUUCUCUAUGGACGAAGAUGUCGAACACCUUUGAACUGGUCAGAACCGGUGAAAGACAAUUCUUUGGACCGGACAUGAUCCAGGAGGCAGAAGAGCAAGUUCGCAUCAUUCGUGAGAAUUUGAAAACAGCCCAGUCUCGUCAAAAGAGCCAGUAUGAUCGUCAUCAUAGGGAUAUGACCUAUGAAAUUGGCGACAAAGCUUAUCUUUGGGUUACUCCUUUGAAGGGUACCCAUCGAUUCGGUAUCAAGGGCAAGUUGGCUCCUUGUUACAUUGGUCCUUUUCACAUUCUCGCUAAACGAGGAGAGGUUGCCUACCAGUUGGAACUACCCCCACAUAUUUCUCGAGUCCAUGAUGUCUUCCACGUCUCUCAACUCAGGCGUUGCUUCUCGGAUCCUAUCCACGGAGUGGACCACGAAACGCUUGAUCUCCAAGAUAACCUCACAUAUCGAGAGUACCCGGUUCGCAUUCUUGAUCAAGCAGAGCGUGUCACUCGACGUCAUAACAUCAAGUUUCUCAAGGUUCAGUGGUCUCAUCAUUCUGAGAGAGAAGCUACUUGGGAGCGAGAAGAUCGUCUUCGAAUGGAGUACCCUGCUUUCUUUCCGUCGACCCCUGAAUCUCGAGACGAGAUUCUUUCAAGUGGGGGCGAGUUGUCACAUCCCUAGUUCUGGUAUGACCUAGGCUAGCUAGUCAUUUGUGCAUCAUGUUUAAAUUCUAUUUAAAUUUGAAAUGGGGAUUUGUGAAACCCUCAGAAUCAUCUCUGAAAAUGACCCAAAUAAAAAUUGGUCCCAAAGGGUCCAAGAAAAUGCUCAUGUUGCUCUCUAAAAAUAUUGGACAGAGAUAAAAAUCAAACCAAUAUUUUUUAAGAGCUCAUAAGUAUUUAUUUUGGGCUUUUGGAAUUAAUGCAGUAAUUAUUUGCUUUGGAUAUAUAUUGUUAUAUAUAUAUACAAUAUUGUCCAAAAUUAUGCCAUUUGUUGAGGAGCUCUGGAAUAAUACCACUAGUUCCUACAAAAAUUGACAUAAGUAAAUAAAAUGAUUUAGUAUUUUUAUUAAAUCAAAACAAAUAUCAGAAAAUAGAAAAGAAAAAUAAAAGGGAGAAGAGACUUACCUGGCGCUUACCUCCCUGUGCAGCCCGUUCCUGUGCGGCUUGGCCGGCCCAGUUGGCCAGCCCAGCCCACCUGGCCCUCCUCCUCUGUCGUCUUCCUCCCCCUCGCCCAAAGCAGCUGUGUGCCCGCGCCACAGCCGGCCGUGGCCACGUCGCCGCCACCUCCUGCUUCCCUCCUCAUCGCUCUGGCCUCCCUGGACGUCGCCACGACGCCCCGCACCUCUCUCCCUCUCUCUCAUUCCUCCCCCUCCCCUGGUCUCUCUCCCACGCACACGGCCGAACGCCACCGUCACCGCUGCUCGCCGUCACCGUAGCCACCGCCUCCCCCUCGCCUCUCUGAUAUGCGCAGGAGCUCCGCCUCCUCGUCCUGAAGCUCUCCGCCGAGCCACACAAGCCGGAGCGCCCCGUGGAGCCGUCGCCGUCGCCAUCUUCACCUCCGGUCGCCGGAGAUCGUCUUCGCCGCCCCGCCGUCUUCAGCGCGUCCCCGAGCUCGCCGACAAGCCCAUCGAGUCCGCUGUGAGCUUCUGCUCCAUUCCCCUCUCCCCACUCCUCCGUUCUCGCGCCGUAGCCCCCUUUCCCCGCCAUGGCCAUAGCUCCUCGCCGCCGUUCAUGUCGCCGCGAUCGCUCUGGCCACCGUAGCCCGCAACCGAGCGUGUCACCGUGCUCCUGGUGCCACGAGGGUGCCGCAGAGCCCCUCGGUUGGCCUCCCCGUGCCCUCCAGGCCCUCUGCCGCUCGAGUCCGAGCUCCGGCCGCCGCCGUGAGCUCUGCUCCGGCGAGCUCCGGCCUCCCCGGCUCCUCCCCCCUGCCCCACUGGAUGCGUGCGAGCACCAGCUCCUCGGAGAUGCUCUCCGUCGUUCGGAUGGUCGCCGGAGCGACAAUCCCGAGCCCUCCGCCGUUUCGGGCCUCGCCGGCGGCUUAACGCCGGUGGGGUUGACCGCCUUGACCGCGUCGGCCUGUCAGGUGGGUCCGGCUCGUCAGGUGAUUAGCUUAAGCUAAUCACCACCUAAUCUAACCCCCUGACACUGACAGUGGGCCCCGGCGCCCUAAUCUUUUAAUUAGGCUUAAACUAACCCCUGUUUAACCCUGAGUCACUGACGUGUGGACCCCACUGGUCAGGUUUGACCUGGUCAGCCGCAGUUGACUCGCUGACGUCAUAGUGAUGCAGUGCUGACGCAGUUAAUUCUUUUCUGGAUUUAAAUUAAAUCAGGAAAUUCCAGAAAAUGAUUUAAACUUCAAAAAAUCAUAGAAAUUCAACCGUAACUCAGAUUGAAAUAAUUUAUAUAUGAAAAAUUAUCAAAAAAAUGCAAUCUUUCCAUCUGUUCUAGUUUCAUGCAUGACAAACCAACUUAUACCUACUGUAUAAGUGAAACACUAAAAUGGCUUAUAUAAAGAGCUUAUUUUGGAGAUGCAUUUGAAUCUUUGGUUCAAAUGGAUUUCACCCAAAUGAUUGCUAGUUGCAUUAGCUCAAUCAGCAUCACCUCUACAUGCCAUGUUCAUGCAUCAUAUUGUUGCAUAUGCUUGUGUAUUGAUUGUUGGCACCGUUACCUCUCGAUAGGUCCUGCUCCGGAGAGUGUUCUAGAGUACCUGUCUAAGGAGCAGUGCCACCCUGUUGAUCUACCAGGCAAGCAAACCCCCUUAUUCAUUCCGAUACAAUCCUACUCUCUCGCUCCUGCUCUCAUUUAUUGCAUUAGGACAACAACGAUUCAAUUGCUACUUUGUGCUGCGGUAGUUGAACCCAUUCCUCUGCAUGACCUGUCAUUGCCACAGUAAAUAGUUGAAACCCACUAGCAUGUGUAGGAGUUGAUUGAGCCAUGUUGUGUUCCUACCAUGCUAUGUCUGCUAUUGCUUAGAGUGUGUCAGGUCUGAUUCAUUGGGAAUGAAUUGGAGUGCAGUGUUCUAUGUUCUGAUGCUGAGAGUGAAGUGUGUGAACACGAUUUGGUGAAGGUAGCGGUGAGAGGCCAUGUAGGAGUACAUGAUGGGUUGUCUCACUGGAACCGUCCUUAAGCACUGAGUUCUAUGUAUGUUGUCCAAUGACUCGAUACUACCACAAAUUGGGUUCCGGUAACUCGACCCCUCUCGACUUAUUAACCAACUUGAUCUCUGUCCAGGAGUCGUAACUAGUUUCUGGUGUUUGAAGGUAGUGCUAUUUUUCUACCAAGUGGCACCCGGCAGGGUGGGCUUGGGACAGACUAGGCACACGUGGCCUGGUGUACCGAGUGGCACCCGGAUGGUGGGCUCGGGAACCCUGCGCACAUCGUUUGGGGCCGGGAGCGAAACCCCGGCCGGAUCUCCUUACGGAUGGAACCCGAAUAGGCGAUAAACCUGGACUAGAGUCUUGUGUGGUUAGUCAGGUCGUGGCCGACACCCUCGCCAGGCUUCCGCUUGAAGGUUGCCGAGUUACAUGACGUGUACAUGGCGGUAAGUGGCGAGAGUGUGUGUGAAGAAGUACACCCCUGCAGGGUUAACAUGAUCUAUUCGAAUAGCCGGGUCCGCGGUUAUGGACUUCUUGGAUGCUUACAUGGUACAUAGAUAACUUGAAGUGGAUACUAUAAAAUGCUCAAGACAAGUGUGAGUGCUAUGGAUGGCCUUCUCGUAGGGAGAAGGGGAUGAAUCCAUACUAGUGUAUUGUGUGGUGAUUAGUGGACUCGUGUGCGCCGUAUCACCUCAAAGAAGUUCUGGUAGUCGUAGAACAGGAUAGCCACAGAGUCAAAGCUGGCUUGCUGCAACUAAACCCCACAUUACCCUCUUGAUACAAAUGCAUGUAUGAUAGGAUCUGAUGUAACUCUUGCUGAGUACCUUUGUACUUAUGUUGCUUUAUUUAUGUUUUUGCAGCGGAGACUUCGGUCUUACUAGUGUUCUCAUGGACUUCGACACGUAGCUUGUACCUUAACUACGAUCUUGAUCGGAUAUUGUAGUUAGUCAGGCUCUUCAGCCUUUUUCAUUUGUAGAUGUUUGUACCCAGACAUGUAAUGCUUCCGCUUGUUGCUUGUAUGCUCUGUAUGAUGGGUCUUGUGACCCCUGUUUGCAAUAAAUGCUAUGAUGGCUCUUUGAGCCUUAUCUAUAUGAGUUGAUGAGUUAUGCUGUGAUGCCAUGUUGUACAACACAUACUUGCAUGUUAUGCGUACGUGUAAUGUGUAUUGCUAUGUGUGGGAUCUGACUAUCUAGUUGUUUAUCCUUAGUAGCCUCUCUUACCGGGAAAUGUCUCCUAGUGCUUCCACUGAGCCCUGGUAGCUUGCUACUGCUCCGGAACACUUAGGCUGGCCGGCAUGUGUCCUUCUUCGUUCCUGUGUCUGUCCCUUCGGGGAAAUGUCACGCGGUGUCUACCGGAGUCCUGUUAGCCUGCUACAGCCCGGUUUACCGGAGUCCUACUAGCCCAGUUGCUACAGCCCGGUUUACCGGAGUCCUACUAGCCCAGUUGCUACAGCCCGGAUUCACUCGCUGAUGACCGACACGUUCGAUGCUGGGUCAUGUAUGCAUGUCCCUAUAAGUUAGUGCCACUUUGGGUUCACGACUAGCCAUUCAGCCCGGGUUCUUUGUCAUAUGGAUGCUAGCGACACUAUCAUAUACGUGUGCCAAAAUGCGCAAACGGUCCCGGGCAUAAUAAGACGACACCCAUGGGAAUACCGUGCGUGAGGCCGCAAAGUGAUAUGAGGUGUUACAUGCUAGAUCGGUGUGGCAUAGAAUCGGGGUCCUGACAGCGUGGGGCAGUGGCCUUGACUGAAGGCAAGUUGGGGUCCGUGAAAGCUAGCUCCGCUCUCUUCAGCCGCACUACACCGCACGGGGCCCUAUCCUUGGCCGGUGGGAAGACGGGGGCCAUCGCGGCUAGCACCGCCCGCGUCCGGCGCAUCCAAGGCUAUGUCCGACCCGCUCCCUCGUAGAAGGUGGAACCACAGCGCGUGUACCCAGUCGGCGGGCGCGUCCGUGGCCGGUGGUGAGAUGCCGCGGGAGGUCGUUGGGUCACACUUGAAGAAGCGUGAGCUCGAUGCAUCUCAACAGGAAAAGGUGAUUCUAGUUGCUUGCUUCUAUCCAACGUUUUGGCUACCAAAUCCCAAGAAAAUACCGAGGGUGGGCGAGAAACGCGGAUACCAUAAAAUUCCGAGCAAAAACCGCUCGAAUUUUUCAAACGUAAUUUGAAUUCAAAUUUUUAUGAGCUAGGAAUAUAUAAGUAUUGAGCUCAAGUGGUUCACAAACAAGGUGUUUGCGCAGUGGCAUGUUCUCGUCGUCCGUCCUCAACGUAUGCAAGGUCGUGGAUUCGAUUCUCUAACCUUGAGUUUUUAAAUUUUUAUUUAAGAAUUGGUUAAACAAAAAAGAAAACAGUGUCUAUCCCGAAAGCAGUUUACCUCAAGGGCCAUAAGAGCCCCGUUAUUUUCCACAACGUCUAGAAUAAUUGCCAACAAAGAUAUCACCCAGGCGGCUAUGACAUAAUGCAAUCAUAUAAAAAUGAUAGCCAUGUUAUUUGGUAGCAUCGACAGAUGCAUAUACAUGUCUUGUAUUCUUUUUACAAAUACACAAAAGAUUUGUGCAUUGAUGUAUUGCAAGGGGAAAAAUUGAUGCAUGUUAUAGAAUUGAGGCUCUUAACCACAAGGACCUAGGCUCGACGUUGACUCAGAACAAGGCAGGGCUACAACGGUUGUACUUCCUCCAUCAAGAAAUAUAAGAGUGUUUAGGGAGAGCGGCGUUAAUGAGAUGGGCGGCAUCUGAACAUGUUAUCUUGGUCGUACGUCCAGCUCCAGGGAUUUACGCUAGUGGGUCCAUGGCAGGAAAUACGGGUGGAAGAAAUUGGCGUCGACUGGCGGUAUACGGGGAUGAACUGUGAUGUACGCCAGCAUCCGGGCUCGUCCUUUUGAAAUGCACGUUACGCUGACGACUCGAGCCGUCGAUCGGGUCAGUCACGAGAACCUGACCAAAGGAUCAGAAACGUAAUCGCGCUGUCUACUGCUUAGACACGCGUCGUCUGCUCCAGGGCCAACCAGCGGCCAACACAUGUCCUGACAGACCCCCACCACUCAAACAACCACAAUUCCUUUUUCCUAAUUUACAGAAUAUCAUGUUGCCUUGCCUUAUCCAGCGGAUUGCUGCUGUUCCACACUCCAUAGCCUCUCCUUGUACAGCUCCGCGAAAGAUGAUUCCAAUGAGGUGAGGUCCGCCGCACAGCGCCAUAGCUGGCGGCCAGACGGGAGCUGUCGUGGCUAGCACCGCCUGCCUUCGGCCUGCUGCGCCAUGUGGGGCAGUGGCCUUCACUGAAGGCAAGAUGGGGUCCGUGCAAGCUAGCUCCGCUCGCUUCAGCCGCGCUGCGCCGCACGGGGCUGUAUCCUUGGCCGGUGGGAAGACGGGGGCCGUCGCGGCUAGCACCGCCCGCGUCCGGCGCGUCCAAGGUUGUGGCCGACCCGCUCCCUCGUAGAAGGUGGAACCACAGCGCGUGCACCCAGUCGGCGGGUGUGGCCAUGGCCAAUGCCGAGAUGCCGCGGGAGGUCGUUGGGUCACACUUGAAGAAGCGUGAGCUCUAUGCAUCUCAACAUGCAAAGGUGAUUCUAGUUGCUUGCUUCUAUCCAACGUUUUGGCUACCGAAUCCCAAGAAAAUACCGAGGGUGGGCGAGAAACACGGAUACCAUAAAAUUCUGAGCAAAAACCGCUCGAAUUUUUCAAACGUAAUUUGAAUUCAAAUUUUUCUGAGCUAGGAAUAUAUAAGUAUUGAGCUCAAGUGGUUCAAAAACAAGGUGUUCGCGCAGUGGCAUGUUCUCGUCGUCCGUCCUCAACGUAUGCAAGGUCGUGGAUUCGAUUCCCUAACAUUGAGUUUUUAAAUUUUUAUUUAAGAAUUGGUUAAACAAAAGAGAAAACAAUGUCUAUCCCGAAAGCAGUUUACCUCAAGGGCCAUAAGAGCCCCAUUAUUUUCCACAACGUCUAGAAUAAUUGCCAACAAAGAUAUCACACAGGCGACUAUGACAUAAUGCAAUCAUAUAAAGAUGAUAGCCAUGUUAUUUGGUAGCAUGGACAAAUGCAUAUACAUUUCUUGUAUUCUUUUUACAAAUACACAAAAGAUUUGUGCAUUGAUGUAUUGCAAGGGGAAAAAUUAAUGCAUGUUAUAGAAUUGAGGCUCUUAACCACAAGGACCUAGGCUCGACCUUGACUCGAACAAGGCAGGGCUACAACGGUUGUACUUCCUCCAUAAAGAAAUAUAAGAGUGUUCAGGGAGAGCGGCGUUACUGAGAUGGGCGGCAUCUGAGCAUGUUAUCUUGGUCGUACGUCCAGCUCCAGGGAUUUGCGCUAGUGGGUCCAUGGCAAGAAAUAGGGUGGAAGAAAUUGACGUCGACUGGCGGUAUAUGGGGAUGAACAGUGAUGUACUCCAGCGCCCGGGCUCGUCUUUUUGAAAUGCACGUUACGUUGACGAGCCCAGCCGUCGAUCGAGUCCGUCAUGAGAACCUGACCCAAGGAUCAGACACGUAAUCGCGCCGUCUGCUGCUUAGACACGCGCCGACUCCUGCAGGGCCAACCAGUGGCCAACAUGUGUCCUGACAGACCCCCACCACUCGAACAACCACAAUUCCUUUUUUCUAAUUUACAGAAUAUCUUUUUGCCUUGCCUUAUCCAGCGGACUGCUGCUGUUCCACACUCCAUAGCCUCUCCUUGUACAACUCCGUGAAAGAUGAUUCCGGCAAGGUGAGGUCCGCCGCUCAGCGCCGUAGCUGGUGGCCAGACGGAAGCUAUCACGGCUAGCGCCGCCCGCGUCCGGCCUGCUGCGCCCCCUGGGGCAGUGGCCUUGACUGAAGGCAAGAUGGGGUCCAUGCAAGCUAGCUCCGCUCACUUCAGCUGCGCUGCGCCGCACGGGGUUGUAUCCUUGACCGGUGGGAAGACGGGGGCCGUCGCGGCUAGGACCGCCCGCGUCCGGCCCGUCCAAGGCUGUGGCCGACCCGCUCCCUCGUAAAAGGUGGAACCACAGCGAGAUGCCGCGGGAGGUCGUUGGGUCACACUUGAAGAAGCGUGAGCUCGAUGCAUCUCAACAUGCAAAGGUUAUUCUAGUUGCUUGCUUCUAUCCAACGUUUUGGCUAUCGAAUCCCAAGAAAAUACUGAGGGUGGGCGAGAAACGCGGAUACCGCGGUUACCAUAAACUUCCGAGCAAAAACCGCUCGAUUUUUUCAAACAUAAAUUCAAAUUUUUCUGUGCUAGGAAUAUAUAAGUAUUGAGCUCAAGUGGUUCACUAACAAGGUAUUGGCGCAGUGGCAUGUUCUGGUCGUCCGUCCUCUACGUAUGUGAGGUCGUGGGUUCGAUUUUAUAACCUUGAGGUUUUUAAAUUUUAUAUAAGAAACUAAACGAAAAAGAAAACAGCUGUAAUGGAAGGUAGUGGGUCUCGAAGCAGCGACCUACGGGUUGAGCGGGCAUGGGACGACCAUAUUUGCCAGCAGACCACAGCUGGUUCAGUGAUAGAAUGAGUUUAUGUCCUAAUUGACUAGGCUGUAGCCAUUCAAAUUCAAAAUUUUCAAAUAAUUCAAUUUUUUUUACUCGGUACGCAGCUUUCUCGUGGGUAGCGAGAAACGCGUAUACAGGGCGGUAUCCGAAUUUUCCGCCCGGUACCCAAAACCAUGCUUCUAUCUAUGUACUGUACUAGCUAACCAGCUCUCACUUAUCCACGUAUUGACAUAUGUACUGUACUGUACUUCUAUGUACUGUACUGUACUUCCAUGUCAAUUCCUUUUAAUAAAGUUAUUUUUAGUAAGAAUGACUCCGCGACGAAGAUACCAUGCAAAAUGAUACUCCCUUCGUAAACUAAUAUAAGAGCAUUUAGAACACUAAAGUAGUGAUCUAAACGCUCGUAUAUUAGUUUACAGAGGGAGUAUAUGUUAAAUUAUGAAGAAAUAUUAAGCCCAUGUAGGCACACAUGUUGGUUAGACGUCCAUAUGUAAUCCAAGAUUCAGCUUUAACCAUUAAUUUGACUAACAAGAUGUGGGUUAUUUGCCGGCGUGGGUUAGCAGUCAAAAUAUCAGAGUUAGUGGAGUAACAAGUCAUAUGUAUUUACAGAAGAGUAAAAUACACUACAGGUCCUAAAACUAUUUGAGGGGUGCCGAGUUGGUCCUAAUCCUAAUACUAUGAAAUGCAUAUCUGGAUCCUAAAAAAGUUUUCCAAGUGUGUCACCCGCAGUCCUAUCCGCGGGACAUCAACUUUGACUUGCACGGGCGGUAGGUUGACUACUGUUAUGUGGCAGCUUUUUGCACGACCCUCCUCCUUACACACAUGCUUGGACAAAGAACCAUAUGGUAACUUUGAAUAAAAUGAAGCUGAAAGGACAUGUCUCCACAAACAAAACGAGUGCGGAGAAAAGGAGUAUAAGGAGGUCGAUCGUACUUGGACAAAGAACAAGGGCUUGUCAACCACGACUUUGAUAUCGCUGGCGUCACAUAAUAGUUCCUCGAUGCAUGGGUAUGGGGGCCGCGGUGAUGGAUUUCCAAACUCUUCCAGCCCCACGUCGGCCAAUGCUUCCACGAACACCACUCCCUCUCCGGUGCAGUCCACCACCAGCUUGUUAGUGGGGAGAAUCUCUCUCGACCGACCGGCCAUGGGGUAGUAGUACACCAGAGCCUCCGCGAAGCCAAUGCUUCCACGAACACCACUCCCUCUCCGGUGCAGUCCACCACCAGCUUGUUAGCGGGGAGAAUCUCUCUCAACCGACCGGCCAUGGGGUAGUAGUACACCAGAGCCUCCGCGAGCGCUACCUUGACGGCCUUUGCCGGCGUCGUCGUUGGAUGGCCGUCUAGUCGGCAGCGGAAGAACUCGACCCCAAAAGAGUAGACUCGUAGGUCAUAACAGUCGUCGACGUCGGAGAGGACUUUGGUCUCGCGUGGUGUUGGCCGUGCCGGCGCCACCAGCUCGGGCAAACUCCGGCGUGCGGUGAACUUCACCAUUGUGGUCCUACCCUUGGGUGCUUGUGACCUUGUGUUGUACUGUAGCUCCACUAACUCUGAUAUUUUGGUUCAUUCAUGUAUCUCUCUCUCUAUAUAUACAUAUACACACAUAGAGAUGCUUGACGGGUAGAAAUGAUAUACUCCUACAUCUCUUGGUCUCGGAGGAUAAGAAGAGAGCUUUUUGUUUCACAUGUCAUAGCACGUGAAGAUGUUGUUUGUACACAUGUGCCGGGAGUGUGUGCAACUGGAUCACUCGGAAGAAACAAAAGACUGCAAAUGGACAAACUCGAUUCCUGGCACCCGUAUAUCCAAGCUUUGUCAUUAUCGCCUAAUCUCAUGAGUCUCCGGCAUGCACAUUCACCUGACCAAUUACUUUGCUAGUUUUUUUUUUGAGGCGUGCAACCUCGCUAGCUUAUGCGAGACCUGUGGUAUUUCCUACUCAACACUCAGUGCGGCAGAUUGCUGACCGUGUGAGCUGGGCCGGGCCAUUUGCACAGAUUUUUUUUGUAAUUUUCGAUUUUUUUUUCAAUUUGUGUUCAUUCUUUGGUUUUCCUUUUCCCUUUUCUUUGAUUUAUUUUCUCAGUUAUAAACAAAAUUUUGAAAUAUAUUUAGAGUGCACCAUAAACAUUUUUUUAAAACCUGGCAAACAUUUUUCAACACGUGAUGUACAUUUUGAAGUACAUGGUGAACUUUUCUCAAAAAUUGUCGGUGCAAACUUUGAAGGCAAUCACGCAUUCUCAGACAAUGCUUGUGCUAUUCUAAAAAUAUUAACAAAUUUAAGUAAAAAUUUCAUGUAAAUUCAGAAGAAUGCAACACCUUCUUUAAAAGAUUCUUCAUAUAAUUUUAAAAUAAUCACAUUUUUCUUAAUAAAAUGCUUGUGUUUCAAGUAAAAACACAAGAGCAAACACGAGAAAUUGCUAAAACAUGUAGGAGGGGUGCUCUAUGACAUACAACACGCAACGGCCGAACAUGGCCGUCCUAUGAUGGACGUGACUAUGCGUUUGGGCAACUAUUCGUCGUACUGAGCGCCAAAUAAGAUGUCUCUACACUUAUUCAAGUUACCAUGGACAAAGCUUGAAUUGUCUCGGAGCCAGAAUCCAAUAUACACAGACCCAUCUAGUAGGAAACUUUUAAAUCAUUAGUUAAUGUGUACCCCUUGCAAAGGUCACUCGGACAUUCUCUGGUAAUGACAAGUGAUGCAUCACAUAUGUGCCAAUUAUUGCAAUUAGGGAGUUUUGUGGGCUUUAUUUUCUCACACAAAGGGGUGGGUGGGUUUAUUUGUGCUUUUUAUAGAUUUGAUUUUUUUUCAAAAUGAUUUAUCUCUUGAACAGUGCGUCCAAAUUAUGAACCAUUUUCACCUUUGCACUCCUCGCGUCGAGAUCUCAAAAAUUGAUACUAUGUUCAUAGAUCUUGUCAAACUUUUAAGGAUGAAAUAUGUGCUCCACAACUAUAAUAACUCGCGCUUCAAAUACGGUUAUGCUUUCAUGUGAGAAGCACAAUUGUGCUUUACUUGGGGAAGCAUAAAGGUCACUCAGACCUUCUCUGGUGAUGAAAAGUAGCGCACAGGAUAUGUGCCAGUUGUUGCAAUUAAGUAGUUUCUGUUGGAUUUUCCCCCACGCAUAGGGAGAGAUGGGUGGGUUUAUUUGUGCUUUUCAUAGAUUCUUUUUACGAAACUAUUUAUCUCUUUAAUCGUGUUUCCAAAUUACAAACCAUCUCCACCUCUGCACUCCUUGCGUCGAGUUCUCAAAAACAUCCCAUGUUGAUAGGUUUUGACAAAAUUUUAUGGGUGAAGUAUGUGCUCUAAAACACUAUAUGAACCCUUGCUUCAAUACAACACUAAUUGUGCUUCAGUUUUAGGGAAGCAUAGUUGUACUUUCAUGCGAGAAGCAGUAGUGUUCUUCACCUUUGGGGGAAGUAUGCAUAAGUACAACUGUUGCUUCAUGCAAGCGCAUUUGUGCUUCAAUUUCUGGGGAAGCACAGUGUGCUUUCACGCAAAAAGCAUAACUAUACUUCAUGCUGAAGCACACACUCAUGUUAGAUGUACAAAAAUGAUGAGAAAAACCAAAAAUGAAAUACCAAACAAAUCAGAAAAACCAAAAGAAAGACAAAAAAUUGUGCUGAUGAAAACACCCGUUAUGCGACACAUCGAGGCGCUGGAACAUGCCACAUGGCACACCGGGGCGCUCCGCCCUCGUACGCCUCGCUCACUACCAGGAUGCCGAGUUUUCGAUGCAAGCAAUUUGCAAGGGGUAGCCCUCGAAUAGUAGCUUCCAAGAAGUUGCUAAUCUUCGCUCAUAGCAAAGAAUACAUGUUAUAAUGAAUGGAACAAUGAUAUAUGGGCCAGCCCAUGUAGUAGUUUAUUUAUUACAUAUGUUUCUUAUUUUUUGUUGAUUUUUAUGUUUUGUUUCCUUUUCCUAAGGUUGGUAGUGUUGUUCUUUUGUUCAUUUCAGUUUCUCUGUGUUUUCUCAUUCCUUUUAAUUUUUUAAUACGAGAAAUAUUUUUAAUUUAUGAAAAUUCAUAUAGAAAAUUCAAAUAAAUUGAGAAAUUUUUAGACACAUGCAAUUUUAGCAUAUGAAGGCUUUUUCCCGUACAUAAUGAAUACAUAAUUUUAAAAAUGUAUGAACAUUUUCCAUACAAUAUUUCGGAAAUAUAUUGGAAUUAAAAUAUUUGAAUACAUAAAAAUAAUUUUACCUAAAUAAAAAAAGGAAAGCGAAUACCGACAAGACAUUUAUACCAACACAGCCAACAAACCGGGAGCUCUUAUUGGGCGCUACAGACGCCAGAAUUCCUCCCUGGCGCCUACUAAAGUACCCAGUUGGGCCGGCCCACGAAACACACACAACAUCAGAAAACAUAUAUCGUAAAAAACUGAAAAAAUAAUAGUUCUCUCCAGGUUUCAAACUGGCACAGUUGCAAUAACUUACGUGUUCACUGACCACUCGAGCUACCUGCCAUUAGUGAUAGAUAAUAGCGCCAAUUAGUACAUAAUAACAAUGUCGCCGUGCUGUUUUAUUGCACAGAACUGUACUGAUGUAUAUUUUUUGAAUUAUCUGACACAAAAAAUCGUGAAUUAGAAAAGGUUCAUAUAUUUUAAAAAAAGUUCGUCAAUUUUCAGAAAAGUUCACCAACUUAAAAUAAAGUUCAUCAAAUUUUAAAAAUGUUCGUGUAUUGAAAAAAGUUCAUCAAAAUUGGAAAAAGUUCACGGAUUUUCAAAGAAGUUCAUUAAACUUGAAAAGCAAAUGGUAGAAUUUGAAAAAUAAGUUCAUGGAUUUUUGAAAAAAUUUCAUUGAAUGUUUAAAAAAGUACGAAAAUUUUGAGAAAAGUUCAUCGAUUGGCUGCUGGUACUGUCUUCCUCGUCGCCGUGCGCAGAAACAUCCGUCGGGCGCCAGUGGUAGCUGUCACAUUUGCUGGUUGCAGCAAAAAAAAGGCCCCGUCGUUGCCGGAAGUAGCUGUCGUUCUCGCCGGUUGGAGCAAAAGCACGGCCGCCGUCGCCGUUGGUGGCUGCUGCCGCCGUCGCCGGUUCCAGCACGGGGCUGUCUAGUUGCAACAAAAACCAUGAGUGGUUUCGGGGGUGUUUGAUGGCUGCUCUGGCGUUUCCUCUCGCCACGUCCACAUCCACCUACCACCGUCACCACCGCUGCCGACAGGCACCCCCGCACCUACCACCACCGCCGCCGCCGCCAUGCUCGCGCCUACCGCUGCUCCUCACCACCACAACACGCGCGCACACCGUCGCCCCCGUAUUCCCAUUGACAUCUCCCCGCAAAGCCGCGAAUGAAGAGAUGCCUCAGAUUUUCAGAUCUAAGCGUCCCCGCGUGCGACGGGAGGAUCUCAGCAGAGGAGAAGGCGAUGGAGGAGAGCCACCGCGUGUGGAUGGAGAGGACGAUGCGAAGGCCAGGGCGUGGAGACACCCCGAAGAAGCUGGUGACGCGGAUCUGCGUUGAGGCGACAGAGGAGGAGAUGGCCAGGAUGAUCCCCACGGAUUCCUCCUCCCCGGAAGAAGUGAUUUCCUGGGUGAGGGCAGAGAUGCACUCACACAUACCAGAGCAGAGGGCGAAGUGGUGAGCGUUCUGGUCGCUGCAGAGCUGAUCUCGCCAGCGAGAAGCCAUGGCUCCACCCCGCCAUUGGAGCGGAGGAUUUCUGCCUCGAAUCAGAAUCAGAGGUUUGAAUUCACCACCCCGCUACGAUGGGAUGGAGAACAAAAUAGGCGCUGUCUCAACUUCGUUGCAAAAAUCGACCCUCCUGAUCGUGCAAUCAGGGUCAGGAAGCGUCAUUCUCUGAAAUCGAGCGCAAUUGAAAAAGGAAUUUCUCCUGAUCUUGCUAUGGAGAAUGACAACCAAGGCCCACAAAGCAUUAUCAGCGGGGGGUGGGGGUGGAAAAGCUUGCUGACAUGGAAAGGGGGAGGGGCGUGGAAGACGACCUGGCCUCACGCGAGCACUAGGGGCAGUUGUGGGAGCAGGAUAUUAACCCCGAUCCCCACCCUCUCCUAGUCUGGAUCUGGAGAGACCAAACCCUACCCCGCUCGUUCGCCGCUGCCCACUGCCACCCAGCGUCGGAGAACGAUUCCGCAACCCUCCCAUACACCACCAUCAGAGGAGUAGAUCCAAAGAUGUGUGAAGAAAUCGGAGCCAUGGCUGAAGCGCAAGGGAGAGGGCGCGGGCGGGGAAGAGGAUGGAACCCUAGAAGCAACAAACAGGGGGGCCAAACAUCAGGGGAUCUUGGAGCUCCACCCCCAGGUAAUUGGCCCCAGUUUGAUCCCCAAUAUGGUCCUCCUCCCCCCAAUUCCAAUUUGGCUUUGGCUUCCCUGGAGGACCACAGAUCCCACCCCCGUAGAUGAAUUAGUGGAGAGGCCCCCAGGUGUCUGGGGUGGUGGACAGAACCAAGAUUCAGGUCCCUCUGAUAGGAAGUUUAGUAAUCAACAACAGAAGGGGCAACAAGGGCAGAAUCCUGGAAAACAAGGCAACUCAAGCUUUGAUCAGAAGCAGCAAAAAUCUAGCCAGGAGCAAGGUUUCAGUUCCUCUGAGAGUGGCAACCAGCAAAAGAAAGGGAGGAACAUGACCAAAGCAAAGCAACCCCUUAACAAGUUGGAUGAUCUGAAUGCUACAGAGUAUGCAGAUAUCAUCUGCUAUAGUUGUGGAGAACCUGGACACCACAAGACCAACUGCCCAAAACCACCUGCCUGCUUCAUAUGCAAAGUGGUGACACACAAGGUGGAGGACUGUCCAAUAAGGAAGAAGCCAAGAAAUCCAGCAAAAAAUUUUGGCAGUGGGGCCCCUGGACUUGGAUACCACCAGAUUGAUGUCCCUGAUGUGAAUGAACAACACAUUGGAGUUCAGAGGAAUAUAGGAAUUGUCUGUGUAGAGCCAGGACAGGUCACAAAGAAGGAACUGGCCCACAACUUCUCACUGAUUUACAAGACCAAUUGGCCAUGGCAGAUAAGAGUACUUGAUGAUUGGACUUUUUUGGUCAAAUUCCCACCUCACAUCCCAGUUGAGAGUGUAGCCAGAUAUCCUCUUUUUGGAUUGCCUGAGUUAGAAGGAGUCACAGUGAAUGUAGAAGUGUGGAAAUGGGUACUAGAACACCAUAGUGAACUGCAAAAGGUAUGGCUUCAGCUAGAUGGGGUUGCACCAGCCUGGGCUAAAUGGGCAGUAUUGGAGCAAUUUGCAUCUAUGUUUGGAACCCUGAUUGAUGUUGAUUGGCAAGGGAAUUUCAAGUCAUUCUGUGAUGUGGCCAGGAGCAAGAUCAAAUGUAAAGAUCACACCAAAAUACCCCCUAAAAGGUUGUUUGGCAUAGGUGACAAGCUAUUCAGGAUUGGGAUUACUGUAGAACCACCAUAAGAUGACCCAGAGCUAGAUGACCUGUUGGAAGAUGAACUAGCUGACAAUGCUAAUGGUAACAUGUUAGAGAAGGAUAACAAGGAGGAAGAGAGUACCAAUAGAGAGAAAGGAAACAUUGGAGGAGGUUCCACUCCCUCCAUCCUAAGUAACAAAUCUGCCAACAGUGCCUCAAGCCAGAACUCAAAACAAAAAAUAGUUGACUACUGAAGCAACUACAAGACCCAAUUAGCAUGGAGCAGAGCUACAACAUCCUACAAGGAAUGGAACUUGAAGAGGAUGAGGAUGAGAUGGAAGAUCUGCUAACUGAAGAUGGGAAUGCAAUAGAUAGAGAUGGAGAAGAGGUGAUUUUCAGCCCCCAGUUUGAACCAAAAAAUGGCCCCAACCCUCAGCCUCCUACUGAUGAGACAGUAAUUCAGCAUGGACACAAAGAGGGGGAAAACAAAUGGGGCCCAGUUCAAGCAUUCAGGAAAAGCAGCAGGGUUGAAGUGGGAGGCAGAACCAUGCUGGAGAUUGCAAUCAACACUAAGAAGGUGCAUAACUUGGAAGCCACAAAGAAUGACACCAAAGGUACCAUUGUUAAAAACUCAUUUGAGCUUUAGUAACCCUAAUUUCCUAGAAGUAGCUAAGAAGAUAGGAAUAGAGGUAGAUACUAGUUACAAUUCCACUGUAGAAGCUAGUUCUUCCAGCUCUCUGCCUUUGUCUGAAGGACAAAAUGCAGGGGAAUUUGAGCAAUUUAAUGCUGGUUUGAGUAGUAGUGCUGUUGAUAAGCAAAAAAGUAAGAUGGAUGUAUUUUGCAAUAUGACCCAACUAGUAGAGAAGCCCGAAGGGCCCCCGGAUAUUAGUAGUCUACUUCAUUACCCUAGACUCACAAAAAAAACCUGGGCAAAGGAGCCUGGAGGGCUCCCUACCCAAAAAGAACUCAUAGAUUAUAGUGGUACCCCUUCAGAGUUCAAUGUGAUCCCUGCUCAAACACUCUGUCUCAUGCAAUCUAGUGCAUAAGACAAGUGAAAAAACCUUUAGGUUCAGAGCAGUCUAUGGAUCACCAUAUGAGGAGGGCAAGGAUGAAUUCAUCUCUGAACUCCAUAGUAUGUUCAUUGAUGACCACCCACCCACUAUUAUAGGGGGGGGCUUCAAUUUAGUUAGAUAUCAGAAAGAUAAGAACAAUGGGAGGAUUAACCAUAGUUGGAGUGACAAAUUCAAUGCUUGGAUAGAAAUUUGGAGUUUGCUAGAAAUUAAGAUGUCUGGGAGACAAUUCACUUGGGCAAAUAAUCAAGAUAACUUGGUUAUGAGUACCAUAGAUAGGAUUUUUUGUACCACUGAACUAGAUGCAAUGUUUCCUUUAAGUAGUUCUAAAGCUCUCCCUAGAACUGGUAGUGAUCACACCCCUAUCCUGUGGGAUUCUGGUGUGGAUGGUACCCCAAAAAACUCAAGCUAUAAGUUUGAGAAAUGGUGGCUACUAAGAGCUGAAUUUAAAGAGCUUGUGGAGAAAAAUUGGUCUGCUCCUGUCAAAUGUACCACCCCCAUGGACAUCUGGCAGGAAAAAGUGAGAAGGUUUAGAAAGUUUAGUAGAGGAUGGAGUAGAAAUGUAGAUGCUGAGAUUAGGAAAGCCAAGCAGGAGUUAGAAGAAGAGUAUGAUAAACUUGAUAUUAAAUCAGAAACUGUGCAGCUUUCUGAGGUAGAAAAUUUAAGAAUGAAAGAACUCCUCUUCAGACUCCAUAACCUUUGGAUUGUAGAAGAAGUUAAAGCUAGACAAAGAUCCAGGGAUAGGGAUAUCCUUGAAGGAGAUAGAAACACUAGGUAUUUUCAGGCUGUAGCAAAUCAAAGGAGGAGGAAAACACUUAUUAACAAGCUGGAUGGUCCUGCUGGCACUGCCACAGAUGUCAAAGACAUGUUGGGUAUAGCCACAGACUACUAUAAAGACCUCUUUAAGAAAGAAGAUAGAAAGGGUUUUAGAAUCAAUAAUAAUUUCUUUGCUGCUGAAGAAAAGGUCAAUGACUUAGAAAACCUACAAAAAACUUUCUCUGAAGGAGAAAUUAAGGAGGCCAUCUUUGGUUCAUACUCUGAUGGAGCCCCUGGUCCAGAUGGUCUAUCCUUUAUAUUCCUCCAAAAAUUUUGGGAAGUGAUUAAGAAAGAUGUGAUAGCCAUGUUUGAUGAUUUCCAUAAAGGGGAAUUGGACAUCUAUAGGUUAAACUUUGCUGUGUUGACCCUGAUCCCAAAGGAGAAAAAGGCUACCAGCAUGAAAAAGUUUAGACCCAUUAGUUUGAUCAAUUGUAUCUUUAAGGUGUUUGCCAAAGUACUUACAAAUAGAUUAGCUAUGCUGAUGAAUAGGCUUACAUCUAGUAACCAAUCAGCUUUCAUAAAAGGGAGAUUUAUCCUGGAGAGUGUAGUCACAGCACAUGAGGUGCUGCACUCCACUGCUAAAUCUGGCAACCCAGGUCUAGUAUUAAACCUAGACUAUGAGAAAGCUUUUGACAAAGUUAACCUAGACUUUCUUAUUGAAAUCUAGAAAAAAGAUACUUCAAUCCCCUUUGGGUGACUUGGAUCAAACAGGUCACACACAUGGGUUCGGUUGGAGUGAAAAUUAAUGGAAUAUAAGGCAACUACUUCCUUACAGGAAAAGGCCUGAGACAGGGAGACCCCUUGUCCCCCCUUCUCUUUAACUUGGUAGUAGAUUUCUGAGCAAGAUGCUCUCCAAGGCAGCUUCUGAUAAGCUGAUUAGUGGUCUAUGUUCUGAGUUAAUUCCCAAUGGGGUCAUCUACUUACAAUAUGCAGACGACACCAUCCUUUUCAUGGAGAAGGAUGAAAACAAAACUAAGAACAUGAAGAUGGUCCUCACUUGCUUUGAGCAAGUUUCAGGCAUGAGAAUCAACUACUCAAAGAGUGAGAUCAUCCCAAUAGAACUUUCUUCUGAAGAAACUAAAUCCUUUGCAGAUAUAUUAGGAUGUAGAGUAGGGGCUUUCCCAAUAAAAUAUUUGGGAAUUCCUUUACACUAUGAUAAACUUAGGAGGGAGGAUAUACAACCCCUGAUAGACAAAAUCCUCAAAAGGAUGUCUGGCUGGAGAGGCAAACUCCUCUCCUAUGCUGCUAGGCUGACUUUGAUUAAAACCUGCCUGGCUAGCAUUCCCAUAUACCUCCUUUCUUUUUUCAAAUUUCCAAAAUGGGCUCUAGAUAUGAUCAACAGUCAGAUGGCCAAUUGUUUGUGGAAUGACUUUGAAGGAAAUAGAAAAAAUCACCUGGCCAACUGGCACCUAGUUUGUAUGGGGAAGAAACAUGGGGGUUUAGGGGUGCCUAACAUCAAAGAUGUUAACCUUUGUAUCCUUGGGAGCUGGGUAAGUAGAUACAUCAAAGAUGAAGGCAAGCUUUGGAAACAAAUAGUGGACAAGAAAUACAUCCACAACUUCCCUAAUAUCUUUGCUAGUAAACCCCAAAACCCUUCCAGAUUUUGGCAAGGGGUCAUGUGGGCGGCUAAGGCUUUGAAAUUUGGAUAUAAAUGGGUGGUUGGAGAUGGAUAGAAAAUCAGAUUCUGGGAAGACAUCUGGUUUGGUACAUCUCCCCUCUCGGUCCAAUUCUGGCCACUUUACACCAUCUGUCACCAACAAUGCUCUACCAUUGCUGAGAUCUGGGACAACUAUGAGAUUAAACUCACCUUUAGGAGGAUUUUCACACCUACUAUGAUGGAGCAUUGGUAAGCCCUAGAGAAAAUCAUUAGGAGUACCCUGCUUCGGGAGGAGGGUGACUCUCUCAUUUGGCAAUAUGAGGCCAAAGGGAAAUACACCACUAGUUCACUUUAUAGUAUCAUCAACUUUAGGGGGUUCAGCCUGUGUAUAUACCAGCGAUGUGGUCAAUAAAAACCCCACCCAGAGUCCAAGUGUUUUUGUGGCUACUCUCCCACAACAAGCUGAUGACGAAAGACAACCUGGCCAAAAGAGGCAUAGAAAAAGCCCCAGAAUGUGUAUACUGCUAUGAAAAAGAGUCCAUUACACACCUAUUCUUUGAAUGUGUGGUGGCCAAGCAAAUCUGGAUAGAAAUAUCAGAGUUUUUUUGAUGCAGAAUUAGGAACUAACUACUUGUCUAUUGCUAGAUUUUGGCCAGCUAACAAGAAACAUAUUGCUUUUAAUUCAGUCUGUGCAUGUGUUCUAUGGGCUAUGUGGAAAAAUAGAAAUCCACAUGUCUUUAACAAUGCUAUAUGGACUGAUGUGAAACAGAUAUGGAGGAGAGUGCUAGGACAAUCCAGGAGAUGGCUGAUCUUGUUCGGAGGACCUGCCUUGACAAAACUGGAGGCGUUCGUUCAGAAAAUCUCUUGCAUCCUAGAUGCCCCCCUCCAGAUUCUGGCAGGUUAACUGUCGAAAGGGAAGACACUGAAGGUGACUCCGAUCACUCGCUUCUCCUCUCUCGCUCGGAGACCGAUGAAGCUCCAAUCAUAAAAGGGCCAGCAUACACAAUCUCUCCACCAAGAAGCCCUCGCGAAAGCACCUGUAAGGCGACGCUGCUCAGCCCCGUCACCCCUCUGGAGUUGGGUGGAUCACCGGCUAUGCCAUGGAAGAAGCUCAAGGUGGUGCCCAUGACAGACGUGGCGAAGGAAAGGGUAUCACUGGGAACUGCAUAAUGUGACGCGCUAACUGAAGAAGUGGAAGAAAUCUGGUCUCCAGGAAAGGGAGGGGAGAUAAGUGUUGGUUAUUACAGAUUUGUGCACAAAUUUGUAAAAAGAGGAAACUCUGCUUUGUCCUUUAUGUAGAACUGAUCUGCUGAUCAGAUAUCUUUGUAGUUUUUCUUUUUGUUCUAGCUCGUUCCUGGACAUGCUUGCCAUGACUGUAAUGGUGUUACUUUCCUGCUCUCAUCUAUAAAAUGGGGCCGGGGGGCUCAAAACCCCCUUUUCUCUAAAAAAAACUUCAUCGAUUUGGGAAAAAGUUCAUGGAUUUUUGACAAAAAACACAUUCGUCGAUUUUGAAGAAAAAAUUCAUCGAUUUACAAUCAUGCAUUUAAGUAAAAGAAAAAAAUAUAAAAAGAAAAAAGAAAAGAAAACGUAAGAAAAAAAUAAAUACAAACUGGAGAAAGAGUAAAAUGAACGCAAGAACUUUGUAAGCAUAAGCUCGCGGUUGCCCAAGUGGUUGGCAUGGUGCGCUGGGAAUGUACACGACUCGGGUUCGAUUUGUUGUUGCACACCAUUUUGUGCACUUUAAAUAUAUAAAGCAAAACGCUAACAUGGGCCAUCCCAUCUCACGACAGAGGGAGUGCGCUGCAGGCUCCCGUUUGCAAAAAACACCUGUAACGGGCGGCUGUGGCGCUAAAUAGGAAAUCCCCAACAAACCAGUAAGAAUAUUUUUUUGUGAUAAAACAUACAGCGGCAGCAAAACGGGCCGGCCCAUUCCCAUGGGGUGCGUUUUGGGGGGCUAUUCCGCACUAUGGAGCUCCUCGCAAAUUCCUAGUUCCCUCCCAAUGCGGGAAUACUUCGCGUUUCAUAUUUUUUUUGCGGGGAUACUUCGCGUUUCGUAGGAAACACACACUUUCCUCUAGCUAAGAGGCCAUACCACACCACAAACGUGAUUUGCUUUAGUCUUUGAAUACUGUAGAGGGUUUUGGCCUGUUUCUUUUUUAUUUUUUAUCUUCCGGUUAUAUUGGGUUUUCAUUUCUAUUUAAUUUUUGUUUCUGCUCUUUCUUGUUAUUCUCUUUCCGUUUUUGCUUUCUUUUAUAUUCCUUUGCGUUUUUUUCUUCAAGUUCCUAUUUUCUUUUCCUUCAUUUUGAUUUCUUUAUCCUUUUUCCCUCCAACCAGAUUCAGGUUUUAAAAUUUGUGAACAUUUUAGAACUCAAAAUUUUGAAAAAUUCAUGAACACUUUUUGAAAUACACGAACAUGUUGUAACAUAUGUGACAUUUAUUUAUUUUACAAUUUUCAUUAAACAAUUAAAGAAUUUUUAAAUUUAUGAAUUUAUUUUCAAAAUCGUUAAGAAUUUAUUAACAUUUUCAAGAUCUCUAAUUAUUCUUAAAAAUUAUACAUUAUUUUAAAUUUUUCAUAAGUUUUUUAAAUGAACUCUUUUUAGAAGCUUGAAUAUUAUGAAUUUAAAAGGGUUGCAACAUAAGUAUGAUUCAAUUCAUAAUGGUACUGAAUAAGAAACGGAUGGAAUCCAACCAAGCCGAAAAACAAGCCAAAAAAUUGGCCAAAUAUAUACAAAAAAUCAUCCUUGUGCGAUAGGACAUAAAGUGCAUGAACCAGGUCAGCCCACCCUAGCGGGGUGCACUUUUCCUGCGAAGAUUAAGCAUCCGCCGCCGUAUGCAGAGAUUGCACGGGCACUUUCUUGGGCAGUUCGUCACUUAUGGUUGUGGAGUUGAUGAUCCUGCCACCCUUGAGGCAAUGGCAUGUCGGGAUGCUUUAGCUUUGGCUCAAGAUCUACAACUACAGAAUUUCAUCGUUGCCUCAGACUCCAAGAAAGUGACUGGGGACAUCAGUAAGGUAAGUCAUGGAAGCUACGGAGCCAUCAUUAACGAAAUUAAAAUCCAAGCUGCUUUAUUUUAGUGUAAUUUUACUUUCGAAGGUCGUGCAUUGUAUAGCAGGCACAUAGCUUAGCUAAUAUGUUUUUCUUUCUCUUAGUCAAGGUCACCACGAGUAGUUUGGUCAACCUCAUGACCCGAUUUGUAUCCCACAUAUUGUGGUUUUCGAUGAAUAAACCUUGGUUUAUCCCCCUAAAAAAUAGUUGUAUUCCUCGCAACGGCUAGGAGCUCCCUGAGCUCUCCAUCUUGUGUGUGUGUGUGUGUGUGUCUAAACACACUCUUUAUUAAUGAUCAUAAACAAGGUUCAUGGAGACACAAUUUAGAUCCAGAGGAUUGAGGAGCCAUAGAUGGCGUCCUAAAGAAAGUCCUAAAGUGUGUUUAGUGAGGCUAUGUGCCUCAACAUUAGUUUCCCACCCUUUGAAGAUGAAGGAGCAACACAUAAAAUAGACACCAAUUAUUUAAAAAUGCAUGAACAAUUCUGAAAUUAAUGAAUAUAUAUUUACAAUAUGUGGACACCGUUUGAAGAUGAAGGUUUUUUUUUCUCGUGUCAGCUUUGCUGGUAUCACCCUCUAAAUCACUAAGCUCCCUGGGCUUGGAGCGCUGAGAAUCAAUUGAGGCUAGCGAUUGCGAUUUUGUUCUCUCGAUUUUGACCAUGUAACCGGCGUGGGCUUUGUGAAGGGGUCUCCCGCUUGGUGGGUCCCGACUACUUGGUGUGGGACUGCGUUCACGCGCAGUGACCGCCUCUCUCCACUCGACCCCUUUCUCUCUCUCCUCAUCCCUUACGUCGCCGCUUCCUUUCUCUCCCUCGCCAUUGCAGCACAUUCACCGCCGCCUGAAGAGCCCUCUCAUUCUUCCCAGCGCCACCACCAGCCCCAACUCACGCAGCACCUUGUCUAGCCGUGCUUCCUGGCCAACGAAGCCAUGCUGGAUUCCCUCCUCUACCACACGGUGUGAUGUUGGAUGCAUGCUCCCCGCUCCCCGAUGCUGCUGGAUCCAGUUGCCCCAAUUUGCGGCUCCACCGGAUUUACCGCACCAUCUCCGUGCCACCAAAUCGUUACCUGAUCGGUGGACAACAAGGUGAAGAAGGCUGUGGUGUUUCCCCAUUGGGGCGUGGAAGGUGACGACUGCACUCGUUCUCUGCCAAUUUGGCCUCCGCACCCCUUGCCGCGAUGAAAGCGAGCAUGUAUGCUGCAGGCUGACAUGCUCUUGUUACUGUUGGCGGUGCCCCCUCGGCAAGCCAGCAACACCAGUUUCUGUUGUGGCGGGUUCUUGUGGUGGUGCUCUGCCGUUGGUGGUGCUCAAUUUGGCGUUUUGGUUGCAACCAACAUUGCGCCUCAUUUCUAUAGGGUUGGGCUUGAGGGGCUUUCUGUAGUCUUUGCAUGCAGAGGGGAGGCAAUUUGGGGGAAGCUCACCCGCUCGACAAGAGGCUACUUGGGGGUGCUUGAUGACCCAGAAGUGUAGGGGAUAUAUCGUAGUCCGUUCGAUAAGUAAGAGUGUCGAACCCAACAAGGAGCAGAAGGAAAUGACAAGCAGUUUUCAGUAAGGUAUUCUCUGCAAGCACUGAAAUUAUCGGUAACAGAUAGUUUUGUGAUAAGGCAAUUUGUAACGGGUAACAAGUAAUGAAAGUAAAUAAGAUGCAGCAAGAUAGCCCAAUCCUUUUUAUAGCAAAGGACAAGCCUGGACAAACUCUUAUAUAAAGGAAAACGCUCCCGAGGACACAUGGGAAUUAUCGUCAAGCUAGUUUUCAUCACGUUCAUAUGAUUCGUGUUCGUUACUUUGAUAAUUUAGUAUGUGGGUGGACCGGUGCUUGGGUACUGCCCUUUCUUGGACAAGCAUCCCACUUAUGAUUAACCCCUAUUGCAAGCAUCCGCGACUACAAAAGAAGUAUUAAGGUAAACCUAACCAUAGCAUGAAACAUAUGGAUCCAAAUCAGCCCCUUAUGAAGCAACUCAUAAACUAGGGUUUAAGCUUCUAUCACUCUAGCAACCCAUCAUCUACUUAUUACUUCCCAAUGCCUUCCUCUAGGCCCAAACAAUGGUGAAGUGUCAUGUAGUCGAUGUUCACAUAACACCACUAGAGGAGAGACAACAUACAUCUCAUCAAAAUAUCGAAUGAAUACCAAAUUCACAUGACUACUUAUAGCAAGACUUCUCCCAUGUCCUCAGGAACAAAUGUAACUAUUCACAAAUCAUAUUCAUGUUCAUAAUCAGAGGAGUAUUAAUAUGCAUAAAGGAUCUGAACAUAUGAUCUUCCACCAAAUAAACCAACUAGCAUCAACUACAAGGAGUAAUCAACACUACUUGCAACCCACAGGUACCAAUCUAAGGUUUUGAGACAAAGAUUGGAUACAAGAGAUGAAGUAGGGUUUGAGAGGAGAUGGUGCUGGUGAAGAUGUUGAUGGAGAUUGACCCCCUCCCGCUGAGAGGAUCGAUGGUGAUGACGAUGGUGAUGAUUUCCCCCUCCGGCAGGGAUGUUUCCCCAGCAGAACAGCUCCGUCGGAGCCCUAGAUUGGUUCCGCCAAGGUUCCGCCUCGUGGUGGCUGUGUUUCUCCCGAAAGAUUUUCGGAGUCUAAAACAUUCUGGAAAGUGUCCUUCAAGUAUUCCUCCAGGGUUACAGUUUCAAUAACAUUAGUUUCAACAUUUAUGGGAUUACCUGAGAUAUAAUGUUUGAUUCUUUGACUGUUCACCACCUUCAGAUUUGUGCCUUCGAAGUUGUUGAUUUUGAUGGCACCGGAACGAUAGACCUCCUCGAUAACGUAAGGACCUUCCCAUUUAGAGAGAAGAUUUCCUGCAAAAAAUCUUAAACAAGAGUUGAAUAGCAACACAUAAUCACCUACAUUAAACUCAUGCUUUUAUAUCCUUUUGUCAUGCCAUCUUUUAACUUUUUCUUUAAACAGUUUGGCAUUCUCAUAGGCCUGGGUUCUCCAUUCAUCAAGUGAGCUAAUGUCAAAUAGUCUCUUCUCAUCGGCAAGUUUGAAAUCAUAAUUGAGCUCUUUAAUGGCCCAAUAUGCCUUAUGUUCUAGUUCGAGAGGUAAGUGACAUGCUUUUCCAUAAACCAUUUUAUACAGAGACAUACCCAUGGGAUUUUUAUAUGCAGUUCUAUAGACCCAUAAAGCAUCAUCAAGUUUCUUGGACCAAUUCUUUCUAGAUCUAUUAACAGUCUUUUGUAAAAUUAAUUUGAGCUCUCUAUUACUAAGUUCUACUUGACCACUAGACUGCGGGUGAUAUGGAGAUGCAAUUCUUUGAUUAACAUCAUACUUAGCAAGCAUUUUACGAAAAGCACCAUGAAUAAAAUGUGAACCACCAUCAGUCAUUAAGUACCUAGGGGCUCCAAACCUCAGAAAAAAUAACUUCUUUAAGCAUCUUAAUAGAGGUGUUAUGACCAGCACUACUAGUUGGAAUAGCUUCUACCCACUUAGUAACGUAAUCAACAACAACUAAAAUAUGUGUAUACCCAUUAGCGGAAGGAAACGGUCCCAUAUAAUCAAAGCCCCGAACAUCAAAUGGUUCAAUAACAAGUGAAUAGUUCAUAGACAUUUCUUGACGUCUAUUAAUAUUACCAAUUCUUUGACAUUAAUUCAUCACAUGACAAGACAAACUUACGGGCAUCUUUGAAAAGAGUAGGCCGGUAAAAACCAGACUGCAAUACCUUAUGUGUAGUUCUAUCUCCAGCGUGGUGUCCUCCAUAAGCUUCAGAGUGACACUUGCAUAGGAUCUGUUCCUGUUCAUGCUCAGGUACACAAUGUCUGAUAACACCAUCUACUCCUUCUUUAUAAAGGUGUGGGUCAUCCUAGAGUAAUCUCUUAAAUCAUAGAAAAACUUUUUCUUUUGCUGGUAUGUGAAACUAGGUGGUAUAAAUUUAGCAACAAUGUAAUUAGCAUAAUUAGCAUACCAUGGAGCAGUAUGAGAAGCAUUUAUGAUAGCUAAUUGUUUAUCAGGAAACCUAUCAUCAAUAGGUAGUGGGUCCUCAAGAACAUUAUCUAACAUAGACAAGUUGUCUGCAACGGGGUUCUCAGCUCCCUUUCUAUCAAUAAUAUGCAAAUCAAAUUAUUGUAGCAAGAGAACCCAUCUAAUAAGUCUAGGUUUAGCAUCUUUCUUUUCCAUAAGAUAUUUAAUAGAAGAAUGAUCAGUGUAAACAAUUACUUUAGAAUCAACAAUAUAAGGUUUGAACUUAUCACAAGCAAAUACAACUGCUAUAAAUUCUUUUUCAGUAGUAGCAUAAUUUCUCUAGGCACUGUCUAGAGUUUUACUAGCAUAUUGGAUAACAUUUAAUUUCUUAUCAACUCUUUGUCCUAGAACAACACCUACAGCAUAAUCACUAGCAUCACAUAUAAUUUCAAAGGGUAAAAUCCAAUCAGGUGGCUGAACAAUAGGUGCAGAAAUCAAUGCUUUCUUAAGUAUUUCAAAUACCUCUUCACAAUCAUCAUCAAAGACAAAAAAGAACGUCUUUUUGUAAGAGAUUAGUCAGAGGCCUAGAAAUUUUAGAGAAGUCCUUAAUGAACCUCCUAUAAAAACCGGCAUGACCAAGGAAACUUCUUAUACCUUUAAUGUCCUUAGGACACGACAUCUUUUCAAUAGCAUCAACUUUAGAUUUAUCAACCUCAAUACCUCUUUCAGAAAUUUUAUGCCCCAAGACAAUGCCUUCAUUAACCAUAAAGUGGCACUUCUCCCAAUUCAAGACAAGAUUAGUUUCCUCACAUCUCUGCAAAACUCGAUCAAGGUUGCUUAAGCAAUCAUCAAAAGAAGUUCCAUAUACGGAGAAAUCAUCCAUGAAAACCUCAACAAUCUUUUCAUAAAAGUCAGAGAAUAUAGCCAUCAUACAUCUUUGAAAGGUAGUAGGUGCAUUGCAUAAACCAAAAGGCAUACGUCUAUAAGCAAAGGUACCGAAAGGGCAAGUAAAAGUAGUCUUUUCUUGAUCCUCUUUUGACAUAGGUAUUUGAGAGAAACCGAAAUAACCAUCUAGAAAGCAAAAAUGUGUACGUUUGGAUAAUCUUUGUAGCAUUUGAUCAAUAAAAGGUAAAGGGUAAUGAUCCUUUUUAGUAGCUUUAUUUAGUUUGCGGAAAUCAAUUACCAUUCUAUAACCUGUUACAAUUCUUUGCGGGAUCAAUUCAUCUUUAUCAUUAGGAACAACGGUAAUACCUCCCUUCUUAGGGACACAAUGGACAGGCACUACUAGGGAAAUGCUUAUAGGCAUACGCUUACUAGUAGCAAGGGUUUAUACCCUCACUACUGCUACUUACUAGUAGCGCGGUUUUUUACCCAUCGCUACUACUAAGUUGAUAGUAGUAGCGCGGCUUUAUACCCUCGCUACUACUAAGUACGAGGUAGGUGAACUUGCCAUCUCCUUAGCUGAAUCCCUUCUCUCUUCUGCCACUCUCUCCUUCCACUUUCCAUAUGGUCACNNNNNNNNNNUUUAUCAACCUCAAUACCUCUUUCAGAAAUUUUAUGCCCCAAGACAAUGCCUUCAUUAACCAUAAAGUGGCACUUCUCCCAAUUCAAGACAAGAUUAGUUUCCUCACAUCUCUGCAAAACUCGAUCAAGGUUGCUUAAGCAAUCAUCAAAAGAAGUUCCAUAUACGGAGAAAUCAUCCAUGAAAACCUCAACAAUCUUUUCAUAAAAGUCAGAGAAUAUAGCCAUCAUACAUCUUUGAAAGGUAGUAGGUGCAUUGCAUAAACCAAAAGGCAUACGUCUAUAAGCAAAGGUACCGAAAGGGCAAGUAAAAGUAGUCUUUUCUUGAUCCUCUUUUGACAUAGGUAUUUGAGAGAAACCGAAAUAACCAUCUAGAAAGCAAAAAUGUGUACGUUUGGAUAAUCUUUGUAGCAUUUGAUCAAUAAAAGGUAAAGGGUAAUGAUCCUUUUUAGUAGCUUUAUUUAGUUUGCGGAAAUCAAUUACCAUUCUAUAACCUGUUACAAUUCUUUGCGGGAUCAAUUCAUCUUUAUCAUUAGGAACAACGGUAAUACCUCCCUUCUUAGGGACACAAUGGACAGGCACUACUAGGGAAAUGCUUAUAGGCAUACGCUUACUAGUAGCAAGGGUUUAUACCCUCACUACUGCUACUUACUAGUAGCGCGGUUUUUUACCCAUCGCUACUACUAAGUUGAUAGUAGUAGCGCGGGUUUUUAACCCUCGCUACUACUAAGCGGUCUCUACCAUGCCCCCCGAGACAUGCCAUAGUAGUAGCGAGGGGUAUAAACCCGCGCUACUACUAAGUUGAUAGUAGUAGCGCGGCUUUAUACCCUCGCUACUACUAAGUACGAGGUAGGUGAACUUGCCAUCUCCUUAGCUGAAUCCCUUCUCUCUUCUGCCACUCUCUCCUUCCACUUUCCAUAUGGUCACAUGGACCUCUUGCCCAUGCGCCGCUCCUCCUCCGUGGUACCGAAUGAGGCUGCCGCCUCGCGCCAUCGGUGUCUAGGAGCUCGCCGGUCUUCCACCAACGUCUAGGAGGGCGCCGCCCCGCCCACCACACUGGGGAACCUCACCACCGGUGACUAGCUCUGCUGCUCCCUCCAUUACCUUCCUCUCUCCCUCGGUUUUCCUUUUCUCUCUCUCCCUCUGGUUUGACUCACCCUCCCAUGUCCACACCCGUGCAGGUCGUCGCCAUGGACGACCCGGAGCUAUCUGGCAUGGUCGGGAAGAGGAGCCCGACGUCGUGGCCUGGCUCUUCCAUAGAAAGGGGCCCUCUCCAACAGCCACCGCCGGAUCUGGUCUUCCGCUGUCCGUUCAUGCCUCCGGCGACGCCAACCGUCGCUAGAUCAAACCACUGCUGCCAUUGACAACACGCACGGGAUCGAGAUUUUGUUUUUGUUUUUGAAAGUAAUAGCAGUAGCGCAGGGUAUAAGACACGCUACAGAUAAUUAGCAGUAGCGCUGUCUGCAACGCACGCUACAGCUAACCAUGUAUAGCAGUAGUGUGUGUCAAAACACGCUACUGCUACAAGUUAGCUAUGGCGACGUAUCAGUAGCGCGGGCACCCGCACUACUGAUACACCCAAAACCCACCGUGCUGCUAGGCUUUUCCCUAGUAGUGGGACUUACCCACUAACUAUUAGCAACGGGAUAGAUUAUACGUGCCUCCAUAAGCUUUAGUAUUUCUUUUCUUACCACUUCUUUCAUCUUAGGAUUUAACCUGCGUUGGUGAUCAACAACCGGUUUAGCGUCUUUCUCCAAUUUUAUUUUGUGUUGGCAUAAAGUGGGACUAAUGCCCUUGAGAUCAUCAAGAGUAUAUCCAAUAGCAGCAUGGUGCUUCUUCAGAGUUUUCAAUAAUUUCUCUUCUUCUUUCUCUGAAAGAUUAGCACUAAUAAUAACAGGAUAUAUCUUCUUUUCAUAAAGAUAAGCAUAUUUAAGAGUAUUAGGUAAUGUUUUAAGCUCAAACACGGGAUCACCCUUGGGUGGAGGAGGAUCCCCUAGGAUUUCAACAGGCAAGUUGUGUUUCAAAAUAGGUCCCUAUUUAAAGAAUACUUCAUCUAUUUUCCUUCUUUCAUUCAUAAACAUAUCAUUUUCAUGUUCUAGCAAAUAUUGUUCUAAAGGGUCAUUAGGAGGCACAACAAUAGAGGCAAGACCAACAAUUUCAUCUUUCCUAGGUACUCCCUCCGUAAACUAAUAUAAGAGCGUUUACAUAACUACUUUAGUGAUCUAAAUGCUCUUAUAUUAAUUUACGGAGGGAGUAGUUCUUUAUCAUGGGGUUGUCUACGGAAUUUAGCAAAAUUAAACUCAUGAGACAUAUCCCCCAAUCCAAUAGUAACAAUAUCCUUUUUGCACUCUAUCCUAGCAUUAACAGUAUUCAAGAAGGGUCUACCAAAUAUAAUGGGACAAAAGUUAUGUUGUGGGGAACCAAGAACAAGAAAAUCAGCAGGAUAUUUGACUUUCCCACACAAGACUUCAACAUCUCUAACAAUCCCAACUGGUGAAAUAGUAUCUCUAUUGGCAAGCUUACUUGUAACAUCAAUUUCUUCUAUCUCAGCAGGUGCAAUAUCAUGCAUAAUUUCUUUGUAUAAGGAAUGGGGUAUUGCACUUGAACUAGCACCCAUAUCACAAAAGCCAUGAUAGCAAUGAUCUCCUAUUUUAACAGAAAUAAUAGGCAUGCUUACAACAGGACUAUGUUUAUUUAGUAUUAGGUCAAGCAAUUCUAGCAGCUUCAUCACAGAAGUAAAUAACAUGCCCAUCAAUAUUAUCGGCUAAGAGAUCUUUAACCACAACAAUACUAGGUUCAACUUUAAUUUGCUCAGGGGGUGUAGGUGUUCUAGUAUUACUCUUACGAACCAUAGUUGAAGCUUUAGCAUGAUCCUUUAUUCUAACAGGAAAGGUGGUUUCUCAAUAUAAGCAGUAGGAACAACAGGAUCAAAAUUAUAAGUGAUAGUCUUUUCUUCAACUUUAAUAGGUGAAACUACUUUUACUUCAAUGGGAGGAUUAUAUUUAAACCACUUCUCCUUAGGGAGAUCAACAUGAGUAGCAAAGGAUUCACAGAAAGAAGCUACUAUCUCAGAGUCAAGUCCAUAUUUAGUGCUAAAUUCAUAGAAAACAUCGGUAUCCAUAAAAUAUUUAACACAAUCAAACUUAGGUGUUAUACCUGACUCGUUACCUUCGUCGAGAUCCCAAUCUUCAAAGUUGCGUUUAAUUCUUUCUAAUAAAUCCCAUUUGAGUUCAAUAGUUUUCAUCAUAAAAGAGCCAGUACAAAAGUAUCGAGCAUGGAGCGAUUAUUGAGAGAAAGCAGAGCAUAAAAAUUUUGAAUAGUAAUUUCUCUUGAGGGGUCAUGAUUGGGGCAUGAAUAUAACAUUGACUUAAGCCUCCCCAAGCUUGAGCGAUGCUUUCUCCUUCGCGAGGCCAAAAUUAUAUAUAUAAUUGUGAUCACGAUGAACAAGAUGCUUACGAUAAAACUUCUUAUGAAAUUCCAAUUUCAAUCGGUUGUAGUUCGAUGAUCCCAUAUCAUCACAUAGCCUAAACCAUGUCAAUUCCUUUCCCAUAAAAGAUAAAGGGAAGACCUUCUUCUUGAUAACAUCCUGGGGCAUACCUGCAAGCUUAAAUAACCCACAAACUCUAUCCACAUAGAUUAGGUGUAAAUCGGGAUGCAAUGUUCCAUCUCCUGUAAAAGGAUUAGCUAGCAGUUUCUCUAUCAUACCCAAAGUAAUUUCAAAGUAAACAUUUUAGUAGGUUCAGUAGGUUGAGGAGAAACUCUUUGCUCUACUGGUCGGGGUGAAGAUACCCCGAACAAGCCCCUUAAAGGAUUACUUUCCAUAGUAACAAGUGACAGUAAAUUUCAGCACACUAUAUAAAUUUUUCCUUACCAAAUUCCACCUACCAAAGGCACUUCACUCCCUGGCAACGGCGCCAGAAAAGAGUCUUGAUGACCCACAAGUGUAGGGGAUCUAUCGUAGUCCUUUUGAUAAGUAAGAGUGUGAACCCAACGAGGAGCAGAAGGACAUGACAAGCGGUUUUCAGUAAGGUAUUCUCUGCAAGCACUGAAAUUAUCGGUAACAGAUAGUUUUGUGAUAAGGCAAUUUGUAACGGGUAACAAGUAAUUAAUGAAAGUAAAUAAGGUGCAGCAAGAUGGCCCAAUCCUUUUUAUAGCAAAGGAAAAGCCUGGACAAACUCUUAUAUGAAGGAAAACGCUCCCAAGGACACAUGGGAAUUAUCGUCAAGCUAGUUUUCAUCACAUACAUAUGAUUCGCGUUCGUUACUUUGAUAAUUUGGUAUGUGGGUGGACCGGUGCUUGGGUACUGCCCUUUCUUGGACAAGCAUCCCACUUAUGAUUAACCCCUAUUGCAAGCAUCCGCGACUACAAAAGAAGUAUUAGGGUAAACCUAACUAUAGCAUGAAACAUAUGGAUCCAAAUCAGCCCCUUACGAAGCAACUCAUAAACUAGGGUUUAAGCUUCUAUCACUCUAGCAACCCAUCAUCUACUUAUUACUUCCCAAUGCCUUCAUCUAGGCCCAAACAAUGGUGAAGUUUCAUGUAGUCGAUGUUCACAUAACACCACUAGAGGAGAGACAACAUACAUCUCAUCAAAAUAUCGAACGAAUACCAAAUUCACAUGACUACUUAUAGCAAGACUUCUCCCAUGUCCUCAGGAACAAACGUAAAUACUCACAAGUCAUAUUCAUGUUCAUAAUCAGAGGAGUAUUAAUAUGCAUAAAGGAUCUAAACAUAUGAUCUUCCUCCUGCUGAACUAGGAUUUGAGAGGAGAUGGUGCUGGUGAAGAUGUUGAUGGAGAUUGACCCCCUCCUACUGAGAGGAUUGAUGGUGAUGACGAUGGUGAUGAUUUCCCCCUCCCAGAGGGCUGUUUCCCCGGCAGAACAGCUUAGCCAGAGCCCUAGAUUGGUUCCGCCAAGGUUCCGCCUCGUGGCGGCGGUGUUUCGUCCCGAAAGCUUUCUUCUGAUUUUUUCCAGGGUGAAAGACUUCAUAUAGCAGAAGAUGGGCACCGGAGGCCUGCCAGGGGGCCCACGAGGCAGGGGGCGUGCCCAGGGUGGUAGGGCGCGCCCCCCACCGUCGUGGAUGGUGGGUGGCCCCUCUGGUUGAUCCUUUCACCAGUAUUUUUUAUUAAUUCCAAAAACUGCCUCCGUGAAGUUUUAGGACUUUUGGAGCUGUGCAUAAUAGGUCUCUAAUAUUUGCUCCUUUUCCAGCCCAGAAUUCCAGCUGCCGGCAUUCUCCCUCUUCAUGUAAACCUUGUAAAAUCAGAGAGAAUAAGCAUAAGUAUUGUGACAUAAUGUGUAAUAACUGCCCAUAAUGCAAUAAAUAUCGAUAUAAAAGAAUGAUGUAAAAUGGACGUAUUAGUGCUCUGUUGCCAGUCUGUCCACGUCUUCAAUGCGGCCCUUCUUGCUUCACUCUAGUGUUUCAUUAAUCUGGCGAGUGUUCCUCCUGCCAUUUGCUCUUUGUGCGGACGCAUAUGUCUCCUUUCUCUAUUGGUUGUUGUCAUGUCCCGCAAGUGUGUUUCUCUGCUCGCCAACUACAUGAGGCGAGCGAAGACACAACGGAGUUGCAGAUUAGGUACUUGGGUCACCGACCAACAAAAUCAACUCACCGGAGCUCCUGAUUCAUCUUUGCCACUUAUCAUUCAAUUUUUGAAUGCGGAUUCUACUAUUCUGUUUCAUAUAGGCUACAUCUACAUGGAUUCGUCAACUCUGCUCCAUAAAUAUGGAUACAAAGUGUUUGGUGUAGUUUUGUUUGAUAAUUCUGUGUUGCCAUUUCUCCCAUUCAGCAUAUUUUAGAAUUUAUAAUGGCCAAUACCUAUCCAUCAAAGUACAAGUUCAUUCUCAAGUGUUGCAAUUUGUAUGCUCAAACAAAAUGACGUCUGCGUGGGUGUCCGGAUCAAGGACCACCCCUAAUCCUUCAUAAGUUCAGGUGAUAUGGCAACUACCCCUUUGAAUUAUAUAAAGAUCAAUGUCGAUGCAUGUUUUGUGGAGAGCAUUAGUUCAGCGAGUGUGGGGGUGGCGGCAAGGGACUCUUCUUGGGAGGGUCAUAGUCUCCUCCUAGGAUUUCAUUGGACUUUGUAAAAGCGUGGAGGAGGAAGAGCUCCGUGCUUGCAUUGCCGGUCUUUAUAUAGGUAUUACUCUACAAAAUCCUAUAAUCUUAGAGACUGACUAUGCGUUUGUGGUGGCGACCGUAGAAAAUGAAAAUUUUGACAGAUCAUCAUUGGUGGAUUUGAAGAAGGAAGCGAUGAGUACCUCCAAGCUUAAGAUUUCGGUCAGUCUUAAGAUCUCCAAGAUCAAUCGCUUGGACAAUGUGGUGGCCCAUAUGAUUGCUAAAUUUAGCUUUGAUAAUAGAUCAUAUGGUAUCUUAGUUAGUGGUGUUCCGCCCUGCGUGGUGAAUUUUGUAAUAAGUGAUUGUAAUAACUACGUUGGUUAAUUAAUAUAUGAGGUGGUUUUUAAAAAAAAACAACAUCUGCAUGAAUUUUGGAUCUCGUAAUCUUAAAUGGUUUGGAUUCCAGUAGUAAGUUCUUUAUGUACGGACCCCCUGCUGGAAUUAGCACUUUUUGUUGUAUAAAUUUAGCUCUAUAGGGGCACAUGAAUUGUACCAAUGAAGAACUUAGUACAGAGGAAAUUAGAAUUUACAAAGUUUGAACGAACUGCCUUGUUUUGAAAUUGUUGCUCUUGUUGGAUUGUUUUGUGUCAUACCUAAAUCAAAAUUCUAAUAUUAGCAUAUAAUUGGGUGGACCAUAUUCUUGAUUGGGGGUCGUAUCUAGAGGACCAGUAAUACUUCACUUAUACUUGUGGUCUGGUAUACUUGAGCCGGUGCAUCACAAGUGCUUCUUUGUUUUUAUCCUUUAUUAAUAUACUUAUUGUUUGGAAGGAGGAAGUUGCAUAUUAUUCUACAUGACCCCUUUGUUGAAUACAAUCAACAUUCUACAUCGAUUGUUGUUUGCCGCAAUACUUACACGCACUUUAUGCAUGUUUCUUAGAGCUACUAUGAUUUUCCAGUGCAAAUAUGCAUGCAUUCUGGUGUAUGUAAUUAUGAUGUCUUAGAAUCCUCACUUUUAUAAUACUUAUUCUUGCUAAAGUUUACAGCCAUCGCUGGAUUAUCCUAAUCAUUUGUACUACACAAGUUACACCAAUAACCAUGUUUUUAUAUGCACGUAUCUCCUUAGGAUUACUAAUCUGAAUAAUGUAAGCUCAGUUAAGGUAGGCGAUAAAGUUGUUUUGUGUACUCAAAUAAAGAAUCAUUCGCAAAACAGUGGGUCAUUCACUUGUGAUGAUGAAUACUUUUUCCAUCAGAUUGUUGUCCAUAAAGAAUUAUGUAUUGGAACAUUAGCAACUCACUUUAUACACUUUCAAAAAGGAAGUUAAAUUUUGGUAUUCUUGUUUUGAAAAAUUUGGAUUCCUCAUCAAAUACUAGUAAGCCAAAAGGGACAGCGAGGUUGGACAUUCGAACAUACAACUACAAUGGGAUGGAACAUGGCUAUGAAUAUAUCAAAUGCUUUUGGAAUAACAUAAUAAUCGAAGCACAACACAUUUAAAGUUACUUCCCAGCUUCCUUAAGUGUCAAACUGAUAUUUGCACAACAAGUAGUAAGGCUAGGAUUGGGUAGUAGGAUUCAAACAAAUGGAUAAGCUAGAUCUACCCUAUGCAAGGAUUUUAGCAAUCAUCACAUGCACAAUUUCAUCAGGGAGAGACCAUACAAACCUCUAUUUUGCAUGCAGUUUGUUGGUUGAGGUAAGCAUAACCUGAUGCUUACAUUUCAGAUUUAGGUCUAGGUUUAAUUAUUCUUCGGCCUACUUCAUGCUUUUCCUGUGUAGUCUUUGUAACAUGGUGCUAGAAGGGUGUGUGUACUCUGAAUUACUUGUUCUUUACGCAGAAGAAAAUGUAUUUAGAUUGUUUCUGUCCUUGAGAUUAUUUAUAUCUUCAACAUCCAAGUGACUGGCUUGCAGGCUGCUCUUUUCAGCAAUGAAGGAACCGUUUCUAUGGUGCAUGCUAAUAGUUAUUUAUUUCUGACAUAUGGAAUCCAUGUAAACUUUCUAACUCUUAUAUUGAAACUAAAGUUACCUUCUUUGCCUUAGUGUAGCACCAUCUGUAUGUCGCUGCUGGAAGAUACGCUUCCGUGCUCAUCUUUUCUACAAUGUAGUGCAGACACACUACCUUCUCUAAAACUUUGAUAACUGUUGUUUGAAGAUUUAGCAUCAAUUGUUCUUUCACUGUCCCUGCAAUGCAAAAGAUGAUGUCAGGCGGAAAUGUUUUACCUACAAUCGAAGAUUUUUUUACCAUUAGUAGAUCUGUUUUGUACUCAUCUCUUCUACAAUGUGAAUUGAAUGUACAGGUUCUGGAAAAGUCGGCACUUUUUGUUUAACGAUUUAGCAUAUGUUGUUCUUUCCAGGCUCCUAUAGUUUAAAUGGUGUUGCGAGGCCAUGAUGCAUGGAUGAAACUAAAGAUUUCCCCCAAAAUUGUUUGGGAUGACCUUUGUCAAUUCUUCUGUCAUAAUAGUUUAGUUCUUGAAUAUUGUUUUCUUUUAUACAUUAUCUAAUUUUAGAUGAUCACUAACUUCACUUAUUUGUGUUGCACCUACAAAAUUUUGCCCUAGAAAGAUUUGCAUGCUAUUUGAUUGCCUUUGAAAGUGCUCUGUCUCAAAGUUGUUUCUUAGCGACUCUGCUCUCUCGACUCGAGUCAUUCUACUUCAGUUUGAAAGUUGACUGAUAGAAUUGCAUUUUUAGUUUAAGUUUCCUGAAACGCAAAACUCCAAGGCUCACAAAAAUGUAUUGUUUGGUCGAUAAAUAGGAACAUGAAGACUUUGUUGAUGAAUACUUUGUUUUUUAUCGGUUAUAAUGGAGCAAGCGCAGCAAAGCGCGCCUUUCCCUUCUAGUCGGUUAUGAUUACUAUAUUUGCACGUAAAAUUGGAUUAGUAACAGAACACCCAUGAUAUGACCAAGUAACAUGGAAGUAUAUUGUAUGUGCAAGUAGAUGGUCGUUCUCAUCACCAUCGCUAAUCGUUGAGGUGCAUCAUCCAUGUUAGAUGUUUCUAAUUGAAGAAAUCCCCUAUAUCACUAAGCUCCCUGGGGCAAAAUCGUCCAGGAGAGAUCCAAGCGAUCGAUUGCCUUGUGCGAUCAAUUUUGACCAAGCCUUCGUGUGUACAACCUGCAUCUGGUGAGGUGGCAGGUCUGUGGGCCUUUUUUGUUAGGGGCGGUUGGCAAGAGCAUGGGUUGUCGGUGGCUGGCAAAGGCGGUAUCUUCUGGUUAAAUGAGGUUUUCUAUGGUCAAAGCGUCGUGGCAGUUGCGAGGGGUUGCGAAGCACGUGGCAGUCGGAGGUAGUGUGGCCAUGUGGGCGUUGCAGUCAUCUAUAGGGGAUGGGCGGCUUUUGGGAGGCAUUUGGGUCACCCCCGUUGGGUGCGCCGCUGUUGGAUCUUGCUUGCGGGCAGCCUCCAGGGAGGUCGUCACCGUGUUGACGCUCAAAAGUGGCACGAUCAUAAAGAGUAGCUUGAAGGUAUGUCAAGAUUAAUUCAAACUUAUUAUUGAAAGUCAUCAUGGGAUGGCUCUCUUCGAGAAGAUCAAGAUUGAAAGUGCAACUAUCCCUAGGUGGUUUUGGUAAUUCAUAACAACAUAUAGCUCAUUGAGCUAAUGCUAUUCCAAGACUAUUAUUUCAGGAAGGCUCAAUGAAUGGCAUGGCAUGGAUGAUGAAAGUGGACCCCUCAAAAUAUCAAGGACAAAGGAUUGGCUCAAGCUCAAAAGCUCAAGACUCUUCAUUUUAUAUUUUAGUGAUCCAAGAUCACAUUGAGUCUAUAGGAAAAGCCAAUACUAUCAAGGAGGAAUGAGGUGUUGCUUAAUGAGCCUCUUGCUUCAAGUGCUUAGUGAUAUGCUCCAAAUACCCUCAACUACUUUCUCACAUCCUCAUAUGACCUAAACCUAAAGCCAAAAUCGGUCACACUAAUUCUUUCUAUCCGGCGCCACCGAGUUCAGAUGUCAUAGCCACUGCCACAAACCCUAGGCAAAUCGGUCUCACCGAUAGGGAUCUUGGUCUCACCGAGAUGGGAUUGUAAUCUCUCUGUUUCCCUUCAUAACGUUUCGGUCUAACCGAAGUGAGCGAUCGGUCCCACCGAGAUUGCAAUGUAAACUCUUUGUUUCCCUUUUUUAACAUUUCAGUCUCACCAAAAAGAGCAAAUCGGUCCCACCGAGUUUACCUGACCAACUCUCUGGUUAGCUAAUUACCAAAAUCGGUCUCACCGAGUUUGUGUAAUCGGUCUCACCGAGAUUACGUUAUGCCAUAACCCUAACCAUAUCGGUCCUACCGAGUUGCAUGUCGGUCCCACCGAAAAUCCUAACGAUCACUAGGUUUACUAAAUUGGUCUGACCGAGUUUGUUGAUUCGGUCCCACCGAGAUUGGUAAAUUGUGCUUAACGGUUAGAUUUUUUGUGGAGGCUAUAUAUACCCCUCCACCUCCUCUUCAUUCGUGGAGAGAGCCAUCAGAACAAACCUACACUUCCAACUUACCAGUUCUGAGUGAGAACUACCUACUCAUGUGUUGAGGCCAAGAUAUUCCAUUCCUACCAUAUGAAUCUUGAUCUCUAGCCUUCCCCAAGUUGCUUUCCACUCAAAUAUUCUUUCCACCAGAUCCAAAUCCUAUGAGAGAGAGUUGAGUGUUGGGGAGACUAUCAUUUGAAGCACAAGAGCAAGGAGUUCAUCAUCAACGCACCAUUUGUUACUUCUUGGAGAGUGGUGUCUCCUAGAUUGGCUAGGUGUCACUUGGGAGCCUCCGACAAGAUUGUGGAGUUGAACCAAGGAGUUUGUAAGGGCAAGGAGAUCGCCUACUUCGUGAAGAUCUACCGCUAGUGAGGCAAGUCCUUCGUGGGCGACGGCCAUGGUGGGAUAGACAAGGUUGCUUCUUCGUGGACCCUUCUUUGGUGGAGCCCUCCGUGGACUCGCGCAGCCGUUACCCUUCGUGGGUUGAAGUCUCCAUCAACGUGGAUGUACGAUAGCACCACUUAUCGGAACCACGCCAAAAACAUCCGUGUCUCCAACUGCGUUUGAAUCCUCCAAACCCUUCCCUUUACUUUCUUGCAAGUUGCAUGCUUUAAUUUCCGCUGCCUAUAUACUCUUUGCAUGCUUGCUUGAUUUGAGUGAUGAUUGCUUGACUUGUCCAAAGGUUGCUAAAAUCUGCCAAACUCUAAAAUUGGGAAAAGGUUAGUUUUUAAUUGGUCAAGUAGUCUAAUCACCCCCCCUCUAGACAUACUUCAAGGUCCUACAAAGAUGGAUAUGAAGAUGGUCUAAAAUAGAGCUUAGAUGCAAAAGUUAUGACAAGAUCAGAGAUGCUCAUGUUGACACAAGAUUAAAGAAUGGCUUGAAACCCAAUUAAGCUGGCCUCGUUUGGAAAAAGUUUCAACACAAAGUUGUGUGUCUUGUCAAAACAAUUGAUUUUGAAAUAAAAAACAUCUCAAUCAGAGUUCGUAUGCAAAAGCUAAAGCCAAAACAGUGUGUUGCAGAAGUCUACCCCAGAAGUUCCAGGCAACUUCUGGGCUAAACCGAAAGUUUGCACGAGGUGCGCCCUGUAAAUUGAAAUAUCAACAUUAUUUGCAGAUUUGCAGGCUCGAAUUCAACCUCAAUAUGACCUCAGAUGAAAAAGUGAUCAAUUAAUGAGUUUUUCUCCAUUGCAAGAUCUACAACAUUGCUUUUGGGACCACUGCGAUGUGAAGCCAUAUGCGAGAUGCAGUAGUGGUGCAAGAGGGCUACUUGAUGUAAUUUUAGCCCGGAAGUUCCGGGACUACCAGAAGUUCCGCCCCCCUAGUCCGAGUUAGGUUAACUUUUGAUGUUUUGGAUGAGAUUUGAGUCCUUUUCUUGUACGGAAAGUCCAUCCACCUCAUAUAUAUAUAAGAGGUGACGGCCGAUUGAAUAACAACACACAAUCGAUCUAUCAAUAUAUCACUUUUUACCUUUACCUUUAUCUUCUCCCUUGUUCUUCUCCCCUGUUCUUCAUUCGUUCUUCGUGAAGGAGGGCAGUGAUCCACGAGGCCCUAGGGGCGAUCAGGUCGACCUAGGGCAGCCCAUAGUUGCCACGCGCCCUGACGGGGUCCCUCCCGGACGUGGGGUUUUGGGUCUACAAAAGCACCCGCCGGACUGCUUGCGUACCGCGCUUCCGGCCAGGUCUCCUUCAACAUGAGCUGCAGUGCAUCACCCUUGGCGUCGAGGGUACAUGGUGACAUGUUCGUGUGUGAACAGACUUUUUGGUGACUCCGCUGGGGACAAAGCUUUGAACGGUCUCCAGCCCGUUCGUACUACGAAGAGAUCGUCAUCUAGGGUUUGCAGUCUACAAAGGUAAUAUGAAUACCCAAUCCCCUUGUGUAGAUGCAAAUAUUUCAUAUAGUGUGUUACUAGAUUGUUCAAUGAGUAUACUCUAUCGGCCAACCCUAGUUUUUUCAAUCAUGCAUCUAACUACGUGCAAGGAUCGACUCAAAGUAAUUUACAAGCUUCAACUUCUUAUGAUACUAGUAUAUACUACCAUAUAUGGCACAUACAUGCAUGUGGGGACAUGUCAUGUUGGACUCUUGUCUUGGUCGCAUUAUCCAACUACCCACUGCCAUGAUUCUUAUAAAUUACACCCUUGUACUGAACCUUCGAUCUUCAUCUCUAGUUUGUACCUUAAGGAUAAGGAUAAGAGCAUCUAUCGCCGGGUGCCUCAAACCCGCCUCAAAUGGCCGGAUGGGCUGCUCGGUAACUAACGAUCACGAAAAUUCGACCCAGACGGGCUCCUUAAACGAGCCUCAAAUGCCCGGGCUGACUGGCACCCCUCAUAUCCGGCCCAAACAUGGUGCGGAUUGGGGCCUCGGGCGAAUCCGCCACGUCAGACCCGCCAACCCCAUCCACAUUAAAUUGCACCAAAUCCACCAGACGCUUCCUCCUCCUCCCGCCUCCCUCCUACCUUUCCCGCGCACGAGCCCUCGCCGGCCGCCACCCUUGGUCCCCAUCCACACCACCGGUCUUGAUCCGCCACCCUAGAUGUCGUCCAGCCUGUUCCUGACCACCGCGACGGAGACUGCAUCCGCCUCGUCCGUCGGCAUCCCAUCCUCGUCUCCGUCGUGCAAGGCAGAGAAUGUCGCCCGGAGCAUGCGGUAACGUCGCAGCGAGAGAGGGAAGCUGCAGCACAGGGACAUACCGACAUGGACGAGCAGCUACCCCCUUCCCCUCCAUGCCCCGAACCCCGCACCUGUUGGGUACGUAGCAGAAAUUCAAAAUUUUCCUACGUGUCACCAAGAUCUGUCUAUGGAGAAACCAGUAACGAGGGGAAGGAGAGUAGAUCUACAUACCCUUGUAGAUCGCUAAGCGGAAGCGUUCAAGAGAACGGGGUUGAAGGAGUCGUACUCGUCAUGAUCCAAAUCACCGGAGAUCCUAGUCCCGAACGGACGGCACCUCCGCGUUCAACACACGUACAGCCCGGUGACGUCUCCCAUGCCUUGAUCCAGCAAGGAGAGAGGGAGAGGUUGAGGAAGACUCCAUCCAGCAGCAGCACAAUGAUGUGGUGGUGAUGGAGGAGCGUGGCAAUCCUGCAGGGCUUUGCCAAGCACCGCAAGAGAGGAGAAGGGAGAGAGGUAGGGCUGCGCCAGGGAGAGGUCAAACUCAUGUGUUGGCAGCCCUCAAGACCUCAACUAUAUAUAGGGGAGAGGGAGGGGGGUGCGCCCUCUCUAGGGUUUCCACCCCAAGGGGUGCGGCAGCCCCAAUCCCAUCUAGGGUGGCGGCCAAGGGGGGGAGAGGGGAAACUUGCCCCCCAAGUUAGGUGGGUGCGCCCCCUCUACCAACCCUAGGUGGCUUGGGCACUUGUGGGGGGCGCACCAGCCCACCUGGGGCUGGUCCCCUCCCACACUUGGCCCAUGCAGCCCUCCGGGGAUGGUGGCCCCACUUGGUGGACCCCCGGGACCCUCCCGGUGGUCCCGAUACGUUACCGAUAAAACCCGAAACUUUUCCGGUGAGCAAAAUAGGACUUCCCAUAUAUAAAUCUUUACCUCCGGACCAUUCCGGAACUCCUCAUGACAUCCAGGAUCUCAUCCUGGACUCCAAACAACAUUCGGUAACCACAUACAAACUUCCUUUAUAACCCUAGCGUCAUCGAACCUUAAGUGUGUAGACCCUACGGGUUCGGGAACCAUGCAGACAUGACCGAGACGUUCUCCGGUGAAUAACCAACAGUGGGAUCUGGAUACCCAUGUUGGCUCCCACAUGUUCCACGAUGAUCUCAUCGGAUGAACCACGAUGUCAAGGACUCAAUCAAUCCCGUAUACAAUUCCCUUUGUCUAGCGGUAUUAUACUUUCCCGAGAUUCGAUCAUGGUAUCCCGAUACCUUUGUUCAAUCUCGUUACCGGCAAGUCUCUUUACUCGUUCCGUAACACAUCAUCCCGUGAUCAACCCCUUGGUCACAUGGUGCAUAUUAUGAUGAUGUCCUACCGAGUGGGCCCAGAGAUACCUCUCCGUCAACCGGAGUGACAAAUCCCAGUCUCGAUUCAUGCCAACCCAACAGACACUUUCGGAGAUACCUGUAGUGCACCUUUAUAGCCACCCAGUUACGUUGUGACAUUUGGUACACCCAAAGCAUCCCUACGGUAUCCGGGAGUUGCACAAUCUCAUGGUCAAAGGAAAUGAUACUUGACAUUAGAAAAGUUUUAGCAUACAAACUACACAAUCUUUGUGCUAGGCUUAGGAUUGGGUCUUGUCCAUCACAACCCUCUCCUAAUGAUGUGAUCCCGUUAUCAACGACAUCCAAUGUCCAUGGUAAGGAAACCGUAGCCAUCUAUUGAUCAACGAGCUAGUCAACUAGAGGCUUACUAGGGACAUGGUGUUGUCUAUGUACCCACACAUGUAUCUGAGUUUCCUAUCAAUACAAUUAUAGCAUGGAUAAUAAACGAUUAUCAUGAACAAGGAAAUAUAACAAUAAUAACUAAUUUAUUAUUGCAUCUAGGGCAUAUUUCCAUCAGCACCCUAUCCAUCCAAUGAACAAGCGAGACAUCCGUCACAAUCGGACAUUUAUUUCAUUUUGGCAUGUCUGGAUUGUUGAACUAUGAUUUUCUUUGCUUUGUCUCGAACUGUUGAAUUUGGACAAUUUGUAUCGUAUGAUCGACGUGCAUGGGUUGCAUGUAUUUGAUUCUCUACAUUUGAGGUAUGUGGAUGCGCGACAACCCAUAUGAAGGGCCGGCGGGCGCUGUCCACGGACGCGCUCGUGGGCGUAUAGGGGCCCGGACUUGCCAAGUUCGGUUGUAGAUGCUCUAAGUAACAAGUGGAUCACAAUCUAAGUUUGAGAUUAUCUCCAAUGUCUAACUAAACGGGCGUCAUACGUCCCAUCCUUCAGGAUGAAUAAGAUCACAUCUGGCAAAUAAUUAUUUUUUGGUAUCUGUUUUGGUCCUUACAUUAUAUAAAUAUAUUCUCAUAUAUGUUAGUCAGAAUAUUAAUAAUACAUAUUGACAAAAAAUAUUAUGAAUGACGAAUCUACUAACAAUAUUUUCAGUGAGCCAAUUUUAAAUAGUAUUGCCACAUACCGGGAGAUAGCAGCAGAGAAUGUAAUUUACAAACACUUUAAUGAUAUGCAGGCUAUUAGAAGCAAUAGAAAAUGACAAAACUUCAAAUUAAACUAGUAGGUCCAUACAUUUCGAGGACAUGCAUGAGAGAUCCUUUUUUUAUGAGAUGUUAUUGCAAGUAGAAGCUAGUAUACCUUUUUGGAACUUUUACCAUGUCUCAAACCAUGUACUUAUAUUUAGUUUGUUAGAUUUGUAUUUUUUUUCUUUCAAAAAACAAUAUAUAAAAGAAGAAGACUUAAGGACGCCAUUUUUGACUCACAUGAGCAUGUGGUCCCUAGAGCCAAAACAAUGAAAAUUGUUAGAGAUUCCUAUGUAUAAGCUAUUCUUGGUAAGCUAAAGACAUUUCAUCCUCUAAACUCUUGCUGAAGUCCAAAAUUAACCCAGAACCGCAAAUAACACUAGAACAGAUUAGACUGUCACGCUGGUCAUAGCACCACACUGGAGUAAUCUUCUACAAGUGAUGUUAAAUGACAAAAUUGACGGUCACUACUAGAAUCAGCUACUUUGCCGACUUCCUCGGCAAAGAUCCAAAAGAACUCGGCAAAAAUGUGUUUGCCAGGUGCGGUACUUUGCAAAAAAAAAUCUCGAUAGAACACAUUGGCAAUAGUUAACUUUGCCGAAUUUUUAUACCAAGAACUCAGAGAAUACUCAUAGAGUCUUUCUCGAGUUUCCAAAAAGGAGAACUCUAGAAACCACUAGCGCUAGACGAAAUGACCUAUUAAUGGUGGUGCCACGUGGCCAGAGCAUUGCCGAGUUCUCGCAUGCCGAACUCGGCAGACGCCUGAUGAAUAGAAACGUGGUGCGUGCCAUAGGUGGUUGCCGAGUUCUUGCCUUUGCCAAGCGUGGAACCUAACAAACGUUCAGCAAAUAUGAUGCGUGGCAGAACUAGCUGCCAAGUUCUUAUCUUUGCAGAGUAUGUUGCAGGAGACCUCGGCAAAUUCUUUGAAGAAUAGUAAUGUGACACAUGGCACAGACGACUGUCAGGUUCUUGUAUUUGCUGAGUAUGGCGCCACGGGGACUCGUCAACACCUUUGGGGAGCUUUGUGCAGGGUGAACUCGGCAAAGAAAACCCGUGAAAGACGUUCAGGAGCUGCUUCCGCAUUUUCUGAGUGUGGAACUCGGCAAAGAUUCCUGGAGCUACCAGCUUCUGCCACGCGUCAGAUUUUGCCGACUAGUGCGCUCAGCAAAAUGCUCCAGGGAUAGUUUUGUCGAGCGACAGAACUUGGCAAAUGUUCAAUCAUGUUUAUUUAUUAUUUAUUGUUGGGAAAUCUUGCAUACAAAUAAGUACGUAUGCAUAUAUAUCAUCGCAAAGAUACAUAACAUCAUUCAAAUAUCACUUCACAAAAACAACAAGCAAUAUGGCGAUCAUUCGAACAUAUUUUACACAAGUGACAUCGUCACAGAUUUAUCCAAGUUAGUCUCAUUGAAGCCAUGUUACUCUAAUGAUAGAUUAAGAUCCAGCUGCAGCACGGGCCGGGCCGGUCCUGCGAUUCCGGUGGUCCUGGGUGAAACUAACACUCGGAUCCUCUCAAUAUAAACAUUAUAACAAUAUCUGCAAAUGUUUAGAUUAUUAAAUGUUACCGGUAGACUAGUAGCAAGAGAUCGUGAAUGAACCAGAAAAACAGAAAAAUGAAGGUGCGUCCGUUCUAAAACUUUGUCCAAGAAUAACAGGAUAAUUGACACAUGGCUCGCCACGUACCUUAUUGAGGCAAAAAAAAGUCCGCGCUUCAUUAAGCUUUCGCGUUUGCUAGUACGUAAAAUGGAAAAAAGAUGUACACAAUGUAUAUGAAAAAAUUUUAUUUAAUAUCUAUCAAAAUUAUUUAAUAUCAUUAUAUAAUGUCGAGCUAUCGAGCUAAAUCGAGCGAGCGAGUGUUGGCUCAUGAUCAGCUCGUUUCUUGAUCGAGCUACAUAAAGUGCUCAUUCUCAGCUCAUUUCUUUUCAAGUCAAACUCAAGUCAAAACAAAAUACGAGUCGAUCUUGAGUGGCUUACGAGCCUCGAGCUUUACUUGCAGCCCUAGCCACCACUACUCCAAUCCAGCCAUAGUUUUUAUUUUCUUGAGAGGGUCGACGAUGGACUGUGUUUGUUUACUGACCCAUCUUUUUUCUUUUCAUUUCCCUAUGUUUUUGGCUAGCUUUCGGGCUUUGUCUGCCUGUACAUAUUGCACAUGUUCUCCCUUAAUCCAUGGCAGAGUUGUUGCCGCUUUUGUAGUAACAUAUAUGGACUUGUAGUAGAUUGUCAUGACCUUUCGUCACAGCUAAUGGCUAAAUCCUCACGUUCAUGCAUGUGGUGGUAACAUGGACUGUUCAGAUCUUAGCUAGAACACACAUUAACUAUCAUAUCAUGUCAUAAUUUUUUAUAGGCCACUGCCAUGAAUAAUAUAUGAAGUACAGAGGACAAUUCAAAUAAUCAAAUUUAAAUUACUAUGCCUGCGGCCACCCCUCGGGAAUAUAAUUUAUACUUCUUGUUUCUUUUCUUGACACUAAGUGAUACUUCUUGUUGGACGCGAACCAAGCCAAGUAUGUACACCAACUAUCUGAGUUGACAGAUGUAAGUUAGCUUAAUAUUGACUAAUAGACGUAAGAUGCUAGUCAUGAACGAAUCCAUAUCAUCUGUCUGUAUUUGUAGAUGUCGAGUCAUCUUGCACUUUUUGUAAUAGCCCAUUGGCCAACUAGCUAUUAUUUGGAUGGAUAAAUCAUCUUAUAUGAUAUAUGUUGCCCACUUUGUUACUCCCUCCGUUCUUAAAUAUUUGUCUUUUUAAAGAUUUCAAAUGACUACCACAUACAGAUGUAUAUAGACAUAUUUUAGAGUGUAGAUCCACUCAUUUUGCUCUGUAUGUAUUCACUUGUUGAAAUCUCUAGAAAGACAAAUAUUUAGGAACGGAGGGAGUACAUUGCAAGAUUUCUAAGUGCGUCAAAAGGGUGUCGCUAAAGAUGUUGUAUCCGUAGGUUUUACAUUCUUUAUUGAGAGAUGUUGCACAAAAGUUGUACAAUGUUUCAAGUGUACACUAUGUGAAUUUGGUUAUCCUGUUUAUUAGAUGGACAUAUCUCAAUGCUUAAUGGUGACACACAUAUACUCCAAGUUCUUUUGUUCUGGUUAGUCCAUUGUUCGAGGUGAUAAGCAUCUAUAUUACCAUAAGCUAAUCAGUGCUUCAUCAGCUUUGAUAGAUAUGUACUCUAUUUGAACUUUAUUUAGAGAAUUCUAGAUCAGAAUAUUAGCAAGUAAGAUACACAUCAGACUAUACAAUUACAUAAAUUCCAAUACUAAUGCAAGUUGCUGACCGGAAAUCCCUUUUGGUGACCGAGCUCCAAUGAGGCCUCCAAAUUUAAAAUUCAAAUUUCAUCAAAAUCCAUAUUUUUACGUUUCAAAAAAUUCAAAAAAAAACAUAGAAAUAUAUGAAGGCAUAACACACAUAUGUGUAAAUUUUCAAGGCAAAAUACGUUGAAAUGAGGGCUGUGCAAAAAAUACAAAUCUAGGGCUGUUUAACACAUGAUACUAUUCAUCCUUACAGGCCCUAAAUUUGUCUUUUUUGUACAGGUCGCAACUCAAGGUAUUUCAUCAUGAAUUUUUUACACACAUGUGGGUUACAUCCUUACAUGCAUGCAUUAUUUUUUUGAAUUUUUUGAAACAUAAAAGUUUGAAUUUGAAUUUUUCAAAAACAAAGGGCUCCAUGGAGCUCGGCCUCCAAAACGCCAUUUUCAUUGCUGACAUGUUAAGAACCACUUUAACUUGUAUCUCCAAGGACCGGGAUGCAAUUUUCUUUUCUAGAGGUGGUUUUCUUGUAUUGCUAAAUCCAUUAAAUAUGGAGCAUGUGGCUUUGUUGUAGAAAGUUAAUUAAAUGGAUUUUCCAGCCGCAAAAGAAAUUGAAUGGAUUUUCAACAGCUUGAUUUAAUGUUUGGGGAUCCAUAUCGAAAUUUACUCUCUAUUGGGCGAGACUUUGCAAGUAAAACCAAUAUCAUAAAUGCAGCUAAUUAAAUGGAUCUUAACCUUCUCAUAACUGGUAUAACUACAUGCUCUAAUUUAAUUAAUGUGACGUGAUCUUAACAUAGUAAUAUUAUUAUGCAGUGCACAACUAGCAAGUCGACUAAAGAUUCAUAAUAUUACUACAUCAAGGACUUCAUUAACUGUCAUUUAUAGGUUGUACAUCUGUAGAUCAGAUGAUUUGGAAAUAUUCUCUGGAUGGCACAUCCACAUCAUGUUAUCUAUACCACAGGCUGAGCAUUGAGAUCUAUGUGUCCAAUGGAUAAGAAACUAAGAUACAAGCACCACAUCUAUAUGGCAUCCAUAGAGAUUAUAACAUGGAUGCACUUGACAUACUGUCCACACCCAUAAUAUAUGAUGGCAUACAGGUCCAUCCAUACAAUAAGAGCUACUUAUUUGGCCUAUGGAUGCCGACAUAAAGAGAAGAUCCGUUGGCAUAUACUAACAGACAAAACAAUAUGGCUUCAAUUUGACUAUCUUAGGUCUUUUCGUCAAUUUUAAGCUUACAUGCAUGGGUCAAGUAGAUAGUAAUGACCUUUCACCAAAGCUAAUAACUGAGGUCGCACAUGCAGGCAUGUGGAGUGUUUCAAAUCUUAGCUAGAACGCACAUGAAUUAUAACAUGCAUGCUACAAUAGUUGAAUGACAUCCGACGCAUCCAUAUACUACACCCUGUCAUGAUAUCUUUUAUAUGCCACUGACAUGAGUCAUAUAUGAAGUAUAUAGGGAAAUUUAGAUCUAUUUUAAAUUAAUAUACAUGUAGCUAGCCGCCCCUGAGGGAUUUAAUUGCAUAUUAUAAUUACAAUAUAUAUCUGCAACUAGUCCAUGGAAAUAUAAUUGUGUCUUUUGGUUGUACGCAAACCAAGGUAAGUACCAACAUAUCUAAAGGCGUACAUGUGCGUACACCAACUAUCUGACUUGACACAUUUAAAUUAGCUUAAAAAUGACGAAUAUACCUUAUUAAGAUGCUAGUCAAAAUGAAUCCAUAUCCAUUGCUUGCAUUAGUUGAUGUCGAGCAAUCUUGCACUUUCUGUAAUUGUCCGUUGGCCAACUAGCUUUUAUUUUUCGGAUAAUUUUUUCUUUUAUAAUAUAUGUUUCCCUCUUUGUUACAAUUGAAAGUUGCUAAGUGCAUCAAAAGGAUAAAUCACCUAGAUAUAAUCAAAGAGGGGCAUGAAAAUAGAAAUCCCAUUUAUUUAUAGCUUUUACAAUUUUUAUCGGUAUGUUGUACAAAGGUGGUGUAUAUACCUUGUGUUUAAGUGUACACUACACGAAUUUGUCUAUUUAUUAGAUGCACAUAUCUAAAUACUUAAAGUGGCACAUGUAUAUUCCAAAUUAUUAUGUUCUACAUAUAUGGUAUAGUUUACUAUUGCUUGUUAGUUCAUUCUUCGAUGAGAUAAGCAUUUAUAUAACCAUAAGAACCAUAAACUUACCAAUAUUUAGAAAUUAUAGUGAAUUUAGAUAGUUGGCUUGUGAGACAUCCUUAUGCGGAUAAAAAAACCAUACCCAAUCCUGACAUGGAAAACUAGUCAUGUUAGAUCCUUAGUUGGAUUACAGGUCUAAGUUUUGCACAGGAUGUUAAAAAGUCUAAAACAACACUAAUUAAAGGCCCAAGAGAAACCCACCAGAGGUGGGCACUAGCACUCCAAGCAUUCUAUAUAUAGGAUACAUCUACCCGAAAGUACCUUUCUGCUCCCGAGCUCAUUUGAGCUCGGUGAACAGUAAAAUCAAAAAAAAAAUCAAGAAAUUCAAAAAAUUCCAAAAACAAUCUCAGAGAAACAUUGACAAAAGUUCUAAGUGGUUGCAAAAAUUCAUCAUGAAAUCACAUUCCUGUAAGGCGUGGCAAAAAAAACAAAUUCAGCCUCCAAAAUGCUUUUGAAAGUAGCAUUUUCAGAGUACCGAUUAUUUUUUGCCACGCCUUCUAGAAAUGUGAUUUCAUGACGAAUUUUUGCAAGCACUUAAAACUUUUGCCAAUGUUUCUACCAAAAAAAUUUUGGAAUUUUUUGAAUUUUUUUCAAUUUUUUUUGAUUUUACUGUUCACCCGAGCUCAUAUGAGCUCGGGUGCAGAAACUCCACGUCCUACAUCUACCCUCUUAUUCUCUCACAAAACACAACGAGAUACAACUCCCCCCUCCCCCAUUCAACUAGCCCAUUCAGUUCUCUCUUUUCCCCUUCUUGCAUACAAUCAUCUCCAUGGCUAGUCCAUUCGGUGUCUUGGUUUGUCUACUCAUAGUGCUACCACAAAUCCUUGCUAUUUCUAGCCCCAUCGAUGAGAUUGCACCUCUUAAGACAUGUCAGUUCCCUUGUAUGAUCGAGGUUAACUUGCACUUGUUCUUGCACCAAUUCGUCGACGGGCCAAACAACCCAAACCGCAAUGAGGAAACCUUACUCCAAGCAAGUUUUCCUUUUGGGUUUGGGACGACGAUAGUCCAUGACUGGACUCUUACCGAGACAACAAAUUCCAGAGACACGGUUGUUGCACGUGUA
rnacentral:lncRNA from 1 species